rnacentral:lncRNA from 1 species
CAACAUUUAGAUAACGCGACAAUGAUAAAACCCGUAAACGUUUCAGGGAUGGCAACAAAUCAUGUAGAAACUUUUUACUUAUGUGGAAGAAGAACAAGUCAUAUAUUGAGAUAGGUAGGAAGGUCCGCAGAGACUUUGCCCCAUCUAAUGGCUCAAAUUUUUUAGCAGCAUCAAUUUCUCCCAUAGCAUAUGACAAAUGACGAAGUCUUUUAACUUCUUGUGAUUCCCUCUCUUCCAGCCUGAGAAAAAAUCCCCUAGACAUGAACUGACCCAAGUCGUUAAGAAGAUCAUGCAUUGUGAAACCAUCCUCCCCUGAUUUUUGAAGUAGCGAUCGUGAUACCAGUUCAUCAAAGUAACUUCUAGCCGUCUCUUCCAUUCUUUUCCCGUUAAAACCUUGUGGAAUUAAACCUUCCGCCAUCCAAAGUAGAACCAUAUCUUCCUUCUUGAACUGAUAGUCUUUUGGAAAAAUUGAACAAUACACAAAGCAUCGUUUCAACUGAGCAGGAAGAUAAUGAUAGCUCAACCGUAGGGCUGGAAGGAUAUCACUUUUAUCAUAAGGUAGCUCCCAAAGACUACUAUUUAACAAUUUAUUCCAUUCCUGGAAGUCUCUCUGGCAACGUAGUAGACCCCCCGAGUGUUUCUGCUGCUAAAGGCAAACCAUUGCACUUGUGUGCAAUUUUCUUGCCAAUUUCUUCCAAAGUUGGAUGUGCAUUGUGGUUUUCGUUUCCAAACGCAUGUUUUGAAAGUAGCAUCCAACAAUCUUCAUGCGACAAAGGCUUCAAGUGUUGAAUGGGCACAUUUUUCAUGAGAGAUGCGACAUUUUCACUUCGUGUUGUCACGAUGACUUUACUUCCCCUUGCCCCGGAAUUAAAAGGAGUUUGGAGGCACUUCCAAUCAAUAUUUCUCAUUCCAAAGGUCAUCCAACACAAAUAAGAAUUUCUUUCCCUUCAGUUGUUCUCUAAGUUCAACUUGAAGCAUAUUCAAAUCUGUCAUCAUACAAGGUUUUGAAGUGACCGACUCGAGAAGAGUUUUAGUCACCCUGAUAGCAUCAUAAUCUUCUGAAACACAUGCCCAAGAUUUACGGGUAAAGUGAUCUUUCACCUUAUCAUCAUUGUAAAGGGCUCGAGCAAGGGUCGUCUUGCCAACCCCGCCCAUACCAACAAUGGUGAUGAUAGAUACAUCAUCCUCGCUUGCAUCAUCAGAGAACAAGACUUCUGAUAAAUUUUCUUUAUCUUUGUCUCUUCCAUAUACAAAAGGUUCAUGAAUCAAGGAAGUUGUUGGAGUUCUUUGUGAAACCUUCCUCCCAACAACUUCUGUCAGACCAAGGGCAACCUUCUGUUGCACAAAGCCAUCCAGCCUUUGCAAUAACCCUUGUAUCUCAACAUUCAUGCUUUGAUAAAAAUGACCACGAGAAGUAGAGAAGAAGCUCCACACCUUGUUGGUUAAUUUGUCGGUUUGACCUUCACCUUCCACCUUGCAUCGCAAAGCUUCAGUGUCGAUCUCAUCCAGCAAGUCCUCCGCGUCCAAGACAGCAUGCUUGAGGUCGUCCAGCCAGCCUCUCACAGCAGGGUUUGAAAUUUGCUUCUCUUCCGCAUCGUUGAGCACUGCAUAAAGGGUGAGCAGCGUCGUCUUCAGUUUCAUGAGGAGGGGUUCAUCCAGCUUCUUCUGCCGGAACAAGUCACCGAAGUCGGCUGAAGCAAUUCUGUCACACAGCACCUGGAUGGAAGCGGAGAUCAAAGCCUCUCCAAUCAAAGCGGCGGCCAUUUUUCUCUUUGGUUGCUUAGUUUGCUAGUAGCUCAAUGUAGAAGAAAAGGCUUUUGAGAUUAUAAUUAUCGAUCUCCCAAUUCGUAAAGAACUUGUUAUUGGUCAGUUGACCCAAAAAGAUCUGUGAUUGGUCUGUUGACAUUAAAAGAACUUGUGAUUGGUUUGUUGACCAUAAAAAGUUGUCCGAUGGACCCAGAUCCGGAUCUUUUUAUCGGUGGCCUGCGGACGAAACAUCGUGGCCGUUGAUUCAAAGUACAUGGAAAUCGUGCGGCCGUUAAAUUUCUCAAUUUACACAAACAGCGAGGCUCUGCUUAAUGGUUUCCAGGUGGUGCUUCUCAUGAAAGACGAGGUGCUAUUUUUCUUUUCUGUGAGACAAUAAAGAGAGAAUAUAAAUGUUUAGGGGUUCCUUAAAAUUGAAAUAUUUAAUAGAUUUUCUGUUAUUUUAUAAUUCAAUGUUAAUUUUUGUGUUAAUAUUAUAAAAUUUUAUAUAAAAUCAUAAAGUCACAACUUUGAACCCCAAAUAUACAACAUGGAGCAGGGAGCUCUUGACAAGCUGAUAGCGGACUACAACACCAUGGAUAUAUGGAAUUUCAAUGAGAAAUAUGGAGAUCUGUGGGAUUUCACUGUGACCGUGAAGAUGGAAGAUAUUAUGAAGAGAUAAAAAUUCAUGUGUAGUAAAUUCCGCCAUAAUUAAUAUGGGAUUUCUAAAGUUCUCAACCAGCUUGAGCAUGAAAGGUAUAUAGCUAUCAAUUUAGUCCUCUUUUUGUUGCUUCCUUUCUUUCUACAUCGGCUUUUUGACUUUCUUGUUUACAUAUUACAUGAAAGGGUGAGAUUAAAUUUUGUAAACUAAAUGAUGUGAAAAUUGAUAAUUAGAUUAUUACUUAAGUGUUGAUUAACUGCUUAUUUCUUGUUGGUGACACAUCAUUUACUCUGCGAAUUUAGUCUACAAAUUUUAUCUGUCUAGCAUUACCCAAGAAAAAAUAAUCCCCUCGCCUAUUGUCAAUAAUUGGUCGAGUGCAAUGAUAGUUAGGUCCAAGAUGUUUUCUUUAAAAGUGGUGUAUAGGAUUUGGUGUAUAUGAUUUGUUUAGAUUAGAUAACUUACUAGAUUCAAUCAAUAUGGAAUGAAGAAGUGGGUGCCCACUCACAUAGUUUUCCAAGUGAAAAGAAGAAGAUGAAUUAAUUAUGACGAAAACUUGUCCCUCCUAAUCUCCACAAGAUUGGUAGGAUUGGAAUAGAUAAGAACAAGUCCACCCGUAGAGCAAAUGCAUGUAAGUUGCCCUUACUAUUCAUUUUGAAUAGCUCAUCAUAGUGCAUGUUACAGUUAAAUGGCUACUCAAUUAACUUAGUCUCCCUAACAAUUAUUAGUGAGAAGCAUUUAAAAAGCAAUUUAUAGAAGAAAAAAAGGGUAAUGUAAGGGAGAUUAAAUUUGUAGACAAUUUUGUAAACUAAAUGAUGUGAAGGUUAAUUAUUAGAUUAAUACUCAAGUGUUGAUUAACGUGCUUAUUUCUUAUUGAUAACACAUCAUUUAGUUUGCAAAUUCAGUUUACAAAUUAAGUCUAUCUAGCAUUACCUAAGAAAAAAAUAAUCAACUCACCUAUUGUCCUUAAUGAUCGAGUGCAAUGAUAGUUAGGUCCAAUAGGUUCUCUUUAAAAGUGGCUAUAAGGGUCAUAUUUGUUAAGAUUGUGGCCUCAUUUGGCAUAUAGGAUUCGUUUUAUGGUUUAGAUUAGAUAACUUACUAGAUGAGUAAUGUUAGGGAGAAUAAAUUUUUAGAUAAAAUUUGUAAACUAAAUUAUGCGAUACUAAUAGGAAAUGAGCACGUUUAUCAACACUUAAAUAAUAAUUCAAUCAUCAACUUCCAUAUCAUUUAGUUUACAAAAUUUUGUCUACAAAUUUAAUCUCUCUAGCAUUACUUCUUAAUAGAUUCAAUCAAAUAUGGAAUGAAGAAGUGGAUGCCCACUUACAUAGUUUGUCCAAGUGAAGGUAUAAGAUGAAUUAACUAUGACAAAAACUUGUCCCUCCUAAUCUCCAUAAGAUUGGUAGGUUCGCAAUAGACACGAGCAAGUUCACCCAUUUUAGAAGGGCAAAGGCAUGUAAGUUGCCCUUACUAUUCAUUUUGAAUAGCACUUGCCUUUGUGCAACUCCAUCCGUUUGAAAAAUGCCUCUUUCUAGGUCAAGCAAUUAGUGUGUCUGUAAUGUAGUGUUCCCCCUUCAAUAAGUUAGAAAAAUAGUUAUUAUUGAAUAUUAAUCACAUUCCACGUUACGAGUACAUUUAUAUAUUCCUAAAACAACUCCUACCUUCAUCAAUCACUCCUCUCUGUAUUUGUUUCUCUCACUCACAGCACACACCACCCCACCUUCACAAUCUAAAACGAUGUCGUAGCACUGAACGACGAACGCUGCGAUUUGGAACAACGAUCGCCUAGGGUUUGAAACAACGCGACAAGGACGUACAUGAUCUGGAACAACGAAUGCCCAAAUCCUCAAGGAAUUACGAUUUGCAGACCCAAACGGAAGAGAAGGAAACAACUUUUAUCACUUUCACCCUGAAUUCAUACAGGUUCCCUUCAAUCUGAUUACGGAUUGGUAUACGCGCCCUAAAUUCAUACGGGUUCCCUUGCGUCAAGGGUAUUUUGUAACAGUGAGGCAACUCUUUACGUAAUCGUGAUACAAUAAUGGAUCGGAUGUGUUUAUAAUAGGCAAAUUGUUUCAUAAAUAGAGAAGCCAUGUUUCGGUACCACAUUUGCCCACAAAUAAAAUUCAAGACCCUAAAAACAAAUCAAGAAAUUAUAUCCAAACAAAACGUCAUCGGCUUAUAUCAAGUUAUUUUCACUGACCUGUAACUUACUCCCAAGUAAUCAAAUAGGAUGGGAAACCCUGUGACAACAAAACAAAUCAUACUGAGAAUAACAAACCACUCUUCCAACCUUCAAACAUGACCCUAAAAUCUAACCCGACUUUUGACGACGACGUCGACGACACCAAUUGGACAAAACCAUAGACCCAUAGAAAAAUACCGUCCCUCUUCACUCUUGAUCGUCUUUCUUCUCUUCCUUGGCAGCAGGUGCCUUUUCUUCUGCCUUCUCCUCAGCAGGUGAUUCUUCUUUUACUGCAUCGCUCUUCUUAGCUGCAGCAGGUGCCUCUGCCUCAGACUUCUCCCCAACACUCAAUUUAUCGAGAAGCCCAGCAGCUUCAGUGGCUUCUUUGCUUUCUUCUUCAGGACUCUGGGAUUCAGCAACUUCUUGAAACUUCUCCAUGAACAAUUUGUUAUCUGAUAAAGAAAAAAACAAUCAAACAUCGAUAAGCUACUUGCGUGAUGAUGGUUGGGACCUUGUACCAAGAUCUGCUAUAAACACAUUUAACGCUUGACGAGAGAUGAAAAUGAGGAAAAUGAAACUGAAUGGAUGAUGCUGCAGCGAAAGAACCACUGCAAAUGCAUCAUGGCUAUAGGAAAAGUUUACAUUGGAUCCUUUCAGAAGGUAGACAUCUCCCAAAGCUCAUACUGAAUAAUACAAUAUUAUUAACGCAGUACCAAAUAAUUGAGAUGGUAGGAAGAAUCUACUCCCAGAAAUAAUGCUACAGAAAAAUGAUUCAUUCAAAUCAAUACACAUGCAUGUCAGAGAAAGUAUGGCAGAGGAUGUCAUCUCCUUCUUAUUAUAUGCUUAAGAAAAAUAAUGCUCUAGAUCUAUGGUUCUAUACAUGCUUAAGAGAAAUAAUACAACUUGUGUUGCAAUUUAAAUCAAGAUCCGUAGGCAACAGAUCUGCUAAUUUAUGGUUUCCUCUAUAUCUUGACAACGCUCCUGAAAGCUAAGAUUUAUUUACUCAUAAAGAGAAACACCUAGGACCUUGAAGUCUCAGAAACUGAUUAGCCUAUAUACUUUAUACAGGCAGCACCACUACAUAGAAGCCUUUGAAUUGGUGCCGACUUUUCCUAAUAUAAACUCAAGUCAAAUCAAAGACCAUAACUCUCUCUAAUCAACGAAAAACUCAAAUCUAUUUUGUUCACUCUGUUAUUCCCAAAUAUUCAUAUUCCCACGUUCCAUAGUACAUAAGGGAACCUAAUUCACCACGACUAAGUGCACUACUGAGAGAUAUUCAGUAAAACAUAUUUUGGUCCAACACUGACUUCAAAAGCUCUAAAGUUCAUAACCUCUUCAAUUUGCAAGCAACAUUAGUGCAAGGAAGCCAAAAAGUACAAAUUCUUACACAGGUUUCAACAUGCAGGUAAAGUUUCUAAACGGUAAAAAUGUGUGCUUUACAGCCUAAUUGGAACCCAUCUCCGUAAGUUUUAAGCUUAGUUAGAAUGUACAAUUCCUCAUUGCAGUGAGGUGAUCAUAGCUUUACAAAAAAGAAAAAGGAAAAAAACCCACUUUAAAUAUAUGAUUAACACCAACACAUUCUGUAAAAGAGACAUUUUCAUUCAAGUAUCAGCAAACACGAGAAGAAACCAAAAACAACAUCCAUACAAAAGGGUUAGACCUAAACUAUUAACAUCCAAUAAAAAGAGAGCAAGUCAUGGUGUCCCACAUAUACACAUGUCCAACUAGUACAUCUUUUCAAAGUUAGUAAUUUCAAUGUUUAAAUGUGGGUUUUGUAUUGGUUACUUUUUUUUGUCAGCAAUGUAUUAGCUACUUACUGGAAAGCAUCAAUUGGUACACUCUCAAGUCAUAGCAAUUACAUAAAUAAAUUAACUCAAAUGUACAUCAUCAAAUAAUACAUAAUACAGAUAUACAUAUACGUAUUAUGACUGAAUCUAGUCAGACCACUCAUCAGAAACAACUUCAAAUCAAAUUGUGAUAUCAAUUGCAUCCCUCUUUAAAGCCACUAUCAAACAUUCAACUCUAAACAUUAAAAAACAAUAUCUUAUUGAAUCGGACAAAGGUAAUUAGAAGAAUCGAAAAAUUAUUAAAUUCGGAUAUUUCAUGAGUUCAAAAUAGCUACAGAUUACAUACAUAGACAAAAGUAAGAGACAGUACCAAGUAUACUACCAUCUAAUAUCAAGCAAAACAAAAAAACAAGAUUACGAAAAGAUAAACUUAUAAAGUAGACUAAACAAAUUAACUCACUUUCAAUUGAAGCAAAUCUAAUGCAGAAAAGCUCCUCCUUCAAUUCCCCAUCAGCAAAAUCGGUUGCAUGCCAAACACAGGACUUCUCAUUCCCUGCGUGCUCCUGGACUGUCAUCUUCGGUAGAACUGCAGUUAACAACGUAACAGAGCACAAGCAAAAAUAUUCAAAACCCUAAACCCAAAAUAAUAACCUGUGUACAAUUACAAUGGUAUACAUAGACUAUGAGAGACUAACCAAGAUGAUUGGCGCAUAUCUUUAGGGUUUUGGAUUGCCGCAUGACAAGGCGGACUUUUCCAGACUUCUUGUGCUUGAGAAACUUGACAGUGCCGGCACCUCGCUCCUUCCAUUGAUUACCGUCUUUAUCAAAUCGGUAAAGCUUCGCCUUCCUAUUUACACAAACAAAGCAGACAGAUUAAUAAGAAUUUAAAACGUUCAGUGCGCUAAUCGAAUCGAAUCAAAACAAAACCCUAGCUAGGUUUUUCCAGAUCGGAGUAAAAAGCAAAAAAAACCCUAGUAUUCGACGAGAAAUGAAUCGGGGGAAGAGACUUACAGAUCGAGGAUGGCGUCCUCCUCUUCCUCGCCGGUGGUAACGGCGACCUCCUCCAGCCGAACGAUCGGAGCGACCUGAGCUCCGGUGUCCUCGUCGUCGCCGGCGAGUGGUGCCUCCUCGUCGUCUCUGUGCCCUGGAUCGGCGCUCGACAUCUUAGAGAGAGAAGUAGGAUGAGUAGUAGAAAUAGGAGUGAGAGAGAGAAUUGGGGGAAGGGGAUCAGGGUUGAGGGUUAUAGGGGGUUUUAUAGUAGUAGGAGUGUGAGCGUGAGUAAUACGCCAUUCAAUACAUGGACGACCAAGGCCCAAAUCCUUCAACCCAAAAUAAUUUUAAAUUCCCUACCAAACAAUUAUUAUUAUUAUUUUUUAUUUUUGAAACAAACGAUAUUAUAUACACUAAAAAGAAUGAAUAUGAGUUUAGUUUCAUAAUAUGUUAGCAAUAAUAUGAUUCAAAUUUGUCUUUGGCAAAAUUCGAACAUAAGACCUCACACUUAUAAGCAAAGAGGAAUACCACUAUACAGUAGUACUAAGUAGCACCAAACAAAAUUUUUUAAUUUAAAAAAAAAACAAUAGUUAUGCCAUUCAGUAUUGGUCUGAUUGUAUUCUUCUUCACUUGUAAGCAAUAAGUUUUAGGUUUGAAUCUUGUAUAUGGUGAAUUCGAUACAAAAUUAUAUUGCUCAUUGUGUGGUUUAGCCGAACUCCCCCUCCCCCUAGUGUAACAUAUAUAAUUGUACUCAAAAAAAAAAAUAAUGAAAAUGACUUGAAAACUUUGAGUUUUAAUGAUAAAGACAAAAUAAAGGGUAAAGUGAAUAGUACCAUGAUUGGCUUAAUAGUACCAGGAUUGACUUUUUAGUGUAAAAAUAUGAUUUUUAGUUAAAGUGAAUAGUACCAGGAUUGACUUUUUAGUGUAAAAAUAUGGUUUUUCGUUAAAAUGAACAGUACCGAGUGCUUUUCGUUAAAGUCCCAAAAAAAAAACACACACACACACACACAAUAGCUCUCUUUGUUCAUAAAAUAAAAAAAUAAAAAAAAAAUAAAAAAGCAACCAAUAGUUCUCAAGAGAUACUUAAAAAAAUAAAAAAAGUUUUAGAAAGUUUUUUUUUUUUUGGAUCAAAAUGGUAUUUGAGAUAGGCAAUAACUCCUCACUUUGGUCUCUGAGAAUUAAAAUUGAUAAAAACUGGUCACUAAGUUUGUCUACCAUUCAUCAUUUUAGUCAUCGUGUGAAAAUCUCUCCUAAAUAAAAUAUAAUGGCAAAAAUACUCUUGAUUUUUGUUAAAUCAUUUUGGUCCAUUAUUUGUUAAAUUGAGAAUAUUUUUGUCAUUUUUGUUCUUAUUUAACAAAUAUUUUUAAUGGAAUGAUCAAAAUGAUUGACACUCAACAAAUUCUAUGACCACUUAUAUUAAUUACAAAUAUCAAGAAUCAAAAGUGAAGAGUUAUGUCAAUUUCAAUAAUCAUUUUAAUUAAGAUGUUUUUUGAAAAGAUAAUUUUAUUUUACAUUUACUAAAAUAUGCGUAUGAGAACCAUUUUGUUGCUUAACAUUUCUAUGCAUUUACUUACACCUAAAAAUUGGAAAAUAAAAGUUUUCCUGUAAAAUUUGUAAUCAAAUAUAAAAAAAAUAAAAAAAAUAAAAUAAAGAAUCAGAUCAAUUGGGAACACUAGCUGAUUCAAUUCCUUUUACUCUUCAUAUUUCCCUCUAGUUAAAAGAGUUCCAAAACACUGCAACAAUGGUGGGGUUUGCCCAGCUUGCACAGGAACACAAGAACAAAAUAUCAGAACGCUAUACCUGAAAUUUAGCAACAGUAUCAGGAGUAAGGAGCAUACCCAUUGGAGAUUCCGCAGCAAGCUCUGCAGCCCCCUUAGACUUUGUCUGAGAAAACAGUUCUUCGAACCGCUGGACAACCAGAGCACGACAACCAUAUGUUUUAGUUUCAAGAACUACAUCACCGCGUACUGAUUUCCACAGCAUAAGGGGGAAAGACAUGCACCAAAAAACGCACACAAACACACUGUCGUUACUGUCUGCAGGCCACCGGUUUUGAUCAAACUAGAACACAAGAUGAAAUAAUUGCCAUUGAUAUAUGAUAAAUACAAGAUGCCAACAAAACGCUGUCCACUGGUUUGAUGAAACAAAAGCAAUCUUAAUUAUUGAAAUCAAACGGAAAACCAGAACGUCCACACACUUCAAACAUAUAUUUUACAACAGUGCCUCCAUGAGGCCCUAAUAAUCAAGCAGCAGAUGGGGCGGAGAUGAAUUCGACAGCGCCAGUCUCGGAAAAUGCCGCUUCGGGUGGCUCCACGUUAACUUGGUCUGUGCUCUUUUCGGCCUCAGCUGAAGUCACAGUCUUCUUGCAGUCCAAAGAGUCAUCACUGUAUAUCUCCCACCAUUUGUUCACCAGCAUCUUAACAUCUUCCCUCUCCAUGUUCUCUUCCUUCCCAGUGUAACUCCAUGGCUUAGACCCCUGAACCAAAAAUAUAAAUGUCACACUCUCAAGUUAGUUGAUUAAAAAGAACGGACGUGAGUCAAUAAUAUUACAAAACUCACUAAAGGUUGUAACGAGAACUCACAUUAGCACAAUAGUUAACAACUUUGACCCUGUCAAGCUCAACGGCCACUGGGUGACGCCAGAGCAUGGGCAGCAUAAGGUUGUAAUGUGGAGCCAAGGCCACCAACUUGUCCUUGAAAAACACGUUCAGAAGAUCCUGCCAAAAAAAAAGCACAUAAAAUACAAACAAUGAUUCAAUAACACUUUCCUUUUUUCAGUACUGUCGGGUGUCGAGGUUCCUUUAAACUGUCCUUCUUCAUAGGGAUAAUAAAAUUAUAUGGCGAGAGAGAUAAAAUUACCUGCUCUGCAAAAGCGGUGGUACGAGAAGUCUGGAGGGUUUUGAUGAGGUCACUGUAGGUCACCAAGCUGGGCUCAAACACAAACACGCUAGCAUUGAAGUAAAGAGGAGGUUUGGGGCCCAAUGUGGGGUCCCACUGGACCUUGUUGGGCCACUGCUGGCAGUGCCCAAUCUUGUGAUGUGGACUGUGGCUCCAAGAGUUCUCACAGAAGCAGUCCAGUGCCGCAUAGAAGUAGGAGUCAGGGUAGUCGAACAUGUGGUCAAUGUUCUCAAAGACUAGGACGUUUCCGUCCAAGAAGAUCAUUUUGUCAUACUCCUCAAGCUGAAAGUUUCAAUCAAAAGGUAGGGUUCAGAUCCCAUGCAAAAUCUAUCUACUAACAAUUAAUCAAACAUUAAUGAAAUAAAUAAAUAAACCUUUACCGCCCAAAUGCGAAGCUUAAAGUAAUUUGUGACAUAUGAGGCCCUGAACACCGGCUCAAUCUCUUUCACUGUGCAGCCAUGGGAGGCCAGAAGCUUGCGAUACUCUUCAGACACAUCCGGCAAGACAACCACAACCAGGGGGUACUUGCUCAUCCUUUUUUUCAAGCCCUUGGCCAACCCAACCACACCGAACAAAGCCUCGUCAUAGUCUCCAGCCAACAUGGUCACAUAGGCCCUCCUGGGUUCAUUGGCUGCCGAGAACGCACCUUGAGCUUUCCUAAUGACACAACACAUGAGAGAGAGAGAGAGAGAGAGUUAGUCCAGUUAACCAAAUAAAACAAGAAAAGACGAAAAACAAUUGGAGAAAGAGCAAUUAACUUACAGAUCUAUGUGCAUGAUGGCAAGCCGACGACGAUAGGUCUGAGAUCGGAUGUCAUCGUCGUCGCCAGCGAGUGGGAACUCCACGAGGUCUCUGUGGGGAUUGGCGCUCGACAUCUUUUGUAGACUUGUAGUGGGAGAAGGGUUAAAGCUUUGGUAUUUGUUUUGAAGAGAAAGGUUUUGGAUCUCUCGAGCUCGAGGUUUUAAGCUAUAUAGCUGAUGGCUUGGAGAAUGUUGUGCUUUUGAGGUAGGGGUGGUUGGGUUUAUAUAGGGAAGGAAAUGGUGAAACUUAGGUUUAACUAUGGUUAAAGACGUGAGUUGGGGGUAUUAAACGUCCCUCAAAGAUUCCCAGAAGAAAGCUACAUUUUCAACCCAUAUGGCAACUCAUUUCACUUUGGGAUAUUCUUUCUAACGUAGCUCACGUGUCCAGUUGUAUGGCGUGUGACCUCGUAGCAGACGGCCGACCUUCCUUCUCCUACAAGCAAACAAACUCCCUGUACGGCUGACCUGUGCCUCAGCCCUUUUGAUUUCUUUCUCCAUGCUCUCUUGUGCUGAUCAGUUUGUGCUGAGCAGUUGGCUCCCUCUCUUCCAAGCCCCAUUUUUGAAACCCUGAAUUUCCAUAUCCUCUCCCUCUUCUCUCCUCCUCCACCCACCAACACCAUACCUCAGCCUCCAUCUCUCUCUCCCUAUCUCUCUCUCUCUCUCUCUCUCUCUCUCUCUCUCUCUCUCUCUCUCUCUCUCUCUCUGUCUCUCUCAGUUCGGCUUUUUCUUUUCUUUUUUAGGCAUCGUUGUCAUGUACAAAAGUUUGGCAUGCGGUCGGUCGGUCGAUCAACAUAUGUAUUCGUCUCUGAUAUACCAAAGCAAAAAUAAGACAAACAAGAGGAAGUUUUUUUAUAACCAUGUUUCAGUACGUGUUAUGCAGCUGAAUAUGCAGCUGAAAAUAGAUUAUACUUCCUCUAAUUCUAUUGUAAAAGAUAAAAACGGAAUUUGUGGGAAGCUGAAGAUAAAAAUGGAGCAUCCGACAAAAAAGUUUCAAAAAACAAAGAAUAAAAUAUGAGUAAUGCUAUUUAUGUCAGGUUUUUAUACCAUGUUUUCAUACUAAGUUAGGUGACAUCUGAUGUGGCCAGCCACGUCAUUUAAAAAAUUUGCAAAACCAAGGAAAUGAAAGAGAAAGAUUCCUCGUAUACCACAAUCAUCAUUUAAUUAAUUAGUUUUUCUUAAUUAUUAGUUUAUUAAAUAAUGAACUAAAUUUAAAAAUUUAAUUAAGAUGUAGCUGUCUAUAUCAAUGCCAGCUAAGGUGAUAUAAAAAUAUGAUACAAAAACAUAGUAUAAAUAUGAUUACUCAUGAAACAUGUUUAAAUAUAACUCCACUGCCAGCCUACCACCCUAACCACCAACCAGAGAUUGAUAUGCCUAACAAGUAACCGCUCCUCCUACUGUCCGUGUCCUCGCCGCCUGAAUGUUGACAUCACCACUGUGCUCAUGCUUUGCCAUGUUGUAUACGAGAGACACAAUUAACUUUGUAGAAACUACAGUAGAGAAAAUUAGCUGUUACCCUCCAUCAAAGAUUUUUCCUAAGUAUAAUUUUUUUAUACUAUUUACAGGGGACGAUUUAAACUCUGAACAUAUUAGGAUAAAGAGAAAUACCUUAUUUACCAUGGCAAUCCACCUUUUGAAUUUUUUUUUUAAAGUGUGUUAUUAGUAGCUUUUUGCUACUUAGUACUACGGUCUAGUGACAUUCAUCUUCACUUGUAACUGAGAGGUCUUAGGUUCGAUUCUCGGUAAAGGUAAAUUUGAACCACAUUAUUAUUAGUUAAUUAUGAGGCUCACCCCAUUCUUCCACCCCUUAGUGUAGCUAAUAUCGUUUGUUCAAAGAAAAUAACAGCUUCUUUGGUUUUUAUACUAGAAUAUUGUGAAACGGAUUUGAGUCAUGUUACAUAAUUGUAGUCAUAAUUAUAAAUCGAACUUAUUAUUUUUGUGAGUUGAGCUCGAGACCUCUUACUUACAAAUAAAAAGAAAUAUUGUUAGAUUGUAACGUUAUUUGUUACACUCUAUGAAGAUUUUUUUUAAUACAUACGAUAUUAUCUACCCAAGGGAUGGAGGAGUGAGUAAAACCUCACAAUGAGCUAGCUAUAAUAAUUUCGCUCGAAUUCGCCUUUGGCGAAAAUCGAACCUAAGACCUCACAAAUGAAGAAAGAUAUCACUAUACUAUAGUACUUAGUGACUAAACUCUAUGAACAUAUUAGCUAAUCAUAUUUUUCAUAUUGGAAACUUAAUAUUUAUGUCAUAUUUCUAAUUAAAGUGUGGUCUACUUAGAUCAUAGGCCGUAUUUCUUUUAUUUUCCUUUUUUUUUGUUAAAAAAAUGGAUAUAGGUAGGAUAUUAUUUUGGUAGCACCAACAAAAGAAUUAUGGGAAUUUUAACGAAAAGUUUUCAGUACUGUUCACUUUAACGAAAAUCACAUUUUCACACUAAAAAAUUAAUCCUGAUACUAUUCAUUUUACCAUUUAUUUUGUCAUUUUCGUUAAAAAUCAAAGUUUUCAAGCGAUUUUCAUUAAUUUUCCUAAGAAUUAUAUCCAACCGUUGUAUAUUUGAUUAUAUUAAAUAAACGUAAGUAUCGUAGUUAGUUCCUUCUUCAAUUAAAGAACAAAAAAUAUUACCUUUUAACAUGAAGACGAAUCGGUUGUUGGAAUUUACCUUUGAUCAAACGAAGAAUCUAUGAGAACAAAAACUACAUUUUGGGUUUGGGAUAUUGUGGCAGACGGUCGACCUUCCUUGUCAUACAAGCAAACCAACUCCCUUCACACGCUGCCAACAUUCCCAUUUUUGUUUAAGAAAAAAAGUGCAAGCAUUUUCGCCUUGGAUGAAUUUGUUUUUAAUCUAGUUCCUUUAAUUUAACCGUUAUCUACACAGUGCAAGCAUAACAAAUAUAACUUUCUACCAACAUAUUACCGCAGUGAAAUGAUAUCAUUUUUUUUCACUUGUAAGUGAAAAAUGUUCAAUACAAAUCUUAUGAUAAUGAGUUCGAGUCAAUUUAUUCUUAUUCCUAAUGUAAAUAUAUCGUUGUAUCAACAAAACCAAAUAUAACUUUUCUUGAUUUUCAAAUGAACAAUGCUUUGGUGACGUUAUUUUAGUGACACAAAAUUGUAUCUUAGUUUCACAUUAUAUAUUAUUAUUAACAUAAUGAUAUAUUCAUAUUAAAGACUAUGAGAAUAAAUUAAUUUUGAACUCGCCAUCCACGAAAUUAAAAUUUAAGACUUCUCACUUACAAUAAAGAGGAAAUCAUUAAACAACCGUAGUAAUAAGUGAUUAGUUUCAACUUAUUAGAAGAAAACUUUCAUGACAAAUUGACAUACAGAAUGUGACCCAUAGUAAAUUUUUUUUGGGGAAAAAAAAUAAAAAUCAACUAACAGGCUGGUAAUUUGCUUAAAAAGAAGAAAAGAAAAGAACAAAGAAGUCAAUCUUUUUAACUUUGCGCUUAAUAUGCUUAAUUAAUAAGGAAAACUAAUGAAAAGAGUUUGAAAAUUUUGAGUUUUAACGAUAAAGACAAAAUAAAGGGUAAAGUGAAUAGUAAUAUGAUUGACUUUUUAGUGUAAAAACCGAAAGCUUUUCGUUAAAGUUCCCUAUUUAAUAUCAAUCAGCUUGUUAGCUGACCUUUUAAUGUAUAAUAAAUAACUAAAAGACUCACUUUUUUAACAAAAGAUAAUAUAUACUGAGGGGAGAGUGAACUAAGCCUCACACUAGGCUAGCCAUAAUAAUAUUAUUCAAAUUCACCUUUAACUAAAAUCGAACCUAAAACCUCUCAUUAACAAGUGAAAGAAAAAAAAAUCACUAGAGCAUACAAGGAAAAAUAAAACAAAUCAAAAGGAGUAGUUUUUUUUUUUUUCGAGGUGAAACAUUAUUGGAUUUGGUAGAAAGCAACAUGCAGGCAUACAAUUUUUAAACAAAGCGUCAUACAUAAAUUAAAUCUGAUAAAUGUUCAUAAUAACAAUUAUCAGAUGAAUAAACAUUAGCGAAAUUGCAAAGAGAGUUUAGAGAGAGGCCUGCCUAGGGUUGGGCACGGUCCACUUCCGUCCGGUUCCAAUUUGGUUUGGUUUUCCUAAUUUUGACUGUGAGAACUGAUUGAACUGGACCAGACCGAUUCCGGUUCAUAGAUUAAAUAGACGGCUGGAUCGUAAAAAUACAUUGCAAAAUGAACUUCACAAAAACCAUAUGUCAAAAACAUAAGUCUCCAAAUUCUAACUCAUCAAUGUAUUAACCAAACCUUGUAGGUAUUGAUUAUUGACCAACUAAGUACAAUUUUUGUGCCCUUCAGAUUUUAGGGGCCCCGGGGUUGGGGGACAAUCUUCAAUAGUAAUGGACAGACAUGCCUUAAGCAACAAGUGAGAAAUGUUACUACAAAAAUUUUACCAAUGAAAGGUUUCUUGACACUAACAAGACCAAGUUCAAAACAAUUUCCUGUACAGGUAGUAACAGUGUUGCCACAACCAUAGCCAUGAACUACGUGCAAGCUCUGUUGCCAUCCUACAUCUCUCAAAGAGCCAAGCAAAAAAGAAUGGUGGAUACUGUAAAUUAAAAAGAAUUUCUAAAAGCGUGAUCAUAAACCCGCAGCAUAUGAAGAUGUUGAACCGGCAAGAAAGUGGGAGAAUAACUAGCUCAACCCUUCAUUUCCCUCAAUCAUAUGUGAAGUGUGAAAACGAAUUGCCUUCAGCGUGAUUGGAGAAUUCCGGACAUUCUAGCUUUCAGCCAGUAGAAGUUGUUAGAGCACUCGUAAAACCUCAAUCCGGCUCAAAAUUUAGUAAGAGGGGCCCAUUUGUGGCAUUCCAAACGGGGGCAUUGGCGGCAUUCCCAUCCCUCCCAUUGGUGGCAUUGGUGGUGGAGCAUAACCUCCCAUUCCCGGUGGUGCAGGCAAAGCAGGAAGCAACUGAGCAUACAUAUUCUGCAGGUCGUGCAAAGACAAUUAGUUUAAGAAAUCCUCUCAAUAAAACAAGGAUAAAGCAAAUAGAAAUACCUGCUGAGCAACCAGUUCCUUCUCUUCUUUCUCUUUGGCUUUCAACUCGUUUUGAGCUUCAAUUUUGUCCUUGAUAAGUUCAUCCACCUUACCUGUGUACUCUCGGAUAAACUAGAGAGAACAACAGAAGACUGAGUGAGGAACAAUUGAAAGGUAGCCAAUGGAUAAAGGACAACAGAUAUAAAAACAUACCUGCAGGAGGUAUGGUAAGGCAAAAUCAAUUAUAUUGUUCAUCCACGCAAGCUCAAGAGCAACAUCUGGCCGGAUCAUAUCAUAACAAACAAAUAGGCAUGCAGCAAAACACUCCUUCUUUCCCUGCAUAUUCAUUACAGAAGAACAUGAUUACAAAACCACAUCAAAAAUUAAUACUUUACAAAGAGAAAGGGAUGGAAGCAUGGACUGAACCGCCUUCUUUAAUUCACGAGGUGAGAAGAAGAAAAGAAUAAAUGAGUAUGUUUGAGCAGUAAAAUCCUUGCUUUAUUUGGCAUGCAUGAGCACUCUUAGAGAAUAAUUAGUGCAUAAAAAGAACACAGACCUGCUCAAUGAAAUAGAUAAGUAGUUCCUCCGAAAGUUCAUGAUCACCAGACUGUGAGCACGUCUCCAUGCAAUCUUUGUAAUGAUUGUCUUUCUUUGACAAUGCAAUGGAUUGCUUCCAUCUGCCAGCUUUCUUGUAAAUGUAUGCAGCAACGCGUCUCAUCUCAAGAAGUUCAUGUUUCUCAAGCUGUUCAUUUGCAAUUUUGCAUCAAUAACAAAUAAUUACAUGUCUCAGUCAAAUACUUCCGAUGUAUGAAAAACUUCAAUCUCACCUUUUGAGCAAGACCUAUCUGAUCAAAGCUGUCGUGCAAAUCUAUUGAUUCACGAAGCCUGUCAUAGUCUUCCUCCUCCAUGUAUAUUUCAUUUAGAGCUUCAUUCACAGCAGUUACAUUGUUGCUCUGAACUGCAACCAUGUAUGGCUUUAUCAGACAGAUGUGACCAGCCUGAAACCCAAAAGGAUUGAACAUGUAAGCACGAAAGAACCAUUUACAAACCCUGCCAGAACAGAAACUUGGUAGCAGAGACCAAUAUCAAUGACGUCAUGUGACAGAAGCAAACCUUUCUCAUUAUAUCCACCACUCUGGUGUGAUCCACACGAAGCGCAAUCACAUUAAGAACAUCAUUAAUAACAUCAGGAUGUUCUUCCAAGUAGAAGUGUACAGCCCUAUAGUAGAGUUCGACACUCGCAACUUUGACAAUAACAUCCUUGAAUUGCAUGUGGUCCCAUGCUUCUGGGGAGUGGUUCAUUAUGGUAGUUGCAGCAUUAUCAAACUCAUCAUAUUGGACAUAUAAGUAUGUUAAUUCUUUCCAGUGCUGCUGUUCAUCACAAGCUCUAAUAAGCUUGGGAAUGUUGAGACGGGUAGAGAAUAAUUUAAUGUGCUCCAUAAGCUUCUCAGGACGGUAUCUUGCAUAUAGAACUCCUAAUUCUGUAAAGAUGCCCAUAUGUGCACGCUCCAAUCCUAGCCCACUCUCCAUAAGACUAAUGAGCUCAUUAAAGCAUCCCCUGUUCUGGUAGUACUCACAGACCUCUUCCAGAUCAUCCACCUAAAAUUAAACAUGCUUAAGUAAGAAAUAAUCAAAAGUAUAAUUGAGUAACUAGUUAAUUGUGUCCUAUGGUACAUAGACAGGUGCGGCAAUCUGCAGUGCUUACAACUUAACAAAAACUUAAUCAAAGAAUACGCACAUCCCAUCUUGGGAGACAUCUUAAUAAACAAAAGCAUUAUAUAUAACUUCGUGAAGACAGGCGAAAUUAACAUAAACAGGAAAUGCUACCUGGAUAAUGAUGUUGAGUCCACAAAUCUGAGCUAAGCGGAAUUCCUCAGCAUCCACACAUGCAAAGCAAACAAACUUCCACGUCUUUGAGCUGUUAGCUUUCCGAGCUGCAUCAACAGCACCUUGAAACUGAUUUAGCUUCACAAGAGUGCAUGCUAGUUUACCCCAGUUAGAAAUGAAUGCAAAUAUGAUCUUGGCUGCUUCGUAUAGGGUUUCAUCAAACAAGCGAUCCCCAACAUUUUGGAGAUUGGCAACAUUUGGCAUCAGAAUGAACUCUUCAAUAUCACCAAGCCGAUCAAUCUUAGCAUAAGCAUAAAUAAGUUCACUGUCCACCUUCGGCUCCUUGGUCUUCUGCCUGACCAUCAGAAGGUAUCUUACCAAGUCAUGAUAUACAUCUGCAUCUUCAGAAGCACGUAUGACCUCCAAAAAGUGGGUGGCAUCAUCUGCACGGAUGAAUGACUCGAUGGCAUCACUCACUAAUCCCUCUCGCAGUUGAGCCUUGGCCACCUGGCUCCAAACAGCAUCUUCUUCAACCCGGAAUGCAAACUCUACAGCUCGGUCAAUGCUCUGUAUGUUGUCCAACAGGACAUUCACAGCAUCAACAUUCAAAUUGAACUUCUUGAAGAUUGCAAAUGCUUCUUCAUACAACUGAGCUUCUACAGCCAUUACUCCAACUGCAGGUCCAUCAAAGUUGUCUAAUCUAUUGAUGUAGUCCAUGACUCUGGAUGGAUCAGCUUUGAUGGCAGUCAGAAUCAAUAGAUUCUGCAAAUUGAAGUUCCCACUAAAAGCAGAAUUUUGAAGCACUAUCUUUUCAAGAAGCUCAAUCAACUCGUGUGGGAGGUCUGCAGUCAUAAAUGCUUUAACAGCUGAUGAUACUUGCUCAGGACUCUUGCUUUCAGGCAAGGCAGUAGAUACAACUUGAUCGAUUAGCUGCCUUCUAUAUUCAUUUUCAGGAUCAAGGACCUUAGCCCAGAGAUCAUCAUCCAUUCUUUCCACAACAUAUCUGACAUGCACGUAUCAAGUAAAUAGCAUAAGGGAGGAGCCACAUACAAUAAUGAUCCAACAACAUCUUACUAGCAAACAGAAACAUACAAACCUGGCCUGGAGUUUGAACAAAGAAUUUUUAUUUGUAACGUUAACAAGUUCAUCAUCGCAUUGCCCUCUACGGUAUGCGACAACAGCAAGGGUAGGAUCCCUUUUUUCACAAUAUUUACCAACAACACGAGAAUCAUAGUAUGGGUUAGUUGUGAGAAAAUGCUCAGGAUUGUUGCCGCUAUCUAUGAUGAUUUUACCCAGAGCAUUAUGGACAUGUACAUCUUGGCUUCCCUCACUCACAAGAUGCUCCAAGAAUUGGGUGAGCAAGCGAAGACGAUUCCUGCAAAUAGAAAUCACAGAAAUGAUAAGCAACUAAUAUGAAUGAUGAAGGGUAAACAGGGUCAUAAAGAGAUCACUACACCUCUUUUCACAUUCCUCGACAAGGGGCUCAACCGGUAGAAGAGAACGAACUGAUAGAAUAAGACCUUUAAUGAAAUCUUCAGGGCAUUCAUCAUCCAAUAGCUGCCCUACAACUAAAGGAGCAUUUCCUGGAUUGACCUAUCAAACCAAAAAUGGUAUAUAACGAUUGAUGCUCAAUUUGAAUAAUAACAUUGACAAGGCAUGAGAAAGCUAACAGGAAACCUGCAAUUGGUAAGAAAGAAAUUAAAAUGAUAUAAAGCCUCCAAGUAUGAAUACCUUUUGGACAUAACCUUCAAUGUAACGAAGCAUAUUGUUUGUAUACAAAUAAUGGGUGAGAUCUGGAACGAAGCCAAAACGAUCACAGACAUUAAUCAGAGGACGUGCGUCUGGAAGCUUUGCUUCCAUUAAAAAGUUCUUAGCUUUUUCAGGGUCAUAAAAAUUGGAUUCCCGUGUCACACGCUCCACCUCCUUAAUCUGUCCAGUUUUUGCAGCUGCUUCAAUGUACUUGAAAUGAAUAUCAGGAUCCUCACUGUCCAGAAAUGAUGAAUAAAUGAAAGGGACAAAGAAAAAAGAAUCUCAUAAAACUUGCGGAGGUGUCAUGUUUAAACUUCUCUUCCACUAAAAGAAACUGAUACCUGGAGCUCAAAUAUGCGCCUAGGAAGAAGUACAGCCCCUCAUAGGACUUGAACUGCUCAAACAAUUUUAUGCACUUAUCUACACCCAGUUGCUCGGAAUACUCUUUGGCGGUCUGCACGAGAUGAUCAGGUAAGCCUCAACUUUAUAAACUAUGAAAGAGCAAUACUGGUAAAAAUUUAAAUAAAUAAAAAGCACUUUACCUGUACAAUAAUCUGAAGAUUGCCCCUAAGAUUGACCAGCAGAAGAUCUUUCAUGCACUCAAGAGCCCAUUCUACAGAAAGAGUUCCAAAGAACUCGACAAGAGCCUAACACACAUAGGAGUUAGAGAUAUACUACAUCACAUACUAUCAAGUUAUAAAGAAAUUUAAGUGCCAACCUGAGGGUCAAUUGCAUGUGUGUUCACGAUGACACGUUUGAUAUCAGGCAACUCAGUGUAGUGCUGCGCAUUAAAGAUGCCAUUGGUUAGGAAAAAAAUUAUCAUUUUUAAAUGAAUAUUCAUCAGAAUCCAAGAACUACUGUACCUGUAGGGCACGCAAAUACAAACCAGCUUUUUCACAAAGUUGACCAAUACGUGGGCGAUCAUAAUGACUGAACAUACCAUUGGCCAAUAUAGCAUCGGCAACAUUUGGAAAAGUCACAAGAUUGAUUUCCAAAACCUAAGAAAAACAUUAUAUGGAGCAGACAUGUGAGAAAAAAUAAAGGAAAAGAAAGGGAAAAGAAAUCAAAGUUUAAGAAAGGGAUUAUGAACCUUUGUCUGAAGGAAUCCAUGCUCAGGUAGAUUCGGCUUCAGAACAUCCAACAAAAAGGCUGUUGCCUCACGGAUCAAGUUCCUCUGAAAAAUAAGAGAAAAUACACAAUUACAAGAAGUCCCAAAACUCAUUCUUCAGGAAAAUAACAAAAUGAAGAACAUAUUCCAACAAAAAAUUGUUGACACAACAUAAAAGCAAUAUUUAAUUUAAACCUGAAGGAACAGAUCGGUGAUGGUAUUGUAGUCAAUGGGACAACCUCCCUCCAUUUGAGACAUCAUUAGAGCAAAAUUAACAGCCCCCUGCCAACAAGAUAGUUGAAGUUGUUCCAAUGUCAGAUAAUUUAGCUCAACCCGUCAGAAGAGCAUGGUAAAUAGUUACAAAACCGCUAUAAAGAGAAAAGUGCCUCAAACUUUCAAAGAAAUGCAUGUACCUGGGGAUCUGCCCGCAAAAUUGUUUGGAGAAGGAACAAAUAAUCAGGUGUAUAUCCAACCUGUGACAAUUUAAAAAUCACAAUAAGAUAAAAAUCCAGUAAGAGCUAUUGGCCAUGUUAUUAAAAAUCACACUACCAAAACUGACACAAUAAUAGUUUUCAGCCCGGAUAAUAUUGCUGUUCAAAAUGAGAGAAUUUGAACAAUUGUAUGUCAUUAAGAUUCUAGUUCAAAGAAAAGCAAAAUUGUGUGACCUGCUUUGAGUAUAUUAAAAUCUUGUCAAAUUCCCUUCUCUCAGCAAAUGCUGCAACAACUUUGGGAGUUGCCCGGGCUUUGAUGUAUAUUUUCAAAGCAAGGUCGUUAUCCACCGUCUGCAUUGUAAAUAUGUUUCAUAAUAUUAGAAUGACAAUAUAACUCAAAAAAAAUCAAGCGGCAGCAGACUCAACAAUGCCAUUGUUGAGUAAAAGUUGAAAAGAGCCCUCUAACAUGAUCCUCUCCUUUCUCUUUUAAGGUUAGAUCAAUUUUGUUUCAGACCUUCACAAGAUCUCCAAGCUCUUCACUACAUUCUAGCUUGUCCUCUGCUAGCCAAUUCUCCAAAAGAUUCUUUUUGUUCUGAUUUACAACUAAACGUGACAGUUCCAAUGAUUCAUAAGCAUUGAGUUUUCCUCUAGUUAAAAGAGUUCCAAAAUACUGCAAUAACGGUGGGGUUUGCCCAGCUUGCACAGGAACGCUCUGCAAAGAAUAAAUAAAGUGUGUAAAUUAGAUCCUGAUUCAAAGAUUACAUGGUCUUGUAAAGGAAGCACAAUACUUCCAAGGUAAUCUAAAGGUCACACUGAGAAGCACAAGAACUAUGAAGAAUAUAUAUGUAUAUAAGCUGACACGUGAAUAAAAUAUCAGAAUGCUAUACCUGAAAUUUAGCAACAGUAUCAGGAGUACGGAGUAUUCCCAUUGGAGAUUCCGCGGCAAGCUCUGUAGCCUCCUUAUACUUUGUCUGAGAAAACAGUUCUUGGAACCGCUGGACAACCUGAGCACAACAACCAUAUAUUGUAGUUUCAAGAUAUCACCAAAGUGCAAACAGAAAACAAUUGUGCAUUCAUAUUCUCAUACUUUUUGAACACCCACAAAGACUUAAAUUACAAAAUGCACCAUAGAACUUCCCAGGAAAAGGUUGUUUCAAGAGGGAAUAUAGGGAUCCGAUUUCUAUGUAUCACUACAUACUGAUUUCCACACAUAUGGGGGAAAGACACGCACCACAAAAACCCACACUAUUGUUACCGAUUUCCUUCUUCGACACCACAAGCAAUGACAACAACUAAGAUAAAUGUGCCAAUUGUCAGAAAGUUAUUACAAAAACCAACUGCAAUCGUUACCAGGUCCUCAGCACCAGGAAGGUUUCCUCUUUUCGCAAGACUCACUGCAAGCCCCAAAUUAUUCAACUGCAAAAUCCCCAAACAAUAAAUUAAAGACCUAACAUUUUCUUUUCUCCAGUAGUCAAAUGCACAAAAAACGACUCAAAAGCAUACCUGACCACUAACAAAAGGUACAAUUGUUUGUUCAUUUACAGUGGCAAGUAAGACCUGGCCUCGCCUAUUGACUGCAUAAAAACCCCCAACGGUUGAAGCUUCAGCUGUCAAAAAUAUAGGAUCUGGACUGAUUCGAUUUCUAUAAACUGCAGUUGCUGUCUCUAGGUCAUAUACAAAUAAAAGUCCAAGCUUUGUGAUAACAUAUAUCAACCCAUACUUUUCCGAUAUCUGAAAUCAAGAAGAGAAAAAAAAAAUGUAGUUUGAUUGAUAGGUAAACAUAUGUUUAAAUCAAAGUAAUAACAACCAAAAGUAAGACCUGCAUUGAUACUGGAAAGUCAUCAGCAAAAUCCGGAGGAAAGAAUAAAUCUGCUUGCUUCUUAGUGUAUGAUGGUUUUCCUGAUGCCAAUUCACAGUAAAUGUUAGAUCUGUGCGAUGUGCACUAAUAUAUUCUAAACGGAAUCCGGUGAAGAAGCAGUGUACCUGGCUGGGCACCAAGCUCAAUUACAUGCAUCUUUGAUGUAACCUGUCCAGCAUUGGAGGACUUUGAGGCAAAACUAAUAAGAAUUGAUGGAUGCUCAUUCCCAGGAACCUGCAUGUAACAGAAAAUUAAGUAAGGGAAUAUAGCACACAGUAGUAAACCGCAUAUAUUUAAGCCAAGAGAAAGUGAGAAAGAAGUAUGGCACCGCACUUUAUAUGUGGCAAACGAUGCAGCAUGUGCUUCAAGAGCCUGACUACGUUUCUGUUCCACAGAAAAAAGCUGCAUAUUUCCUUUGACAAGUUGUGGCCUCUACAGUCAUUUUGGCAGAAGCAAUAUGUUAAUUGUUAAAGAUGUCACUAAAUCUGGUAAACCAUAAUUAGUUCCAUUCUCGUUAAAUUAUAAAAAUGAGAUAAAAAAUAAAAUUGAAUAAAUAAAAAGAAAAAAAAUCUUAUUUUCAAUAAAGUAAUUACAUAGUUCCAAGUAUCAUUGAAAAUAAAACGGAUAAAAUGCUGAAGUAUAAUGGUGCAACUAGAACAUCUUAUCUAAUCCCGGCUCCCAUGAAUUGAAAACAACACAACAUUUUGACCACUCUUCUAAAUCUUUUAGCAACUUCACAACAAAGUAAUAUGAAAAAAUGGCAAUAAGAAGUCAUGUAAAAAUAUUAACAUAGAAAAAUUAUUUUCAUACAGUUAUGUACAAUUAUAAAGGUGCCAGUUCACACUCCAAAUUUAGAAUCCAUCGACAGGAUUACAGACACAGAAGGAGUACAAAGGCAAAAUAAGCGAACAACAAGAUAAGCACUCACCUCUGCUGAACCAGGAGCAAUUCCAAUUAAGACCAACCAUUUUUCCGAAGGAUCACAACGGUAGUUGAUUAUUUGAUUGUUAGCCAAAUUAGCUGUUCGCUCAAAGACCUUUGUAGGCUCGGAUUCACCUAAAAGUAAAAUAUAUUUAAAACAUGUGCAAAAAUAUAAGAGUAAAAAACCUCAUACGGAGAGAUGAAAUAAUGAGAAGAAAAUAAAAUAAAAGAAACCAGAUUCAAGGAUAUGAAAAGACGUCUUACCUUCAAUUAACCAAUGAUAUACUGAGGUCUGCGUGACCAGACCCAGCAUCUUUGGAGUAAUCCACUUCCAAAAGACAAUCUACAAAGAACGAAACAAAGAGCAAACAGAAAAAUUUAGGAUUACAACCAGUUACCAAAAUAAAAUUAUAAAUAAAGAUUGUAAACGUUCACAGCAUCAAAUUCGACAUUGUGAAUGCCCUAAAAGGGCAAGAUCAUCACCUGCUCAGGCAUCUGAUGUGAUUUCAUCUUUGCUUUCAUUUCAAUGUUAAAUAUUUGUAAAUGGUCCUGAGUUGUUCCUUGAACUUGAGCUACACAUUGAAUUCAGCCAUCGAUCAGCGGGCGGGACAAUCACCACAACAACAAAUAACAAGAGAAAAAGACAAUAACAUCAACAACUGAACACAAAAUAUGACGGUUUAUAAACAAUUCAACUCAAAUAAUAAACGAAUUUCAAUAAUGCUCCCUGCUCGCAAAUUUACCAAUCAUAAAAAAAUGGAAAUGCAUCCGGUAUAUGAACAGAAAUCACACGGUUCCAAUAUACAUUCACAGUGAAACUGAAGCACACACUGGAAUUGCAUCACAACAUUAAUUUCAAGAAUUCAAAUCAUACCUUUUAGAGCAAGAAUUCUGGAAUUGGGAUUCAUCAAAGCCGAGUCGGCGGUAAUGGGUCGACGCAAUGGCUGCAUGGGCAUGCUCAUAUCGAUGAUAACGACGCUAUUCUGCGGCGAUGUCUCCCUAACACAAAUGUACUUAUCCGAUUCCAUAGUCACAUGCGUAAACGUAAUGAAUUGGGGAUUGAUCCCAAUACUAGGCAACUGAAAAACCACACAAAAUUCAAAUCAACAAUCACCAUCAUCGCACUCGAUCACUCAAACGCAUUGCCAAAAAUCCAACAAAAAAUGCACAAACUUGCACAGGUAAACGCCUGAUUUAUACAUAAUUCGCAAAUGGGUCAGUGGGAAACAGAGUGAAAACGCAGUUCUCAAAAGGAUCUAGAUCGAUCCAAUGAGGCAUUGGAUCAAACGACGAAAACCCAGAAAUGGUUUGAUGAAAUUAGGAUCGAGAUGAAGGUGGCAUUACCGUGAGGGCCUCUUUCAUCGUCAUGGGGGCGUUAGCGGCGGCCAUGGUGCCCGGGUCGGGGCUUUGGUAGGAGGACCCGAUAAGCAGAGAAGAAUGUGGCACAGCAGAACCUUCUGCGUGUGGAUUUGCAGAGGAGAGAGAGAGAGAAAGACUGUAUGUGGAUCUUGUAGUAUGGGAAUGUAUGCAGAAGAGGAGGAGCUAUAGUAUGCGUCUUUUGUCGCGCAAAAUUUGUGAAUCGAUUGCUAAGUGGGGUUGUACGUUGAGAAUGUAAUGCGUUAGUCGAGUGCACCUGUCAACGUACAAUACAGGACUGCUUUUUUUGUGUGCAUGUCAUUUCAGUUAAUGAUUUUAUUUUAUUGUUUGUUUGUUUUAUAAAUACGUGUUUACGUAAUAAGUAAUACAAAUGUGAUACAUAAAUAUACUCUUCUUAGCAAUACUUAAAAUUAUAAGAAGCAGAUGGGGGGUAAGACGCGAGAUGUAGCGCAGUCUGGUGAGCCCAUUUGUUUUGGAGAGAUGUGGCGCUGUCUGGUGAGUCCAUUUGUUUUGAAGAGUAUACAGAGGUUUUCGAGGUGCUAUUUAUAAAAUAAAAUGACUUUUAGGUUAAGUUAUUAGAAAUCCCUUUAAAGUGCUGAUAAUUAAUUACAAUACGAAAGAAGAAAGUCAUUUACUAUAUGAAAGGAUAAUAGUAAAACUAAAUGCACUUGUAAAUUAGACAAGUUGAUCAAUGCAGUGCUGAGGGCGUGUUUAAGUACAGUUAAUGACAAAUUAGGUAGUAUGCAAGGUAUGUUUACGUAAAAUCAAAUUAUUAAGAUAUAGUACCAUAUAUUCCAUAUACAUCAUACAUUCCAUCGUCAUUGGUCAAACAUAUUCAUCAUCAUUUGGUAUCAAUGUGGGUCGUGGAAUGCGAAUUUUCAACCAAUAGUAGCAAAAAUUGUUUGAUGUUGAACAACUAAUACAUAGACUUGCUACUUAAGAAACCUCUAACACUUUGUAGCUAAGAAACCCCACAAAACAUCUUCUUCUUUUUUUUGUUCCUUUAUGUAACUUUGUGAAACUGUUAAAAAAAGUUGUAAAUGUUACUGUUUUAAUUUACGGCAAAGGGAGGAGAGAGUUUGACUAAAGACAGAGAGUUGAAGAGGCUCUAUUUGUCAAUAAAUUGGGAUGUAUUGUGCAAAAUGUAGCUGUAACGUAAACAAUUAGUCUAGUUGAUGAAGAUAGAGUGAUCGUCUUUUCAACCUGAAUUCGGGUCGCUUCCCCAAAUAUUAGUUUAGAAUGUUGAAUUAUGAAAGAGGUUUUUUUUUCAAGAAAAUAAAAUAUUUAGGGGAAGUUGGGCUUAUUUCACAGGCCGAUUGAUUUUGCUGUGUGGGCUUUUUGACCGCUAUGUGGGUACUCUAAUAGUUUAAGCUUGGGGCGCCCUUCUACGAAGUACGAGCUCAUUGGGCCAGUUGUUUUUUCUCAAUAUUUCCCCUGGCCCUUGAACUAUUUUUAAUUUUUAUUUCAAAAUAAAUAACAGAAUUGUUGCAACAGUUCGCAAUCAAAUUAGCUUUACAUAAGAGACUAAUUACUCGUUUAAAAUAUUUUUAAAAUGAUUGAAAAUACUUAAAAAUAUAUAUUUUUGAGUUCUAAAAACACUUGAAGUGCUUUUCCAAGAUUCAUUUGUAUUUUUGCUAAGGAUUGGUACCAACAACAUUUUUAUUAAAAACGCUUUCAACAUUUUAAAGUGCUUCCAAACGAACCUUAAGUAUCUAUCACUUAAUUAGUUAAUUCUUUGCACUCGAAAUUCCAAUAUUUAAUCCCAGUAUCACCAAGAGACAUGUGUGCGAAAUAAUAAUUCAUUUAAACUUUGGUGUUUAACUUCAAAGCGUACUGUUAUCCGUUUCCAUAACAACAAAAAAAAAACAAAAAAAACGUAGCAUUAUCCACCUUUAACAUUAUAGCGUUUUCAGCCCAUUAAAUUUGAGAAAUGAUUUAGACGCAUCAUUUUUAUCUUUUCUUGCACUUGUUUCUAGCCACAUAAUUCCAGUCUCAAAACACAAUCAUGGGAACUUUCAUGGCCAAGUGAACUAUCUCAUACGUCAAAAAGCAGUUAUGGUCCUUGUCGAACUGUUUAAAAAAUCAAGUCGUUUGUUUGUAAAUUGUAGUGCAUCGUCUGCUCGUUUUCCCACUUGUUUCUUCUUCGUCAAGCCCACUUCAAUAGAAAAAUUAAUGAAAAUUGUUUGAAAAUUUUGAAUUUUAACGAUAAAGACAAAAUAAAAGGUAAAGUAAAUAGUAUCAUGAUUGACUUUUUAAUGUAAAAAUGUGAUUUUUCAUUAAAGUAAACAGAACCGAAAACUUUUCGUUAAAGCUCUCUAUUUCCAUCUAUUAUUUACGAUAUUUUAGCAAAUCUCUCGUCCUUAUCAACAUUUGAUAGUGUAAUCUUGCUCCGAUUUGCAACCACUUGCAAACUCAACUCAUCCCAAUUGCUCUCACACUAGUCCACAUAAAACAAAGGGUAUAAAAUAUGAUGAUCUUUCAGAGCAGGCCUGACAAUUUCAGCAUAACUCUUAACCUAUCACGAAACGAUACGUGAAUAAUAAGUUUUGGUUAAUCGGUUAACGAGUCAAGUUAUUAAUGAGUCACUUGUUAAGAACACGUUAACAAAUUUUGUCGCUAUCGGGUCAUACAAUUAAUAACUUAUUAAGAUAACGGAUAUAACAUGUAAAUAACACGAACACGGCCCAUUUGCAAUAGACACUAGACAUGACAAUAUCUUACAUGACUCAUUAACUUGACACGAAACAACAUAACCAUUAACAAGUCAUGUCAUGAUCGAGUCGUCUAUUAAGACAACAAGUUUGACACGACAUAACCCGUCAAGAUAACAUGUACAUCAAGAAAACGACAUGAACAUGACAGAUACAAACCAUUUGCCGGAUCAUUUUUAGAGUACAAAUACGUAUUGAGCACAAAUAUUUAGAAAUAACUCAUCAUUGUCUGGGGGUUUAAACUACAUCGACGUAGUACGCUCCCGAAGUGGUGCUACACAAAUCAAUUGACCAAAGAUACUUGUUAAUGGGUCGUACUAAUAAUAUUUUUUGUUCAUUUAACCGACCAAGUUAGCCUUUCAGUUUAUGACGUAACAUGACAAACUCGUAACUUCUUAUUAGAGUUUUUAUUUUUUAUUUAUUUAUUUUUAACAAACAAUAUUUUAUAUACUAAGAGAGAAGAGGUUAGCUUAGCCUCGUAAUGGGCUAAUAAUAAUAUGGUUCAAAUUUGCCUUUGACGAGAAUCUAACAUAAUACCUCUCAUUUACACGUGAAGAAAAAUAUUAUUAGACUCUAGUAUUAAGUGACAUACCUUAUUAGAGUAUUUUUAGAUAUGUUUAAGUGAGUUGUUAUUAGCACUCAAAAAGUCUCAUUUUACACUCUUCAUAAAUGUAUUUUUCUUUCUAAUUAUAGAAAGCUUAGUGUACCAGAUAAGAUUUUUGAAGUGUUAAUAACAAUUUCCUAUGCUUAAUUGGGAUUAUUAAUUAGUUCUAGUUUUGGUAUAAAGAAUUUUAAAAAAAUUAUGACCCAAAAAUAAACUUUAACAACAUGCUCCACCAAGAUUGUGAAAUAUAAACAAUAUAACAAAUAAACAGAAUUCGUAAUUUAUUAAAUAUCCCCAAAGAAUAUAAAAACAACAACAACAAUAAUAAUAAUAAUAAUCUGCUUCUACACAAAAUAGACAAGGUUUGACAAUCCCUUCCUCUAUUUCCUACCCUUUCCACCGCCAAGUAUUCCCUUUUCGAACCGCUGGCGCCAACCGCGCACCGCCCAUAGUUAUUAACACCCCGCUCCACUGAGCCACCGCCACUAGAGCUCUCAGUUUCCAAUUCUACCCCUCCACAAUCCGAAUUCUCCCCGCUUGUCCCUUCUUCCUCGCAAGACCUCCCGCCACCUGAAUAAUUCCUCACCACCGUCCAUCCAUCCGAUUCCCAGUUUGCCGCUCCCGUCGUCGCCAAUUUACCAAUUCUAUUCCUAGCAGAAACCUCGUACUCCUCAUCGUCCUCGUCAUCCUUAACGUCGCUUUCAUCGCCGAACUCGGAGUUAGCCCAGUCGAGAACGCAGCGAGGUGACGAGUCGGCGGCGACCGCAUUUGGAGACAGGGAAGCCAAAAAUGGAUGCUGCAGCAACUGAUCGCAGCUCCACCGCUGCUUCGGGUCCCUCCUCAGACACUUGUCGAGAAAGUCGCGACCAGUUUCCGACAACCGGCUCGGGAACCGGGGCAACCCGUCCGAAACCGCGAUCCGAGCCAGCGUCUCCAAACCGCGAUCCUCCCACCCGGGCUUUCCGGUCACCAUCUCGAUAACCGUGCAGCCUAACGACCAUACGUCGGACUCCGGUCCCUGAUAUUGCCCGUUUAUUACCUCCGGUGCCAUCCAAAGCGGACUUCCUCGUGGUAUGAUCCUGGCCGUACACGUGUCAUCCGACAAGAUAAUCGCAGAACCGAAAUCGGCGAGCUUGGCUUGGUUAAUAGCGGGGCCCACCAGGACAUUUUUACCCUUGACGUCGCAGUGAACAAUGCCCUUCGAGUGAACGUCCCUCAGCGCCGCAACGACGCACCAAACGCGCGACCGCAGCGUCGUUUCGUCCACUUCAGCAUCCACUGCGGUGCCACCUGGCAAGUACUCCAAGUGGAGGUUCCGAAACGACGUCGCGGAACCGCUCCCCGGUUCGCACGACACGUCGUCGCUGAGGUAACUCACGACGUGUGGUGAGGAGAGCGACCGGACAAUUCGAAUUUCAUUCUCCAGCGCCUCCAGCUGGCCGGGAAGACACGCGGCUUGAUCGACCGAUUUGGCGGCGAAGACACGACCGUCCUGUUUGCUGACCCCGAUGCUGACGGUGCCGAACGACCCCCUUCCUAUGCAUUUUCCUCGUACCCAAGAAACCGUGUCGUGAGAAUGCUGAGAGUUUGAGUUCAUUUUCCCCAUGUCGGAAUUUUUUUUUGUGUUUUUCUUGUGUCUUUCGAUUUGGGUCCAACUGGGUAUUUAUACGUGCGGGAGAUCCAAACGAAAGUUCGUUGCUUUUUAAUCUUUUAAUUUUUAAUUUGUGGGAAAAGAUAAAAGGAGAAUUAUUUUUCUGUGAGGGUGAGCGAGAGGUGUGCGAUGACGUCAGUGAGGCAUCUUUGCCUCUUGGUUUGUGUUUACGUAGAGAAUGGAUAGUGGGGUGGGGGAACGUACUUGGGUUGGGGAGGUUUAUCCUUAUCCAAAUAACCGAAUUUGUGUUUUGUUUUGAUCUCGGGCCAAUUGUUUAAUCUCCAAUUGCAUACGUCGUAUGUGGAUGCCUCGAAGCCAAUUCAUGUGGUGAUUUUUGAUCUUGGACUAGUGUCGGUAACCAAAGUUAAAAAUUUGUGAAUUUUCGUUUGGCUUACGUUAAAAAAUUGUACAUGAAGCACACAGAUGAAAGCAAUAGACACGUUAAAUGAUAUUUUUGCACCAUGUGCCAGAAAAAUAUCUUUUUUGCAGUUGAAAUUGGGGAUCGGUCUAUUCAAAAGUUCAAGUUUUGGCCUAGUUAAUGAUGAGAUGAUGAUGUCACACUCGAUUUGUCAUUGUCUAAACUCCAAACCGAACCGAAUCAAAAUUGAACUGAAUGCAAAUUGAAUUGAAAAAAAAAUAAAAAAAAUAGAACCGAAUUGUACAAUAACUUCGGUUCGAUUUUCAAUUUUAAUAAAAAAAUCGAACCGAUUGGAACUGAACCCCGUAACUAUCAGGCCUCGACGCCAACUUACUGUUCUUUUUGUGUUUUGUUUUCUUAACGAAAAAAGAAAAAGGAAAAAUAGAGUGGGGGGUGAUGGGGUGGCGGAAGGCAUUGCGGUUAGGUGGGCAACAAGAUCCGGACCCUUUGAUUCGUUGACUUAAAACUAUAUUCCCAAAGUCUUGCUGUUGCGGCUCCAUUGGGUAUCUAUCCAAUAAUACUUACAACUGCCGAGGCUGCAUGGACAUUGAUGCGGACGUGUUACACAGGAUGACAAUUAAACAAAUAGUUCUCUUUUUUUGUUGAAAUUUUGUGAAUAUUAGAGAGGUGGAAAAUUGGUCGCCAAAUAUAUUAGGAGCGGGUGGGGGCUCAACAGAUCACGGAGACAUGGGGAACUUCAGAAGAGGUACAACUGUUUUACAGUGACGUGGCGGGAAAUCGUUGGUCCACGACCGCGCGAGAUAACUUGGUCGGCAACAAAGAUGAGGAACGAGGAUCCUUUCCGGAUUCUCUUUGUGAGAAUCUUAAUGAUCUUCUAAUCACGUCAGUUUAUAGUAUAUCGUACGAUUAAAAAUUAUUUUAAAUACUUUUAUUUAAAAUUAAAUAUAAAUAAUACUUGACAAAAAUUGAUCGUAUGAUAUACAUUAAACAAAAACGAUUUAAAAAUCUCUAGAAUUCUCAAAAAAAAAUUCUAGAGAGAAUCCUCAUUCAAAUAAGGGAUGUCUGUGGGUGGCAGCGAGAAAGAAAGUGAGAGAGGAGUCUGGUGAUGACGUGUCGUUAUCGCGGUCCAUGGAAAAUACUUUGGAUUCAAAUAAUGUAGGGAAUGACAAAUUGGCAUAAAGAGAGCAGCCACCAGCCAGCUAUCCAUAUCAAAUCGAAUCCCGUGGAAAAGGAUGAGGGGAAGGGAGCCCAUAACUUGAAAUGAUGAAACACAUUCUGUGGCUUUUGGCACCAUCCACAUCUUUCUCUCUUCCUAACUAGUUGGCACCACUAUUUGGGACAAACUACAUCAAAAUUAAAAAUGAACAACAAUUUAGUAGAUGGUUUGUAAUUUAGUUGGUUAAAUAUUUUUUAUUCAAGAUUUAUUUGUAGUUGAGAUUUUACAACACGGUGCGUUUAAUUACCAUUGCUUUUAUCUCGUCAAAAGAAAUCUUAACUAUUAAUAGUGAUAUAUAUUCCCGACUGUAUACAAGAUUUGCCUUUUUUGUUUCAUAGUAGAAGGAUAAGGGCCAAAAUAGUAGACAACACUAUAAAUUUGGUGAUUGACAAAUAUGGGGAAGCUUCAAAAAGAGAAGAAAUCUCAGACGGAGUUGGGUUCUUUUGAUGAACUUUAGUUAAUCAAGAAGUAACCGAGCAAGUAGCAAGAAGUUUCGUGAGCACUCUUUUUUGGUGUCACAUGUGACAUGUUAAAGCUAUAUGAUUAAGUUAUUCUUUUUAUGAGAAAUUUUUCAGAAUGUCAAAAACACAGCUUGAAUUAUUAAAUGUCAUACACUAAAUUAAAUUUUCAAUCAAUUGUACUAUUAUAUGUGGGUUUUUUGGACAGUAUUUCUAAUACAUCAAAAAAUCUAUUUGCUCUUACAAUGAGGUUCAUGGGUUUUCAGCCACGUGUUCUAAAGUUUGGUUCAAUGUAAAAGUUGGUGCAAGCUUUUAAGCACAGGAGAAGGACGUGUAGAAAGGCCAAAAAGGGAGUGAGGAUGUAAAGGUUCGUCGAUGAAACUUCAAUUUUUGGGAGAUUGCCUUAAAAGGAAAAAAAAACGUGUCCUUUUUUGCUUAAUAAUAUAUGGCCAGCAGCUCAUGUGUAACAUCUCUCCAAAGUGUCCAACCAAAACCAUACACGGGCCCAAGAAUCAUUUCUCCAAAGUGUUUCCUUUUGCUUGCCCAUCGAUUGUUAUUACGUAUCAGAAAAAUCGAGGAUUAUGAUAACAAUUAAUUAAAAUUAUCAUGAUAGACUGUACAUUGACUUAAUACGUAUAUCGACAAACAAUAUGUGAUUUGAUUUAUUGUUUUUGAAUACAUGAUCUGAUAGCUAACAGAUAAUGAAUGGUUUUGAUCGUAACAUGUGUAUAAUAAAAAUUUGUUAAUUACAACAUGGUCCACAAGGAGAUACACCUCUGAAAUAGUGAAGGAAGUUGAGUUUUCACCACAAAUCAAUUGACCAUGGGGAGUAGUCUAACAUAAUUACUUAAAAGUUCAUGUAAAGUCCCUCAUUUUAUAUGUCGGAUUCAUCUCAACACAGUCUCUCAUAUGUUUCGAAUUUUCAAGUGAAACACGUGAACAACACAAUUAAGGUGACGCAAAGCACAUGUAGCCGUUGGGCUUCAUAGAUGGUACAACUUGCUCUUAUACCAUGACAGAAGUUGAGGUUUCACCAUAAAAUCAAUUGAUAUGGUAGCUGGAAGUGUUGCAUAUUUGUUUGAAGCCGAUGAUUAACCACCAUAAAACCAAUUUUGGACUUUAAGAUUAUACAAUCUAGUUAUAGUAGCUGGAAGUGUUGCAUAUUGUUUAUAGCCUAUGAUUAGUUGUAUAUAAUUAUAAUUAACAAAAACGUGUGUUUGUUUUUUCAAUUGUUUUUGAAGUGAUUGAUAAUCUGAUACAUACAAGGUUUAGUUUAAGUUCAAGUUUGUUCCGAUGGUUCGGACCAAUGUCGUUCAAGUCAAAGACAAUGGAACAUGCAUGAACCCAAAGACGAUUCCAUCUUUUGCGGCUGGCAUGAAAUCCUGACAACUCACAAUGCUUCCUCUUCUUUGUGAUUUCAUAGCUCAUGAGGUUCGUGCAUGCACGCAUUGUGUUAAUGAACCCUACCAAUUGCCAACAGAAUCACAAUCCCCACAAACCCAAGUUUUGAUUUUGACAGAUGAUAGGAUAUUUAGAAAGAUGCUUUAUGACGGAUCCUCAAUCUAUUCACAAUAAUUUACAAUUUAAUACUCAAUCUAUCAUAAAAAUAUCGUCUUUAUAUUUGUGUGAAUGAACAUAUAUCUUACACAAUCAAUGGAAAACUGAGUGCUGCUUGGGUAAUUGGUCAUGUGUCACAACAUCGGUCUAAGAUCCAAAUUAACGUUUCAAAGACAUGAACUCAAUAGUAUAGGCAUAAUUAUACUUAUGUCCCUUAACUAUAUCUCGUCUCAUGUAUGUUGUCUGAAACUCAAUUGACUCAGUUUGUCUUGUUUCAAAGUUAACAUUAUGUUAAGGGUGAUGUUACAGAGAGCAUAUACUUAAACCAUAUUUUGUAAACCACAUGAUGUGGCAGUUGAUGGUUGGACUCAUUCUUAAAUCUUUAAAGAAAGAAUCCAACCAUUAACUGCCACAUCAUAUGACAUACAAAAUAUGGUCUCCUAACAUUUUUCUUCUAUUAACCAUAAACCUUUUUCGUUAGAAUCAACAAGGGUAUUUUCUUCGUUACCCCAACAUAGAUAGUAUUAACGAACGAAUGAUCCCCAUGUAGAUCAAGAAACCAAGGCAAGUCAGUUUCAACUGACUAAGUGAGACACGAAUUAUAGUUCAGACCUAGUCAAAGUAUAAUUAAGCCUUAAUUACGUGAGUACUUGAGAGUUCGUGCAUUUACUUAACAGUUCAUGCAUCUUUUUCCUUUCUAGAUACGAAGUAACUAGUAAGUACAUGACAUGAUCUGGCUGCACAAGAUCCAUAUACAAUGCAUGUAAUUAGGAUUUUCUGGUGGAAUUUGAUUGAUAAAUUAGGUGUGAUGUUUGGUACAACAAAAUCACACCGUGAUUGGUACUGAAAAGUCCAAAGGGAAGCCAACCUGGGCUUUUUCUAGGAGAGGGUACCCCAGGCAUGAUUGGGAACGUGGUAUAUGGGUGGACUAAUGGUCGGAUUCAUGUACAAUUUUUAGGUCAUUUUUAGGGCAAAGGGGGUCCUAUUGACAACGGAUCAUGGUUGUUAAUUAAUCAUCUGAUUAAGAUAAUUAGGCACAGAUAUUAUGCAACUUACCAAAUCUUCGAAUGGCAACCACAUAUUUUAUCAUGGGGGCAUGGUAGUAGGCAGGAAGGUUAAGUAUAUCUCGUCUUUUGGUUUGAUGAAAGAGUUGGCGGAUGAAUUUAUUUGUAGCCAUUAAAGUUUACGGUGUGACAUGCCCACGUAGUGUAUGUCGAAGUAAAAUGACAAAUCCUAUUUACCGGGAGCGUUUAAUUUUUAAUUAUCUUUCAAUAUUACUCGCGGAAACAAUUGUCUAUACCACUCAUUUGUUUAGCUAUAUUUUUUUUCUAAUAAAGGGGGGACAACUGGUGGUAAGCCACGGUUAUUCACCCAUUCCGGAGGCCGGGAAGACUCACAGGGACAUUUCAAUCUCCUCCUAGCCACAAGUCUGGCUUCCACACUAGCAGCGGGUUUCGAACCCGAGACCUCCAAUUUCUAAUUUUAAGGAAGUUUCGUAAUCCGUAAUUUACCACUAGUUCACCAGCUUGUGGUUCAUUUGUUUAGCUAUUUGAUUAUCUACAUUUUUGUUCAGUUUUAAGAUUUUAUUUAAUGAACUAUAGUAGCUUGCAGUUUUUAACGAAUCGGAGUUGAUUCCACACUAGCAGCGGAUUUCGAACCCGAGACCUCCAAUUUCUAGUUUUAAGGAAGUCUCGUAAUCCGUAAUUUACCACUAGGUCACCAGCUUGUGGUUCAUUUGUUUAGCUAUUUGAUUAUCUACAUUUUUGUUCAGUUUUAUGAUUUUAUUUAAUGAACUAUAGUAGCUUGCAGUUUUUAACGAAUCGGAGUUGAUUCCAACUCGUUCUAAGUUCAAUUUAAAUCGAUCUGAGUUUGUUGUUCCUUUGUGGAUCCUCCUUUAGUGAGCAAAUUUUAGGUUUUGGUGAUAGCAACAUCGUAGAUGGGGUGAGUUUAAAAUAAUGAGGUAUCCCACACAUUGAUAAUAUCUAUUAGCAUAUCAACAACAUUAUGAACAUAUAGACGUUUACAUACAUUAUAGAAAUCGUAUCAACAAUAUCUACACUGUAUGUCAAUACUAUAUCUAUGGUAUUUACGUUAUAUCAAUAUUUAUCUAUGUAAGGGUACUUUAGACAUUUACCUCUUUCAACACUCUGUCGUUCAUGUCUUUCCCAUCUUUCUUUCUAUUUCAGCACUUUGUGUUUGAAAUCCUUCUACUAUAGCUAAUUUCCCUAUUAUAUUUGUACACGACUCAUAAUAUGAGGAAAUGUAACGACUAUUUUGGACUGCUUCUACUGAUCACCUUGAUGACCGCUGCUUUAAUAAAGGUGGGUCUAAUUUCUUCUUCAAAAAGAUAGAUAUAGAGGAUCAAUGACACAAUUACUUACACGUACAUUUUGAAAAGACAUAUAUAGAAAAGAAUCAUGAUCGUAACCAGUCUUAUUUAGGAUAGGAAAUCACAAUUUUGCCUAAGAAUAUAUGUAUAGGAGGGUCCACACUUAUUAGACAAAUGUUGAAUAAUUGCGGUACAAAUAACAUUAUUCAAACGUAACACUAUCUGUGCAACAAUGAGUCCCACUUCGGGGUUAUUGGAAUUUCAAAAAUAGUAAAAGAAUUAUAUAAAGGUAACUUGAAAAAUGAAAUGAAGAUUAGCAUUACCAUAUUCUAAAGUUGAGGGCCUAUAUUUCGAUUAUUUACGAUUUUGCCAUUCCUCGGAAAGAUGGUCUGAUUUGGGUUGCCGCAGUUGGGCGGCAUGUGGGCUUCGCACAGGGUUUUGGAGGCCUGUACUCAAAAUGGCCCAAGGCCUGUAAUCAUCUAUGUGAGUAUCCGUACCAGAGGGUAAGCUUUUUGCUUUAGCACACACUAUCUACCCAUUUUUCAUUUUUUUUCAUGUACCAUGGUACAUUAGAAAAAUAUAAUUUAGUGGUACGUUUUCCUUUUAGAGGAUAGUUUGUAUGGGGUACAUUUCAAUUUAACAUUAAUAUUGUCUAUACAAAUUUCCGUCGUCUUCAGUCUUGACGAAAAUGCACCUGCAAAACAAUCAACACCUUUGAUCAAAAACUUAAGCCUCAUGCGUCCACAAGGGUGGGGGGUUAGGUCAACGGAUCUCCAAUGCCUAAGUUAGUUUAUCUGAGAGAGUAAAGUGUUUAGGGCUUUUUUCAGGGUUAGCCAAAGCUCUCAAAAUUUGGUAGAAAUAUGGAGUAUUUAUAGAGAUAGGGCCGACCAUAGUGUUUAAUGGAGAGAUAUUCUCUAAAUAUUUCCAAGAUAUUAAAUAGGAAAUAAUACAUUGAGAUAAUGGUGUAAUUAUCCCCAAUUGAUUUAAAUUAGGAUUACUUACUUGAUUGGAGUCAAUCUUCAAUUAGGAAUGUAUUAAAGAUAGGAUUUGGGUAAUUAAUCCUUAUCUUUAAUUCCUUGCCAAGGGCAGGUGAGUUGUGAGCAGUCGUACUCAGCUGCUAAGACCUCCAGGAAUGUGAGUUGCGCGUGGGAGCAUCUGAGAAGUCAGCCCAUUUAUUGAGGGCAAUCUUGUCUUUCUUGAAUAAAAGUCACGUGUCGCCUCUAGAAUUUUUGGAAUUAUUUUAGGUUCCACAAAUGCCCUCACACCUACUGUGCUGCACACAGAAAAAUGAUAGUAGGUGCAGGAAUCCCAAGCUGCUUAGGCUUGUAGAAUUGUUUCCCAAUUUGAACUUGAUCUUCUUUUUUGAUUUGGAGAUAGACUUCUUCCAGGAAAAGGAAAAUAAUUGCCCCCAAUACCUAUUUAAUUAUGCCUUAAGCAGGGGAUUAAAUAAAUUUGGAGAACAAUCAUUAUUCCAACAAGGAAGAGAAGCCAGAGGAAAUUUUUAUUGCCCUCCCCUAGCGUUCUUCUUUUCUUGCCCUUGCAAAUAGUCGUUUCUCGUUGUUGUUAUUCUUUUUCUCUGUGCUGCACCAAGGUAAGAAAAACUUAAAUUUUCUUCUUCUUGAAUUUUUUGGGUCUUGGGACUUGAAAAAUUGGCUUGGUGGGUGCCAAGAAGGUGUGAGUGGCGUGGCAGGGAUGUCAUGGGGCUGCAGGUGGUGCGGCAAGAAGGUUGGCUCGACUUGGCCGAGGUGUCAGCGGCGCUAGGGCGCUGAAAGGUUGGAACGGGCCGGACCUUGUGGGCUACUGGACAGGGGCCCGUGCAGUAGAUAGGCCAUAGAGAGGGAAAGUUCGGCUAGGGCUGGCUCUCCGUCUUUGGUGGCCUGGGUUGCAUGACCCGACCUUGCUUCUUGGGGCGCCUAGCACGCGAGCAGAAAAGGGUGAGGAGACGUGGGCCUCCCCCCGCGUUGGGUCGACCUGCAUGCAAGAGAGAGAGGGCCGAGAGGCUUUGGGCCUCGUUGGGCUAUUUGGCGCGCGAGGAAGAGAGAGAGGAAGGAGGCACGAGCUUCCCCCCUAUGUUGGGUUGAAACGGCUUGGGCCGUGGAAUGUUGGGCGCGAAAGGGUUUGGGUUUAUUUUCAAAUGAUUCAACUCAUACCAGAACAACGAACCAGUUGGGUAGUGCUCCUGGCAAGGGCGCAUAAGCAAAAAAUUAACAUACAUAUCAAUUUUUUUAGAUCUGAAAAUUGAAAAACCCAAAGGCCCUGUUUGGUACUCUACUUGAAUCCAACUUUUUAAACUAAAAAACAAUUUUUAAGUUUUAGGCCUUAAAAAACUUGUUUGGUAGGACUAUUUUCAAAAACUGAACUCAAAACUAAGUAAAAAAUAUAGUCUAUUCUCUAAAAACAUAAAAAGUGAGUUUUUAGAGUUUUUAAACUUAAACUCACUCAUUUCUUUGCUCUCCCUCCUCCCCUCCCACUCCAAAUCUAUCUCUCUCUCUUUUCUCUCUCUCUUUCCUCUUUUUUUUUUACCUUUUUCGUCUCUCCUCCAACCCGCUAUCUUCUUUCUAUUGGUUAUUUCUCUCACUUAUUUUCCUCUCUAUCUCGUCUGAUCAUUUCCCUUCUUUCUCGUUCUUUCAAUCAUCUCUUACUUUCUUUCCUCCUCUCUCCUCUUUCUCCCUCUCUUGCGACCCUCUCUUUUUAGUUCUCUUUGUCCAUUUUAAGUCGUAAGAUUUAAAAAUUUUAAAUUGCAAACCAAUCACAUUUUUGAAUCUUAAAGAAAAUUGUUCUCAAGAAAUGUUCUUAAAAAAUGUUUUGAGAAAUGAUAAAAUUUUCAAAUAGGAUACCAAACAGGCCCUAAAAUUUUAAUUAAAACACAAAUUUGCAAUCAAUUGCAAAAUUAGAGAGAAAAAUAACCAGCUUCAAUCAAUUGAAAAAAAAAAUUGGAAGAAAAAGCCGAUUCAACUACACGAGAAGGGUUCAAUCCAAACCCUCAAGUGGAUACUCUAUCCCUUCUUCACCCUUCGUAAUCAGCGUUUGCAUCAUGUCUUGGCAAACACGCAAAGAAGACACGGAGUCCAUACCACGCGUAACCUGCUUGCCCAAUCCUUCCUGGUGAGGAACAGGCGCGAGCAUUGCCGUUUGAACUCCAAAACGACGGGUGUGGAAUUUGUUGUCCCCAAGAAGUCCGAAUCAGAGGAAGGCAGAACAGUGAGAGAAGAAGAAGAAAAAUUGCAAGAAAAAUAGGAUGAGGACGGGACAGAGAAGGAGGAUGAAGAGAAAAGAACUUGGGAUUCAGAUUAGAGAUCAAGCGAUGCGGGAUGGAGAGAGCAAACGAUGAGGGACAGAGAUAGCGAGAGAGGCGUGUUUUCUACCCGACUAAAUAAUACCGUGGUUUUGGGCGGUAUAACUAAGUGGGUAUCAACGGGAUAAAAGGGGUGGGAUCAGAUUAUUUAAUCCGGUGACUAUUUAGUACAUAGAGACAUCAAACAUCCAACUUCGUAUUAUGUGUUAUACAUCGUACCAAAUAAGACCACAGUAUACUUAAGCUUGGCUCCAACUAUUUUUUCGAACUCAAACUCAACUUUUGCAAGCCAAACUUAAAAAAUAAUAAUUUUGGAAGUGAGAGUGGUUUUUAGAGUUAAAGACAAUAAUAAUUUUGGAAUAUACACGUUGAAAAUGAUUUUUGGUGUAUUGAUAAUUUUUUUUAAUCUUAUGAGGUCGAAAUUGUCAUUGCAUAUUAGAGUAUAUAAAUAAUUUCAUAAUUUUUGAAAUGUCAUAUAAACUAUACACAUUUUUCAAUAUGGCAUAUAAACUAAAUUUUAAGCAAUUGUCAUAUUAACUUUCUGAAAUCAUUAAUUUGUCAUCUCAUCUUAGCACCGUUAAGUUUUUCAUCCAAAAUACUUGCACAUGCCUUGUUUCAGGGUUAUUUUAGAUGUUUGGCCUGAUUUUCAUUUCAUUUUAUGGUUUGCCAUGAGAAAUAACCUUGUAAAAACAAAGUAAGUUUGAUAUUACCAUUGUUUUAGAGGACUACUAUACUUCAUGAACAUGUGAUAUAUUUGACGAUUAUACUGUUGGAGAGAAACUUGAUCAAAAUUAUAUCAUGUAAUACAAGUUUCGUUUUUGUUUUAGAAUAAAAAUAUUAUUCCAUUACAUAAUCAUUUCAUUUUUUGGUUUGUAGAAACCUAGAUUGUUGUUUCGUUGAAAGCAACUUUUUAGAAGGAGAGUGGAGAGCUGAAAUGUUCUAAAUAACCUAAACACAAGUCAUGUGCAAGGCACAUGACCUACUUUUUUUUUAUAGAAAACCUAAUGGAGUUAAGGGCAUAUGACAAAAUUUAAGAUUUCAAAAAGUUGAAAUGACAAAUCGCUUAAAAUUUUAGUACAUAUAACAAAUUGAUAAAAAUGAAAACUAAUGAAAAAGGCUUGAAAACUUUGAGUUUUAACGAUAAAGACAAAAUAAAGGGUAAAAUGAAUAGUAAUGUGGACAGUAAUGUGGGUUUUUCGUUAAAACUUCCUUGAUAAAAACGUAUUAGUUAUUAUGACAUUUUAAAAUUUUCUCCUAAACUUUAAUGUGAAGUAUAUUCAACCUUAUGUUGUAUAACCAUUUUUUUCUCGACAUUUUCAAAUUUUCAAUAACUAUGUAUACCAGUUUUCAUAUUCAGCAUUGGCGCACACGACAUUAUCCAAGUAUCGAAGGCAUCAUUUGACUUAUGCAGUUCAGCAAAACCCAUUGGCUCAACCCUCAGAGCUGGCUCAGUAAACAUCACUCUCACCUCCGCAGGCAACUGCUACUACAUCCAGUGGCGAAGCUAGAAAUUGACGGGGGAGGGGUGAAGUUAGGUAGUGUCUACGAAUUGCUUCAUGAUAAUUAGGUGGAUAAUCAAGCAUUCAACGUCUAUGUCCAAGGUAUGCAAGAAGAUUAACCAAUAUUACUCAGUGGUCUCACUUUGUUGUGAACUACUUGGAAUACUUGAAUGAGGACUUCUUGGAAUAUUUGAAGGAGGAUGAGGACCACUUGGAAUAUUUGAAGGAGAAGGACUACCUGAAAUGUUUGAAGGAGGAUUUAAGCAUUGUUUCUUAUAGUAUCGUUCAAUUACGUAACUGUAAAAUGGAGAGAAAAAAAAUUCUUACACUCUUAAUCCUAGAGUAGACUAUACUAAUAUGCAUAAUAAUUAAUCCAACUAACAAUUCAAUUAAGCUAUACCAAUAAGCGUACAAAUUAUUCAAUGAAUAAAUAUUCAAUUCAACUAAUCAUAUGAAUAAUUGUAUACAUUAUGUAAUAAUUCAAUUAAUUAAUCAAUAAUCAAGAAUUCAAAUUUUAAUUUUCACCCUAAAAAAUAAUUUUAAUUUCAUAUCAAUAAUCAUAGAAUCAGAUCAAUAAUCAAUAACCAUAUUAGUGCAAAAAUAACAUUACAAAUUACAAAGACUAAAUAUGUCCCCAACGAAAUUUCAUACUAAAAAAUGCGUCAUGAUAGAUUUAUUGUCAACUAGAGCAAAAACAUCCGUAUAUGAUUGAAACCAUCCAAUAUUGAAAUUGAACUAUUUGAUCUAUGGACACUGGAGAUGAGACUAGUGUUGUGCUGGUAGGUGGCCUUCGGUGGGGUGGGGUGGGGAUAAGGAAUGGUUCUCUGUUUCAAAUUUGAACCGUUUUGUUUUUGUUUUUUCAAAAAAUAAAAAUAAAAAUCGUGAAAACUAUAUAUUAAAAAAGUGCACCAAACGCACUGUUUUACUAAAGGGUGUUUUCAAACCCGAGCCCUAGGUAAAACACACCGUUUUACUUAAAUGAUAAAUAGUCUUCUUCUUCCUUCUUCUAAUUUGCAGAACACCAGAACUCUGCAGCCCCGCUCCUCUUAUCCUCCACCUUGUGCCCAGACGGGGUGGUCCUCGGAGGUCCUUAUAGCAUAUUAUUUGGACUUUUGGGUGGUCCCAGGACCACCCAGGUCCCUUAAUAGAUCUGCCCCUGACUGAACCAGUGGGUUUUCCGACGAGGGGAGGGGCGGACCCAGAAAUCCAGUCCUGUUUUCCGACGAGGGGAGUGGCGGCUACCACUCCUCGCCCUCAUGUGGCUUCGCCACUGACUACAUCUACAGUUUUGGCCUAAAUUGCCAGUCAGGCAUGAAGCUAGCCAUCAUCGUAUCUGGUGCUUCCCCACGAUCCUUACUGUUAAGAACUCUGUUCCUCGUCAUUGGUGUAGUUUUCGGCAUACUUGUUAUGUCUGACCUCCUAUGAUUUUUAAUUUUCCGGCGACGACGAAAAGUCAAGUCCUUUGGCUCCAACCAUGGGAAGACAAAGUCAACAAAGAACCUCGAGUCACCUUUACUGCUUUAUCUGUGUCGUUAUUUUUCGUUGGCUAAGAUUAAAGCCAGCACCCAAAACUUCAAUGAUACUUUCAUUAUUGGUGUUGGCGGGUUUGGCAAUGUGUACAAAGCAUACAUUGACGGCAGUGCCACUCCUGUUGCUAUCAAACAGCUAAGACCCGAGUCAUCACAAGGGGCCCGCAAGUUCAAGACGGAGAUCGAGCUGCUCUCCCAACUCCGCCACCGCCAUUUGGUUUCACUCAUUGGUUACUGUGCCGUUAAAGGUGAGAUGAUCUUGGUUUAGGAUUACAUGGCAUGCAGCAUUCUCGGUGACCAUCUGUAUCGUACAGGUAACUCUAAACCUCUUCCUUGGGAACAACGGCUUCAAAUUUGUAUUGAUGUUGCGCAAGGGUUACAUUACCUUCACAGCGGUGCCAAAGGCUCCAUUAUUCAUCGCGAUGUGAAGAGCAUAAACAUUUUAUUGGAAAAAUGGUGGCCAAGGCAUCGGAUUUCGGGUUGUCAAAAAAUGGGCACGACUAGCAUGUCCAAAACGCACAUCAGCACGGUGGUGAAAGGGAGUUUCGGGUAUCUAAACCCGGAGUACUACAAACGUCAACAGUUGACUGAGAAGUCCGAUGUGUACUCAUUUGGGGUGGUUUUAUGGGAGGUAUUGUGUGCGAGGCCAGUUCUAAUGCAUAAGGUGGAGGCUAGGGCAAUCAGCCUCGCUGAGUGGGCCAAGAGUUGUCAUGGAGACGGGACACUUGAUCAAAUCAUUGAACCAAAUGUGAAAGGUAAGAUUGAAGUCGAGUGCUUGAACAAAUUUCGUUGACAUUGCUAUAAGUUGCUUACAUGAUAAAGGAAUCAAACGACCAUCGAUGAAUGAUGUUGUGAGGGGGCUUGAGUUGGCAUUGCAGCUUCAUCAAAAGAGCAUUGGAAGUCAGGGCGACAAUGGGGCUGCCUUUGUCAAUGACUGCGGUGAUGACAAAUAUUCCGAACAAUGUAUAUAUGUGACAAUCUUCUUUGAGAUCAACGAUACAUAUGAAAGAUGAUGAGCAACAUUUUACAAAGUGCAAGCAAUAUUCUGGAAACAAUAUCUCAAAAUGUAUAUGUUGUAUGCUUUUCGGUGACACUCCAGAUUCAACAUCAACAACAAUGGAACUGAGAUCCUCAAAAUGUAUAUUAACUGAAUGCUGCAACCACAAGCCAGCAAAGAAAGGAAGUAUGAAACUAUAUUGUCAAUUGACUUUUGAAAUACAUAAAGGUCGUACCCAGUGCACAAGGCUCCCGCUUUACGCAGGGUCUGGGAGAGGUGAAUGUCGGCUAGCCUUACCCCCAUUUAUGGAGAGGCUGCUCCCAAGUCUCGAACCCGAGACCUACCGCUCAUGGGCGAAGGCACUUGCCAUCGCACCAAGUGCGACCUCUAUUUUUGAAUACAUACACGAAAUAUUUCAGAAUUUGAUGUUUUGAAUCACAUUACAAAGACUACAAUGGGAAAAUCGACUUUAACCACUGUAACAUGUUACAAAAAUGAAAUAGAAAAUAUUCAGAACAAGCAAGACUUUUCAAAGAAAAUGAGAGGUAAAGAAAGCUUAGUUAACUUAGCACAGCUUGUAAUUUUUUAACCUUUCCCUUUCUCCUCCAUGCGACGAUUGUUCUUGUAGAAAAACGAAAUGUUAUAUAUAGUGGUCAUUUAACCCUCCUCUCCUCUGGCAAUGAUUGGCAAACUUGGGAAGCUUGCGUACGAAAAGCUCUCCAAGAGAAGCCAUCGUGUCCUGCAAAAAAAAAAAAAAAAAAAAAAACAGAACUUAAGACUUAAGAUUCGCAGAAUGACAGUCUAAUGUCUGCCUAUCGAUGAUCUACAAAGUAUUUGAACAAUAUGCAUGCUAUGUUUCUCAUAUUUAUUUAUUUAUUCUUUAUUUUUAUAUUUGUGCAACCAUGAAAGUUAAUUGGAUGCAAAAUAUACCUGACUUCGAAUGGCGGCAAACCCUCUUCUGGAAGGCAUUGGAAACUGUCACACCCCCAAAUAUAUAACUUUUGACGAGAAGUGAGGUUUUGAAGUAGACCUUCUCCUGGCAAAUACUCCAGACCUGGGCAGCUUUCAGUUCAUAGCUCUUGAAGAGAAGUGAGGUGUCGAAGUCCCUUUCUGUCCAUUGAUUCCAAGUAGUUUGGACAGAUCACAAGUGCUUAAAUUGUUUCAUGGCUAUUCUAAUGUCCUCGCCUGCAAAACCGGGUGCUCCAUUUUAUGACUGACUUGUGUUGUUGGAAUUUGAACAAGUGAAGUAUGUGGAAGCAGCAUUGCAUCAUAAAGAUGUCGGGUCUGUGCAGCUGUGCUACUUCGUGUCACCUUUAGGCAAGCCUUUGUACCCUGUGGUGGAGAAAAGCAUCUCACUGUAUUAAAAAAUGGAGAACAUUCAACCACAUGAACUUUUAUUUCACACCUUGUUCGCUAAAUUUUAUGUUGAUGAUGAAGAAAAAGAACGAAAGGAAAAGAAAAGUGAGAAAGCACACCUCCACAUCUUCUGCUAAAAGAUCUAAUUACGUGCGGCUUUCCAUUUUUGCUGCGAAUUUAUGGCCAGGUUUACAAGAGCAUAACAUAUCUCCGCAAGCUUGAUGGUCCCUGAAUAAAGAAAAUGAGACAACCUGCCAACGCAGAAGGAGGGAAGUACAGAUGCGAGUUUGUGCCACCCAUAUUAGGCUUCUGUAGUUCAAAAAUCAACAUUUCGAGUCCUCCUGUAAUUAGAGGUUUACCUCCAUCUGUUUUCACACACUCCUACUACAUAUGAAAUUUUGAAAUGCCUGCUUCUUGUGAUAGCUAUUCAACAUGGAUGCCAUCUCGGAUGCUUUUGCCUUACAUAUCAGCUCAACAAACUCCUAAAUACAGAGAUGAAAGUAAAAUUCAAUGGGCACAUUGAUGAUAAAGAAUGAACAAAACUAACUAUUACGGUUUCAAAUAGAUCCAAUUAUUGUUGCUUCGUAAAUUAAUUCUCUCUAAGAAGUCUAUGAUUUGUAAAUUAUAUUAACAUGAUUUUUUUUUUAAAUGGUAUGCAAACUACAUAAAACAGGGAUACUGUGAAGGAACAAAACUGAAACAUAUAUUCAGUUAAAAUUUGUUAAAACGAAGCAUCAUAUCCUCUGCAUAAGAUGGUCCAUGGUAAGAGAGAAUGUAAAAUAAAGCUCAUCUGCAGUAUUCAACUAAAGGUCUAUUACCAGUUCACAUUGUAAAGAAAAGCAUAGAUACACCAACUUGAAGAUGAUAAUGGCAUUGAAAGAAGAUGAGAUAGCAGGCCACCGUAUUCAAACCAUGCCCAUAUGACAAAGAAAUAUAUCAUCCCGGGGUUCCAUCAUCUUCCUUUAGAGGUGCAUCAUUUUCAAGCCAAAAAUGCUUAGUAAAUUGAUGUGAGCUAACAUCCGUCGCCUCAGACAAUCGCCUCUUAAGUUCCACAAUAAGGAUUCUGCAGUAAUGACGCCACCAUAUUCAAACCAAAUAAGUCAGUGCAUCACAUAUAUAGGUGAAUUACGAAUUUUUGUUUGUAAAGAAACUCAUCCGCACCAACAUAAAAGCCACCAUAUUCAAACGAAAUCAGAAUGAUUAAAAAAUAAAAAUAAAAUCGUCCUAAGGGUUACCUACAUGAUAUCUCUUGCACCAGCGUGAAGAUCACUAGGACAUCAGAAGAAAACCAGAAAAGCAUGCCACGGCUGUUUACUCAUGCCAGACAGGCCUAGUAAUUGAUGCAAGCUAGCAUCUGUUCCCUUGGGUAAUUCUACCUUACAGUUCUACACCACAGUUAGCUCGCUGCCACAUCCACAAAGGCCAUAAAUGAGUCUGUCCUGGCACAUUGUAUUAACAGAUACUUAGGAUUGAUUUUACAAAAGUCUUGAUAACUAAUGCUGAUUCACGCAACCAAGAAAUGGUAAAAAGAAUACAGAACAGUUGAAUAAUGCAUCAAUAAUACACAUGAGCUACUGAGAAACUAAUCUGCAACUUUGAUUCUCAAAACUUUCAAUAACAUUUCUUCUUUUUCUCUGCCCCUCCCUCCCCACUCACUCUCUCUCUCUCUCUCUCAUCAACAAGUUUAUGUUGGAGAUAAAUAGAAAGAAUGAAACGAAAAGAAACAUCAGAAAACACACAUUGAAAUAUUUAACUGCACACAUCUUUACAUUUGUCAGCUACGAUUAUAUGAGCAUAAAGUAUCUACGCAAGCAUCAAGCUGGUAACUGAAUAAAGAAAACGAGACAGCCUGCCAAUGGAGAAGGAGGAAAACGUGGAUGCAAGUUUGUGCCCCCUAUGUCGAAAGCAUGCUUUCAAUAAGAAAUGAAUGAAAUCCGAAACCGGAAUGCGAAUGCAGAGACGUGACAUAUUCCAAAAGUUCUUGGUAAAAAAAUUGUGAGUUUUCGAAGUACCAUAUAUUCUGUAAGUGACGCCAGGGAUAAGGCUAGAGAUUAAAUAAGAGCAAACAAUACUUGACAACGAAAAUGCAGAGAUGAGAAACAAAUUGCAAUAUUUGUAAUUUCUGAAACGUUAAUACAUUAUUCGGUUAUGAAAGAGUACCUAAACAUGUUGCACUUUGAUGCUUACUUUGCUGGAUUGAUCCUCUUCAUACCAUCCCAAAAUGUUGAUCAAUAUGUGUCUUCUUUGCUGCAAAGAAAAAAUUGAUCAAUAUGCUAUGAUUCUUAUUUCUAUUAUGUCUUUUAUUUUUCAAACUAUUGAAGUUAAUUAGAUGCAAAAUACCUGAGAGUCAAAUGCCGAAAAGCACAACUUUGUAUGAGAGAGACAGAGCUCAUAUGAUGACUUCGUCGUUUAUCCGUAUGCAAGGAAUGUGAGAUAUCUUGGCCCAAUCUUCUCCCGUCUUAUCCUCAUACCUUUUCUCCAGGGCGGAACAAGAGUAGAUCUCCAGGCAAGAAAGAGAUGGCGGCAAACCGUUUUCUGGCAGGAAUUGGAGUUUUGGACAGUCAGAAAUUCGUAGCUUUUGAAGAGAAGUGAGGUGUAGAAGUCCCUCUGUUGGAAGGAAUUCCAGACUUGGGCAACGAGAAAUAUUUAGAAAUUGAAGAGAAGUGAGGUGUUGAAGUCCCUCUCGUGGCAGGAAUUCCAGACUUGGGCAAUCUUCAAUACUUAGCCAAUGAAGAGAAGCAAAGUGUCGAAGUACUUUUACAUCCACCACCGAUUUCAGACUUGAUAAUCCAAUGAUGAGGAGACCGUUAAGAGUAGUAGGGAGCAGGAGCUGUUCCUUGAGCAACGGUGCCCAGAUCUCGCCAGCAAUUUCAAAAUGUUUAAGGGAGACAAGUCCUUGUAAUCCCCACUCCACCGAAGGCUUCACUUUGUCGCAACGUCUAACAUCAAAAUAUUGCAGGUUGGGAGGCAAACCCCCUUGUGCAAAUGAUACAAGAUUUGGAAGAUUCGAGAUAUGCAAUCGUUCAAGGGCGGUGAGGGUGCGAAUUCGUUCGGGGAACGACUUCAAAUUCAUGCACGUCCAGACCUUCAAUUCUCUCAAGUUGGGAGUGGGCAAUCCUCCGUCCGGGAAAGACGCCAGAUUUGGACAGUUGCAGAUUUGGAGUUGAUUGAGAUGGCUUAGGUUCUGAUCAACUCCUUCAAUAGAAAAGGAUUCCAGAUUCUCACAGCCAUCAAUUUCAAGAGUUGAAAGUUUGGGGAAAACGCCCAACGGGAAGGACCUCACUGAAUGAAAACUAUCGUAUAUAAACAAGGACUCAAGUGACGUCAAUUCGGCCAUCAUCUCAUGAGAUAAGAACUCUAAUGACGACGGUUGGGCAAUCCCUGAAAGUCAAUCUUCGAAGAUAUUUCAUUUUGGGCAGGCACUGUAUUGCAUCAAAAUUAGAAAUUCUCAGUGUGGACAAGAACUUCUUCUCUACUCUCUCUAUUAAUGGUAACAGACCUGGGCAUCCACCAAUCUCUAUUUCCAAUGAAUUCUGUAAGUAGUCCAUGUUAAUACUGGCCCAUUCAUCAUGCAGAUGCAGAUAUUCACACCUAUACACCCUAAGUGUUUUCAAGCAUGGAAGAUGAUUGGGCAAGUACCCUCUCAGCUUCUUACAGUAACUUAUUCUCAGCACCUCGAGACAAGGAAAGUCUGAACAUUGACCUUCACUUGGACUCGGUAGCCAAUCCUCCCACUCUGGCAUCUCCUUAAACUCUAGCAUCUUCAGAGACCGAAAGGGCUGAAUUACAGAAGCUCCAUUAAGAUCACCAUAGAAUUCAUCACCAACUUUCGUAACAAAAUUCAUCCUUUCGAUGCGUAGCUCUUUAAGAGUGGGCAGCUGCCCAAAACUUGGCAAGGACAAACAAUACUUACAAUCACUGAUACACAUGAACUGUAUGUUCGAGAAGGAAUUAGAGCUUCCUAACCAAUUUGGGAAGCUGAACCCUCCAUAGAAUCUGAUAGUCAGUUUCUCCAAAUUUGCAGAAGGUUGGAGCUUGUCAAGCACAUCUCUCUCCUUUUGGGAAUCAUCGGCUUCCUCCACACCCCAUGCCAACUCUAAGUCCUUGAGUUCUUUCUUAUCCUUCAAAUUGGCUUCCAAUGCAUCCACAACAUGAACUCCAUUGUGCAGCUUUGAAAUACAAAGUCUUCCUUGAAGAUGCUGCAACUCCCUUAAUUCUCCAAUGCUAGACCCGGUAGAUUUCCCCACAACGAAAUCAGUUAAUGUUCUCAAACUUUUUAGUCUUCCAAUUUCCACUGGCAUCACUUGUAUUUUUGUUCCCCAGACAUCGAGGUAAUGCAAACUACUCAAUUCCCUCAUAUCUGCUGGUAAUUUAGUAAGGGAGCUGCAACCUGCCAACGUUAACUUCCGUAAAUUUAUCAAUUUUGUCAUGUCUGCUGGCAGUUCAAUGAGAGCAUGACAAUAUGACAACAGCAACGUCUGCAAAUUGUAGAGAGUGCAAACUGCACCAGGUAAGCUUACAAUUGCCGUCCCGGAGAGAUCCAGGUAGCGCAGGUGAAUGAGACUGCCCACAGAAUCAGGUACUUCAGAAAAAUUUCCAUAAUGUGACAAUGAUAAAACCCGUAAACGUUUCAGGGAUGGCAACAAAUCAUGUAGAAACUUUUUACUUAUGUGGAAGAACGAGCCAUAUAAUGAGAUAGGUAGGAAGGUCCGCAGACACUUAGCCCCAUUUAAUGGCUCAAAUUUUUUAGCAGCAUCAAUUUCUCCCCUAUCAUAUGACAAAUGACGAAGUCUUUCAACUUCUUGUGAUUCCCUCUCUUCCAACCUGAGAAAAAAUCCCCUAGACAUGAACUGACCCAAGUCGUUAAGAAGAUCAUGCAUUGUGAAACCAUCCUCCCCUGAUUUUUGAAGUAGCGAUCGUGAUACCAGCUCAUCGAAGUAACUUCUAGCCGUCUCUUCCAUUCUUUGCCCGUUAAAACCUUGUGGAAUUAAACCUUCUGCCAUCCAAAGUAGAACCAUAUCUUCCUUCUUGAACUCAUAGUCUUUUGGAAAAAUUGAACAAUAAACAAAACAUCGUUUCAACGGAGCAGGGAGAUAAUGAUAGCUCAACCCUAGGGCUGGAAGGAUAUCACUUUUAUCAUAAGGUAGCUCCCAAAGACUACUACUUAAUAAUUUAUUCCAUUCCUCGAAGUCUCUCUGGCCACGUAAUAGACCCCCGAGUGUUUCUGCCGCUAAAGGCAAACCAUUGCACUUGCGUGCAAUUUUCUUGCCAAUAUCUUCCAAAGUUGGAUGUGCAUUGUGGUUUUCGUUUCCAAACGCAUGUUUUGAAAGUAACAUCCAACAAUCUUCAUGCGACAAAGGCUUCAAGUGUUGAAUGGGGACAUUUUUCAUGAGAGAUGCGACAUUUUCACUUCGUGUUGUUACGAUGACUUUACUUCCGCUUGCCCCGGAAGUAAAAGGAGUUUGGAGGCACUUCCAAUCAAUAUAUUUCUCAUUCCAAAGAUCAUCCAACACAAAUAAGAAUUUCUUUCCCUUCAGUUGUUCUCUAAGUUCAACUUGAAGCAUAUUCAAAUCUGUCAUCUUACAAGGUUCUGAAGUGACCGACUCGAGAAGAGUUUUAGUCACCCUAAUAGCAUCAUAAUCUUCUGAAACACAUGUCCAAGAUCUAAGGGUAAAGUGCUCUUUCACCUUAUCAUCAUUGUAAAGGGCUCGAGCAAGGGUCGCUUGCCAACCCCGCCCAUACCAACAAUGGUGAUGAUAGAUACAUCAUCCUCGCUUGCAUCAUCAGAGAACAAGACUUUUGAUAAAUUUUCUUUAUCUCCGUCUCUUCCAUAUACACAAGGUUCAUGAAUCAAGCAAGUUGUUGGAGUUCUAUGUGAACCCUUCCUCGCAACAUCUCCCGUCAGACCAAGGGCAACCUUCUGUUGCACAAAGCCAUCCAGCCUUUGUAAUAACCCUUCUAUCUCAACAUUCAUGCUUCGAUAAAAAUUACUACGAGAAGGAGAGAUGAGGUUCCACACCUUGUUGGUUAAUUUGUCGGUUUGACCUUCACCUUCCACCUUGCAUCGCAAAGCUUCAGUGUCGAUCUCAUCCAGCAAGUCCUCCGCAUCCAAGACAGCAUGUUUGACCUCGUCGAGCCAUUUUCUCACAGUAAGGUUUGAAAUUUGCUUCUCUUCCGCAUCAUCGAGGACUGCAGAAAGGGUGAGCAGCGUCAUAUUCAGUUUCAGGAGAAGCCGUUCAUCCAGCUUCUUCUGCCGGAACAAGUCACGGAAGUCGGUUGAAACAAUUCUGUCACACAACACCUGGAUGGAAGCGGAGAGAAAAGCCUCUCCAAUCAAAGCAGCAGCCAUUUUUUCUCUUGGUUGCUUAGUUUGCUAGUAGCUCGAUGGAGAAGAAAGGCUUUUGAGAUUGUAAUUAUUGAUGCAUCCCAAUUCGUAAAGAACAUGUGAUUGGUCAGUUGACCAAAAAAGAACCUGUGAUUCGUCUGUUGACCAUAAAAGAACUUGUGGUCUGUAAGACUGUAAUUAGUCUUUUGGUUCAAAAGUUGUCCCGUGGAUCCAGAUCUGGAUCUUUUUAUUGGUAGCCUACAACAUCGUGGCCGUUGAUUCAAAGUGGAUGCAAAUCGUGCGGCCAUUAAAUUUUUAAUUUACACAUACAGCGAGGCGUUGCUUAAUGGUUUCCAGCUGGUGCUUCUCGUGAAAAACGACGCGCUCUUUUCUGGGAGAGUGGCACUGUAGCAUCACAUGACAAUGCCAAAUGAUGGUACAGAACAUGUGAAAUUGUGAGAUAAUAAAAAGAUAAGAUAAAUGUUUGGGGGAUUUUUUUAAAAUUGAAACUUUUCUAUCUUUUUUUGUCAUUUUAUAAUUUAAUAUUAAUUUUCAUGUUUUUAUAAAUUGUUAAUGAAAUUGAUCCAUUAUAUCAAGAUGAUUUUUUAAAUUGAAAAUCGAUUAAUGUAAUAUUUGAAAAUGAUUGUCGUUAAUUAAUAUAGUCAUUCCAUUAUAAUUCUGUUAAAAAUUAUGUUAUAUACUGAUUUGUUACAUAAAUAGGUCUCACAAAUUUAAUUUAAUAAUGCUAUAUAAUUUAAAUUUUGAAAUUAAAAAGUUAUAAUAAAAAAUAACCUUUUAAGGUCAAAAUUAAAAUUAAAAAAAAAAUCUCCCGUCAUCUUCGUCAAGAUGGCUUGGAAGAUGGCUUGGCUGCCAUGGCAGCCCCUAUCCGGGUGGCUCGAUUUUUGGCACUCGAUCCAUUCAAACAUAAUCGGUGCAAUUUAUUCAAACUUGGAUGAAGAUGUUUUUUUCCAUCUUGAAGAACAACUCUCGUGAUUUUGGGUAUUCGGUGGAAUGAUGCAUUCGUAGAACUCAUAGUAUUUUUUGGACAUACGAGUCCAAACACCUUCACAUGUUUGAGAACUCACCCUCACACUAUCUUCUGAGACCCACCUAUAAGCCCAACAAAGAGCUUAUCUUCCUUUCGAGUCCAUGCCCUACCUUUCAAUGCAGAUCCGGCCAUUUGAAAAUUAUUGAAAAAAAUUGAAGCAAAGAUUGUUGAAAGAGGUAAGAAAUGAUGUAGGAGAGAAAUGGUGUAAGAUGGUAUAGGAUUGUGAAAAUAAUGUGAGAAGUGAUGAAGGAAUGACUUAGGUAUUUAUAGGAAAAAAAAAUAGGAUUUUUUUAAUAUUAUUUUUUUUAAAUUUGUCCGGAAAAAAAAUAAUUCAAACCCAACGGUCAACUGAUAUCAGCUAGCCGUUGGAUUCAAAUGUUUGGCCCGGUUCGAGGUUGGCUGGCUGGCUAGCUGGGUUGGGCUAGCUGGUUGGCCCAUUUCUCUUUUUUUGGCCCAAUGGGACCCACGAGCCCUUUAGCCUAGCCCUCGGUUGGAGAUGAUUUUCGUGUCAUUUCAAGCUAUUUUCGGCCCUAUGGUCCUCUAGCCGGAUCAGUUGGAGAUGGCCUAAGAGACUUAUAGAAAGAUUAGGGAGGUGGGGAUGGGUGAGAAGGGGAGGGUGGUGGAUGGUGAUGGUUUGAGUGGACUUGGUGUGGUUUGGGUGAACUUUGGUUGAGGCUGGUACAUUAUGGUGGAGACUCAGUCUGGGCUCGAGUAGGCAAGUGUAGAGUGGACUUAGCGUGAUUUACUGACACCAUCAUUUUACGAAUUUCAAAUGAAAUAUUGACAACAAACCGCUCAAACAUUUUCAAAUCAAAUAUUGACGACAAACCGAUAAAAAAUUAACCACGUAUCUAGAGAGGUUCUUAGAAAGACUUUGAGGACAAAAUGCAGCAUCAACUAAGACACAAAAAAAUGAUAAAUGAUGGAAUCAUAGGGACGAGGUUUAGAAGCCUUAGGUGUUGACUCAAUUCCGGAACAUAUUCUCAAAUCCUAACACAUCCCACAAAAAAUUAAACACAAAGACAAAGUCUUACGCACAACGCAUGUUGAUUUCAAGUUUUCAACCGUCGACGUCGUAUACCGAAUCAAGGGGAGAAGAGGUCAGAGAGUUUGUAACAUUCUAAUGCGUAAAUUAUUCUAAAAGAAAGGAAUUAAUCAACAUCUUGAACUAAGUCAAGUUCUACAAAGAAUUAAAGAAUAGGGCUGCAACAAUUAUACAAGUCAAUGACUAAGCUCGAUCUACCUUCUAUGGGCGUUAAAAAACUUGCAGCUACGAUGUGUUAAAUAAUUUAGCAUAGAUAUGGCUACUACGAAGUCCAAACACGUUGAUCUUUCUGAUGUACCACCUCUCGUUAAGCCGAAAAUCAUAAGUAAGGUCUCAAUUGGACUACCAUCACGCUAAUGUCGUCCCAAGAGCCGCGUGAUUUGGAUAGUUCUAUUAGCUUUUUGCAAGCCACCAAAGGUUGCCCGUCAGCGCCUAAGCAUGAAGGACGAACAACAUCCACUGCUUCUUGGUUGCUAACCUGAAACCAAAGAAAUAAAUCCAAUUUAGUUGAUGGGGACUAAUUUGAUCCAAAUAGUAUGUAUGGAACUCGAUUGAUUCAAAAGCAAAAUCAUGACAAGGGGAUUAAUAUACCUUAUCCCAUAAUCCAUCUGAGGCCAUGAUUAUGAACUCGUGUUCGGGUUUGAUUCUGAGUACUUUGGUCUCUGGGUCUGGAAUUACAUAUUGUUUAAGGUGCCUAUCUCCGAUUCCUCUGGAUACAGCUAGAGACCCCUGAAUUCUCCAAACACCACGGCAUAAAUCGACAUAUCCACCCUACAAAAGCAAAUUCACCGUAACUAUCAAUCCCAAUUCGAAUAAGGUUUUAUCUGAAGUAACCAUAAUGUAUAACAAUUUGGUAGAGAAAAACUCAAAUGCUAACCAAGUUCUCAAUUCUGGCUUUCUCGUCUUCCCUUGAUGGCCGAUGAUCAGAUGUGAGGGCCUCAGCAGCACCUCCACUGCUCAAGACAGCACGACAAUCGCCAGCAUUGGACACAACCAAGUUACCGUUCCUGAUCAAAGCCGUCAAAGAGCAUGAUCCACCACGAAAAUCCUCUUUAAGAAACUCAGAGUCCGUAUUCAGAUAACCAUGCUUAAUUGCCUCCUCAAUUUCAUUCAUCAUCACCCCUCCUCGCAACUUCAUCUAAAAUGUUCUUUGACAAGUUCUCUGCUGCAAACUCGGCAGCUUUUACACCUCCAUGCCCAUCAAAUAUACCAAAAAUCGCCUGCAGAAAUAAGGUUUCAGCAUUUCAAAUUCCAAUUAUCAAACCGCUAAUUCGACUAACUACAAUCAGUAGAGUCGUAAAACAUGAAGCACCAUUCUGCUUUAACAGAUCAAAAUAUUCUAUAUAUUCCCCAAAUUCCUAACAUAGAAUUCAAAUUCCACCAUUUCAGAAAAGGGUUUAAAAUUCUCCAUCAUUUCAGAUGAUAGAACAACUAAUAACAUAGAAUUUUAAUUAAAAAUUAAAAAUUAAAAAUUAAACUAAAUUUGUUAUAGUUUAUAUGAAAACCCCAACCUGAUUUCUCACAAUUCUGCACAAAGCUUUCAAAUUUCCCAAAAUUAUACAUAAAGCAUUCGAAUUUCUCAAAAUUCAGCUCAAUAACUAAAACAAAUUAAUCCCAAUUAAAAAAAUUAAGAAAAAAAGAGAGCAACUUUAGAAUUACCUGUUUGGAAUCACCUUCAAGAUUAAGACUAGCUGAGUAGCGAUCCUCCAAAGCCUCUCUCCUCCCUCUCUUGCAACACACGUGGUAGUACCCUUCUCUAUCUUCCUCCAUCACAUCUCUCCAACCGGCCGUCGUCGGCGUCGGCGGAGCAGUCCCAAAUCCCGAGGAUACCACCGGAAUACAAAGCUUCGCCGGCCUCUUCCUCUUCAGCUGCGUCACUGGAGACCCCGGACCCGAACACGACAACCCGCUCGGCGGAUUCGGGAUCCGAAUCCGAAACGGCGACGACGGAGACGAACACGAAGCCAAUCCUGACGGCGAUAAGGCCGACGGCGGCGGAGGUAAAGUUAGGGUUUCUGGGGCCGGAGAGAUCAUGGAGGAUUUGUUGCAGAACAGAGACGACGGCGGAGAAAACAUCGGCGAGUUAGCAACUGCGACGGAGCACGACAUGUUUACCCUUUUCGGUUUUAUUUUUCCGAUACCAAAGCCAGUUUGUGCUUCUUUUUUUUCUUCCUUUUCCGAUUUUUCUGCGUUUGUUUGGAUUUAAAAUUUUCGUUGAAGAGAAUUUUGAAUAUAUAAAGGUGGCUCCUCGGGGUGGGGUCCACGCAUUAUUCCGUGUUUGUGGGGCCCCUAAUGGGCUGUUUUUAAACAGUGUUUUGACCAGUUAUAUGGGGCACUAGUUCUAGAAUGUCGAUUUUGCCCCUCUUUGGAUUUGCUUUGACUUCGGUCGUUGCUUGAGAUUAAAGUUUUGGUUAUUCAACAAUUUCAUCUUAUUUUAAGAGGUGUGUUAGCCACACACCCCAAAUUACUUCUCACAUACCUUGUUAAUUUCUAUUCGUUGAUCUUUUUCAAUUCAUCUGAUCCGAUGGCCGAAAAUUAGAAGGGUGUGUGAGAAAUAAAAUGGAGUGUGUGGAAAGUAAAAUGGGGUAUGUGGAUAUUACAUCCUUAUUUUAAUUGGAAUUUCCUUUGUUCCAUUUUGGACAAACAUGCAUUUUAUGGAGUUUUGGUGGACGUCUACGAACUCCUUGUAAAUAUUAAGUGAAUUCUCUAUGCUAUUUCGCGAGAAGACUGAAUUUGUUAAAGCUUAAAAGUUAUUAUUAAUCAUGUUCAACGUUUGUUAACAUGUUAUCUUAGUCAUGGUUAUUAACUUAUCUAGAAUUAUUUAAGUUUCUUUUUAAUAGGUAACCCAAUCACUCAUUAAAUCAUGGUAUUGGAGUCUGGUUAAUCAUGCUUUCCUCUUUCUUUGUUUUCUCUAGAAUUUAUACAUAUAUGUAAAACCAAUGAAUUAGCACUAUAAUCAGUAUACACAUUUUCUUCAUCAUCUUUACUCUGGCGGGGGAGUGCAUGAUUAAUGUUUUGUAGAUCUGAUAAUAGUUGGUUAGCUCCAUUCCGUGAAUUACAAUACAUUGGGAACAAUUCAGGCUCCAAGUUCGUUCCAUUGAUCGUUCUAUCUUUCUUUCGGUGACAAUCACUUAUUUUCAAUGUUAAAAAUAAUUAUUUCUUUUUAUCUCAACAUGUUUAUUCGUUUUGAAAGUUAAAACUAAUAUUAUCUAAGCAAAUUAUGGUUCUAGAUUUUUAGAUGAAACAGUCUCGAAACCCAACCAAUUUGAAUAUAUCCAAGUCAAUUCCAAUUCGGUUUCUAGACCCAAAAAAAAAUCCAAAGCAUUUUUCUUCAAGAUUAUUAUUGUUAUAGUUUGGUUAUGUUUGUCUUAUUUUACAAGCCUUUUACCGUUCAGUUGGAGUGCUUUAGUACGCAGGGGCAAAUCCGUCCAAUGAAACAAUACCGGCCCCACCCCCCUUGUAAGUCGGAUAACUCUAAAAAUGGAGAAGAUAAUUAAGGUGUCAAACACGUUAAUUAAUUUCAAUACGGUGUUGGACUACUUACUAACUAAGCUAACUUAAUGACGCCAUUCAAAGUGUGGGCCCCCGCGCCCUCUCUCCCCUGAUUGGUGGUUCGAUGAGCUUCUGCGAAGUUACCGUUGCAAAGAAGGUCGUCGUCGUUUGGUGAUGCUACUGUCGUUUGUGGGGAGGAGCUGACUCGGAAAUGACUGGGAAAUGACCGUUGGGAAACUGGGUGCGUUUACUAACGGUCAACAUGUAAAACUUUGAAAUUCCGGUUUUGCGGUUGUUUUCGUGUGAAAUUUUGAAACUGUGCCACUUCGUAGUUUGAAAUUUUGAAUGUUGCCAUAUUUGUAUGCCAAUUGAAUUGCUAAACGUAUGAUUUUGUUCUAAACUAGAAUAAGAACAAAUUUAUAACUGUGAUCGACCACAAGAUAAAGAAGCUAAUUAAAUUGUUAAACGUAUGAUUUUGUUCUAAAAACUCUAUUCUCUAUUUAUUUUAAGCUUAAAAUGUCACUUUCGUUCUCUCACGCCAAAUUCUAGACUAUAACAAGAACAAAUUUAUCACUGCGAUCGACCACAAGAUAAAGAAGUUGAUUGAAUUGUUAAACGUAUGAUUUUGUUCUAAAAACUCUCUUCUCUAAUUAUUUUAAGCUCAAAAUGUCACUUUCGUUGAAUUCACAUCUCCCACGCCCAAUUCUAGACUAGAACAAGAACAAAUUUAUCACUGCGAUCGACUACAAGAUAAAGAAGCUGAUUGAAUUGUUAAACGUAUGAUUUUGUUCUAAAAACUCUCUUCUCUAAUUAUUUUAAGCUCAAAAAGUCACUUUCGUUGAAUUCACAUCUCCCACGCCCAAUUCUAUACUAGAAUAAGAACAAAUUUAUCACUGCGAUCAACCACAAGAUAAAGAAGCCGAUUGAAGCAAGCAUUAGUAGUAUGUUAUUUUAUGUUCCCUUGAUCGUCUUCUUCUUUUUGAAGAUGAUAAGUGAUCAUUAAUCAAACAAAACCAAGAACAUCGUCGGUCAGGAAUACAAUUCCACAACUAUGAAUGUAACAUAAAGAUAAUAUAUAACGUGUUCGACAUAAUCACAUCUAACCAAAUGAAAAGAUAACGCUCAUAAUCCUUAGCCGAGUGCAUAAACCGCAAAAUCACCAUCUAACAUUUGAACAAUUGUCAAUGAAGAUCAGAGGUUGACUCUCCUCGUCGAAGGGAGAUAUUGACCACUACCGAUAACAGGAGGAGAAAAUAGCACCUGAUUUGAUGUCGAUGAUUCUAUUACGUUGGAGUUUCAAUUUGAAGUGGUAAAUUAUGAUUUUAACUUAUGAUCUAUUCCAAAUUUUUGUUUGAUUUUGAUGAAUUGUGCGAGUUUUUUCAUUUGAUUUAAAAAGUGAUAUAGAGGAGUGCAAUCUGAUUUUGUUUAGUUUAACCUUUUGAUUCGAUUUGACACAGGAAUUUACAAUUUACACUUACAUUUUAACAUUAGAUGUCGACCUAGUUUGGGAGUGAGGUGCUUAAAAAAAAAAGCACACAUGAAAAAAAACUGUGAGGGUUUUAGGUGUUUGGUAAACUGAAAAAAAAGAGCUUAUUUUGGAAGCUGCUGUGAGAAUAAGCUGAAAUCAAAGGAAAAAGUUGAAGCUGCUAUUUGCAGCUUUGGAAAACUGGCUUUUUUUCAAAGCACACGGAGCUACAGUGCUUCUUUAAUGAAAAUACCCACUAUUAGACUGUUUUUUUUUUCCAAAAGCGCUUUUACAAAAAAGUUUACCAAACACUCUGCUGAUUUAUUUCACAGCCGCUUAUUCUCACAGCAGCUUUUUUUCAAAGCACAUCAAUACCAAACCAGCCCGUCAACUUACUCAUAAUAAGGCCACAACUUCGUAUUGGGCUCACUAUAACGAUACAGUUGUUCGUGCAUUUAUUUGUCGAACUUGAGACUAGGGGCGGAUCAACCUUGGGACAGGGUGGGUCGUCUAGUCCCUUCCCAAGCUCAGAAAUUCUUCGUAAAAAAGUUGUGCUACCCUUUGAAAAUUUUAGAUGCCCUUGAUAUCUGUCAUACAACUGCUCGAUGAAUUAUCUCUAUUAACACUGGACAAGGUAGCUGCUAGCCUUAUACCAUAUGUUGUCAUAUGUCGACGGGCGUGCAAUAUGACUUGACACUUCAGGCUCGAUGAAAUGCCAAUUUGCAUGCUACUACAUUCAUAAACAAUUCUUGGAUAGAUUAAGACAUUCUCCAGGUAAAUAAGGGUUGAAUUUGUGACAUUAUUGGGUAAAUCAAUUAGAGCAACUCUAAGGAGGGUGUAGUCAAACUAAGAUUUUAAAGGAUUUUAAAAGACUUUGAAAUCAGAGUGUAGUCAAUUAGGAUUUUAAAUGAGAAUUUUAAAACACUUUGAAAUCAUGGUAUAGUCAAGGUAGGAUUUGACAGGAUUUAAAAGAAUACAUCCAAAUCUAAGUGUAGUCAAUUAACAUUUUAAAAGUGUGCAUACAAAUAUGUUGAUAUUCAAAAUGUCAUAGAUUUUGAAGGAUUCUUAUAAGUGAGAGAUUUUAUACAUAACAAAGGCAAUAAAGAAUCUCACCUCCACCCCUAGGAUUUCUAUUUAAGCUUUCUCACAACUUGACUUCUCUCUUUCACCACGCCCUACUUUUUCCUUUCCUUUCAAUGCUAUGCAUGGCAGCCAUUGGCUGCCAUUCGCUGUACCCUCCAUAUUCUUUCAAAUUAGAGGGUUUUUUUUACAAAAAUUAGGUGUCUUUUGUUGAACAAAGUUUUGAUUUGAUAAAUUACUUCCAAGAAUGUAAAUUCAGGAAAUGAUCUCUGUGCAAGAUUAAACAAGAGCAUAAAGGACUAUAUAACCAAGAGGAAGACUAAUUGUAAUGGUUUUACUAGGCAAAUGCUAUUGCUAUCCGACACCAGCAAACUGAGAGUUAUCUUAAUAAACAUUUGUACCGUUCAAACAUCUCUUACUAAGCCGUAAAUAAUCUAGAGAAUACAAUGUUGAAUUUUAUAAAUGUGACAUCAAGGAUAAAUCUAGACAGUGACAUAUACAUGUGAAGACUGAGAAAUUGGGGGAGGUGACUAAGCAAUUGAAAUCAAAUUGAAUACACAAAAUAAAGACUUAGAAAAUAGUCAGUCAAUUGUUAACUUUCUGUGAUUUACCCCCAGCAGCUUGCUGGUGUUUCCCCUGGAGCAAUCACAACAAACCGGUCCUUGCACUUGCAAAUUAUAACUGACCAAAUCAUAGUGAAAAAUUUUAAUUCGUGCAAGAAAAUUCGUUGUCAUGAAACGUAUACCUCGAAGUAAUUUUGAGCUAAUAAAAUUCUUCUAUAUUAUCAUUUUCUCCCGUGUUUUCACCAGCCAUUUUUUCUCUGACAUAUUCUUAUGGUAUGUUCUUUUCUUAUCCUAAUUAUCCUAACCGCACCCAAAUCAAAAUGCUUCAUAUGGGUAUGGUUAAUCUCACAAAACAAGCUCGUCUCCUCACUGAUGAACUAAAUAUUAACGGACCAAGGCUGUAUCAUUCGAGUUAAGCCCUAGCCCGGUUGAAAUGAACCCACAUCAACACAAAACUAUACCUCAAUUCAAAUGAGAAAUCCAUGAAAAAAAUCCAUAUGAAUGUAUAGAAAUCCAUAUAAGCUCGCCCAAAUCCAUAUAAGAUUAUAAAAUCUAUUAAAAUUCUUUAAAAUCUUCUGAAAUCCAAAUUGACAAAACAUGUCCGUUUUCUCAACCAAAGCCCGUGCCUGUUUUGGGUAAAUGGAGGCCCCAAGAGCACCUAAAACUAACCUUUUUACCCCUUCCUCUUGAAGCCCAAGAGAAUGGAGUAAUUCAUCUCUUUGGAGCUUUUUUUGCGUUUACUUUUAUUUACAAACUUUUACCAGUGGUUUGUGAUAUUAUUUUCAGUAUAUUUUCUUCUACAAUUUUACAAAAAGCACCAGGUGCUUGUCAAUUUUUGUGCAAUUUAGUUAUUUACCCCUAAAUUAAAAUCAAUAUUCAUAAAAGCACUCAAAUUCUGGGCUUUUUUUUCUUCUUCUUCUGGGCAUUUGCAGUUCCAGUUCCUAAUACAAAAGAGCAACUUGUAAGGAUUGAAACAGAUCAAUUUCUUUCGACAGAUACAAAUUAAAACGAAAUAAAAUAUUGAACGAAAAUGAAAGGGAAGUGGGGGGAUUGAAUUUAGUUCUCCGACGUCCAAAUACCACACAGAAAUUGCGGCAUUAGAUAGCGAGGAGAACAUCUUUCUCGGCUCAUCUCAAAAUUAACACGCACCCAAUCAAAUUUAAGUGCAUGCUCAUACGAAAUUCAAAGCCUUUCCCUUUUUUUUUAAUUAAGAAAAAUACCCAAUAAAUCACAAAAAGAAUCAAAACCCAAGAAAAAGGAUUGAAUUUAUGAAGUGGGUUAUUUGAAAUGUAGCUGCUUCAGCGUUCUGAAUCUCCCAAAAGUAGCAGACUUGAUGGGGAUAAUUAAAAAAAGACCGAAGCAACACGAUCGAUUUUGCUUCAAGGGAACGAGUCGAUUUGGGAAUUGAAAAUCCGCAAUGACCAGAUAGUGAAGCACACAAAUAUUUCAUAUCACAUCGGAUUCAUAAAAACAAAAACUAGCGAAAAAUUUGAAAGGAAACGAUGGAGCAAACACGGAAAAUGCGAAGAGCGAAGGAAGGUAGUAAAUUUCAGAAUGGAGGAAGCGGCUUCUCUGAUGCCUCAAUAUAUAGAGGACCGAGAGGGAGAAGAGGUUCGGCGGAAACCCUAGUUUCCCUUCUUCUCCCUUGGAUGAAUUUACCAAAUGGUCCUUGCACCCCUUGGGUUUUUUUUUUUUUUUUGAGUUUUAAUAUUAUUCACUUUUAACGAAAAAUUAUAUUUUUAUUUUUUUUCAUACUAUUCACUACGCUUUUAUUUAUCAUUUUUUAUUAAAAUUAAAUUUUUUUUUAACUUUUCGUUAAUUUUUUUUUCCUUCUUUUUGAUAAGUGGUUAAUUACAUAUUUGUCCUCUAAAGUUUUGGACUUUUUUCACUUUGGUCUUUCAACAUUUUUUUAGUCUUAAUUUGAUUGGUGAAACUUUUGAAUGUGUGUUGGUUAAGUACAGAAAGGGGGUUUCAUUACAAAAGCCAUGGCCACUAGUUAACGAACAUUUCAGUAAUCCAUAUACUCUUGGCAAGAUACAAAGUGUGCAAAUCCUACAUCGCAUCAUAUCUUCAUAGCGAGAUGCAUUUAAAUGUGUUGACAAGGGACACAAUCGUUUAUAAAGCAUUGAUCAACCUAGGAGUGCACCGAUGUAGGACACAGCACACGCUAUCACACGGUCCCUAAGGUAUUACAACUAGUGUUUAAUGAUAGCCCCCAUUACAAUUGUCCUUGAAAUGGUUGAAGGACCAAUGGGCGGAAAAGAAAACAAUUUGAGGACCAAAGUGGAACAAACAUUAAGAUUCAUGGGGCAAAUUUGCCAUACACUUUAAAAACAUGUUCUAAUUGGUCUACGUUCAAAUUCAAAGUUCACUUUCACCUUUCAAUAGUUUGAAUCAAAAUACAAAUAUUAAGAAAGCUCUCAGCCAAACGGAUAUGGAGAAUACAGAGAUGGGAAAACGAAUCACAACAUGUAACGAAAAAUCUGACUCUUAGAAUUAUGCCAUACAGCAGGAAGUAAAACCGUCUGCUAUAGUAAGUGAUAACUGACGCCUAAAACAAGAGAAAAAUGGUGUAGGAGAUGCAUAAUUGCUCUCACAAAAUCGACAGUUCACAAGUCAAAUCUAAAUACAGUGUAAUACAAGGUGCAUCUGCAUUCAAAUCAUCGCUCAGUCAUCAAUCUGAACAAUCCAAGUCGAUGCUUCCUCCAAAGUCCAGGCCUCACCAUAGAUGCCUGACACUAUAUUCGAAGGACAAGUUAAAGCUACAUUACAGUCUUUCAGUUACCACGCUAAAUCUUUCAGUUCAACCAAUGACAGUCCAUAAAUAUCUGAUUGAUAAGCUGAAAGGAGAUUAACUUGUAUGGCAGGGACUUCUACAAAGCACAAAAAUCAGUUGAUGAAAAUUUUGCAUUGCUUCAGUUCAUUUGUUUUUAUGUUUUCGAAGUCUAAACUACAUCCUAAAGGAUUCGAAUAUAAUCUGGGACCUUUAUUCGAAAAACACCCCUAUAAGCAACUUCACCUUCUAUAGUUCUGUGUGUAUGUUUCUUAAUGGCCCGACAAGCACAUGUGAUGAAGUCUAAAAAUACUAGAGAAACCUCAGAACUAUUUUAGCAUAAAAUUGCCACAAUUCCUGGACUGUAACAGAAAGUGAUAAACCCUUCAUAAUGUUCGGAUUAUUUUUUUAUGGUGCUUUGAAUUCGUAGCAAAAGAAACCACUUCUCGUGUGUAAAAGUGAUAAUGGAGAUUCAGAUGAAGUCUAAUAAUCUAUUCAACUACAACAACUAAUUCAAGAAAUUUUGAAACUGCCCACUACAAAAGAGGGUCGAGUGGCUGCAAAGCCUGCAAUAAAGAAGGCAAUUCUUCUAUUCCAAAAUGGAUACAUAAACUGGAGAAGUUCAAUGUCACAAAGGAGGUUGAACCAAGAGCUGUAAACUGAUUCACUUUUAGAUGGCAUCCAAAUCCCACAUUAUCUAUUGAUUCAUGAUACCAUCGCAUCCAAAUGCAUCAUAGCAAAGUACAUACUACAAAGUCUAGUAUAACAUAAUGAUAAGAUGCUACCACCUAAUGAUAUCCGACAAGAGAAAACGGUUAGAAUGUUACCUCUUCCCAAACUCCAUUAAAUAUCGUGAGCCAUUGUAACACAAGAACCACAGUAACACAACGACCAAAGUAUCUGUCAAGAUUAAGGAACUGACAAAUGCAAUAAACAGCAGAAAGGAAGGGAGAGAACUCCAAAUUAAAUUUGACCAAUUAUGGUGGGAUAUACAGUUAACAUAUUGAAUCCUCAUAGUAUUACUUCCUCAACAUGCAUUUUCCUGCUAUUCAUCAAGAAUCAAGAUUCAUAAUAUUGCACCAGACGCUGAUGACCAAAAACACAAAUUUUUAUGAUACUUAUACGUGACAAUAUGGUAGAGACAAUUAAACAAACUAGAAAUAGAAUCAGUUCUUAGCACACGAUGAUCUAAGAAAAUGCCAGAAAAAAAGAGUCACUUUACCAAAUCAUAACAGAAAGAAGAAUUUUUUGUGAGCUAAUGAAAUGCUAGGUCCCUUUGACUACCAUUUUGCUUUUUAGUAUUUAGUUUUCACUUUCUGUGCUUGAUAUAUGAAGGAAAGGAGUGAUGCAGAAGUGUGGGUAGGAGAGAGGUAAGGAAAUAAGAAGAAUAAAUGAAAACAAAAUCUAACUACAAAUGGUUUUUGGUUUGCAUUUUGUGUGUCUUCCCAUAUAUUGUUCUACAUCUCACCCACCAUCUUUUCUCCACUCUUCUAUGUCCCUCAUUUCUCCCAUGUAUUUCCCUCUAUAUCUAACACAAAAAUGAAAACAAGAAACUAAAAACGAAAUAGUUAUCAAACAUUCCUAAUUGUAAACUCUAAAUAUACCAGAUCAAGGAAAUGAGUUCACUCAUUGAAAGUAUGUAAAUCCACAUGCUCUCUAAACUAAAACAGGACAAAAUAUCCAGCAUUCUGAAGAGAAGAGAAGGCAAAACAUAGGAUACUGAAGAGAUAACGCUCCCACCAAUCCAACAUAUAGAGCCCAAAUGUCACAUUGUAAAGAUAGAUCUUUCGUUGAACCCAAUUCAUAACUCCGGAAUCUACAAACAACAAGCACAAGAUUAGUGCCAGAUUAAGAUGUCUCAAGUCACAUAAAAGUCAACAAAACCAUAUCCCAAAGAUUAAAGAAAAACAUGAGUAAAUUCCAGGAUAAAAAAAAUCUAGUAGGAUGGAGUUGACUGUAAAGGUUAGAGCUUCAUUGUGAUCUUGCCCAUCUAUAUGCGCGCGCACACACACACACAUAUAUGUGUGCAUAUAAGUGUGUAUAUUUGAUUGGAUUCCUACAGAACUUUAAAUUGAGAAAACCACAAAUGGGUGUUUAAGAAAAUUGGGAUUGUGCACAAGAUUUAUUCUAACACAAACAACAAUCUACUUCUAUUCACAAGUAACUAAACAGAUCAGUAGCUUUACAAAUUUGUCAAAUCCUACAAAUUAUGUAUCUUUUUACCGAAUCUUUCUCACCAACCAAUCAGAGAGGAAGUAGCUGAUGACUAACCGGUUUCAGAGAACGACACGGUGAGUUCAGCGGAGCUGGCCGGAGACGAUGAAUCGUUUUGAGAGAGAGAGAGAGAGAUUUGAGAUGGCAACUAGCGAAAACGAGUUGGUUUGACUCUGACCAAAACAAAGGAAAAACUUGUUCGACCCACUUUAAAGCCCAUUUUGUCAAUUCAUCAAUGAGGCCUUUUAGGCCCAUUAGGAUUAAAUUGGGUAAAGCUUUCUGGAUCGGACUUUCCCUUAGGCUUGGGCUUUCUAGCCUCUAGAGUAGCUUUAUCAACAUUCUCACAUGUUAUGUGUUAAAUAGAUGGAUGAGUAAGUGAAAUAAGGUCUCAUGGUAUUAUUAGGAAAUACUAGGGAGAUCAUCCACUUGAACUAAUGUUUGGUAAACCACAUGAUACGAUGAUUGAUGAUUGGAUUUUUUAUUUUUUUUAAUGAUAUCAACCUUCCCAUCGUGUGGUCUACAAACUAUGGUCUAAAACAUGGUCUCCCUUACAUUUUUUUUUUUUAUCGAGAACCACAUUAUUGGUGUACACUGUUUAGUUUUCUAUUUCAAUGCUUGUUUGGAAGACUUUGUACUUUUAAAAUUAGGAUUGAAGAGUCAGAUUCUCCUGUUUUAUUUAUCGUGAUAUUUUUCUCACAACGUGUCAUUUUAAAAUGUAAAUUUAGUUCAUGAUAUUUACGUUAAGUUUUGAAUAAUUUUGUUUGUUUUGUUUGUUUGUUUGGUUUCCUUUACCAGUUUUCCAAAAUUCUAUGGAAACCUUCAUAAACCUUUUUUUUAUAGAAUUUUCACCUAACCAUAAGCUUCUUUAUUAAGGGAUUCUUUGUCCUUUGGCCAUUUAACAAUGAAUAUAAGAAUACGUCAAAGACAUUUUGAGUUUAAUGACAAUUCUUGAGAAAUUGAGCUUAUCAUGUUUUGAGAAAACUUUGGUGGAAGAUUUCUUUUCAAUUUUUGUUGCCAAAAUGAUUUUUGAAGUUUUAGAUGUCCCAAAUGUAAAAACGAGGUUAAAAAUACUAAAACUCAUGUCAUGUUAGCAAAACUAACGCAUCAUUAAACUUAGUUGAUGAAAUAAAAUAUUCAGGAACACAGAUGGUAACCACAAAAAAUAAAGUAAGACAAAACAAAAUGUCAAAGAUAAAACUCAAUGAGACAAACAUAGCACCGAGUGUAAAUAAUUACUAACAAUUGUCAAGAUCAUCAUCAUCAUCAUCAUCAUCAUCAUCAUCAUCAUCAUCAUCAUCAUUCAUCACCAUCAUUGUCAUCACUUUUUCCUAAUUGAAGAAGUUAGUACACAUUUAAACUAUGCUAAAUUGUUCAUCCACUACUUAUCUUAUCUUAUCUUAUCUUAUACUUUUUUUUCUUUCCUUUGUUUAAUACCUAACAACUCCUUGUUUCCACAUAACUUAUCACCUUCACACCUACCAUUUCCUCUCUGCUUUUCAGCUGAAAUUCCAUCAUAGCAAAGCUCCAAACUCAGUUGUGCACCACGCUAACCUUAAUAAAAUAACAGAUCCUAAUCAAGAUGUUAUAUUUUAUGGACCUAGUCGUUGCUUGUAUGAUAUCCUUGUUGAAAUAGAAGCCAAACGCAAAAAAGUGAAACCUUUUUUACACUUGGCCUUACAAUUAAGACUUAAAACAAACGAUAAGAUUAUGUUUAACCAAGUGAAUCAUUCAAUUUGUCCUCGUCAUACAUUAGGAUUCGGUUCCUUGUAUAAUUGUAGAAUCUCUUACGACGUUUUCAUAGCUUAAUCUGAUAGAAAAUAUAACAGGCUUUCUGUUUUUGUAUAUAAAUGCUUAAGAAUCUUGUUUUUUUCCCCUCAAACUCUAUUGCAUAUGAGCAAACUGCAAACUCAUAUUCAGUGUUUGAGGGUUUAUUGUUACGGUAGUUUGAUAUACAUUGUUGACUUAUUUUUAACAGUUUAUGCUUAUAUACAGUUCAAUUGUUUGUAUAACAUUGUGUUAAAGUUCUCGUUCGUGAAGAGCCGGUUUAGUAUUACGUUAAAAUACAUUGUUAAAACUUACCUCUCGUUCGCGAAGAGCCGUAGCUCUUGAUCAUAUUUAAGUAUUCCAACUGCACCAUGUCACUGUUCAAUCAUUAAAAUACUCAACUCAAUCGUGUUGCCGCACGCCAAGGCAAUUUGUGAAUAUUAUAGACGAGAUUGGAGGUUAAGCGUAGCAAGUUAACUAUCCAUGACUCCAAUUAAUAAACCAUUUUAAUAGAUCUUUUUUGCAUUGUAAUUAUUUUCUUCGAGCUUACCUGUCGAACAAAGCUAAUAAAUUAUUCAUGCUUUCAGCUAUCUUUUUCUAGAUGGUGAUCAGCUACCGGCCAUGGAUACAUCAUCAAUCGUUUCCACUCACAAGGUGUUACAAUAAUUGCAAAUUAGGGUUUCGUUUUCACCAUAUUGGUCGUCCCCAUAUAUACAGUGAGAUUUCUAAUGCUAAAUGUCAAACUACACCAGCGGAUUCCUCACGCCACAUAUCUUGUACACGAGUUAUAGCUUACUAUCAACUAGCUACAGUAAGAACAUAAUUGAGUGUCAAACAAUAAUGCACACGUGAUUGGACCAAAAAGAAAAAGAGAACUUUAACGAAAAGUUCAUGACACUGUUUAUUAUAAUUAAAAAUCACAAUUUUACACUAAAAAGUUAAUUAUAAUACUAUUUAUUUUACUUUUUAUUUUAUCCUUAUCGUUAAAACUCAAAAUUUUCAAAUUCUUUUCAUUAGUUUUCCUAAAGAAAAAUUAGGUACUUAUGUGACAAAAUAAUUGUUUGACAAUAGUCCCGUAAGUGUAUUUGGCUUUACUUGGAAUGGUGGAGUUUCUGAUUCAUCGACCGUACCAAAUUAAGCUCUUCCGUGCAAUAAAUUUGUAGUUUAACUGGUUUUUCUAUGGACGCGUAGAAUUGUGUUCAAUUUCCUUUUCGGAUAUCGCAUGAAAACAAAUUGCUGACGGUGCUUUUGUUUGUUUUUCAACUCAAAGGCAUGGUUUUUUCCUUGAGUUAAUAAUAAUCAAGAGACCAUGACCAUAAACAAGUAAGAUAAUCUACGCAUCUCUACUAAUUAAUAAAACUUAUUGUCAACUAAAACCUUAUGAAAUUAUCAGUUUAACUCUCUAAUUAAAACAUAACAUGAAUAAGAAAUAUGGAGUAGAAAUGUAAUUUCACACAACCAAAUUUUUUGUUUUUUUUUCAAAGCAUCACCUACAGGUAAUUCUAACAUAUCUAUCUAAUUAAAAAUAAAUAAAAAAUAACAAAAAUUCUCACAUACUUUGUGUGUGCCCAUAUGCUAGUUUGUAUUAUAAAAUGUGAUCAGCACGUUUUUAAGCACAAAAUUCAUUGCAAGAUAAUCUGCAUUUGUAUUAUAAAAUGUGAUCAGCACGUUUUUAAGCACAAAAUUCAUUGGAGGUAGGGGUAUGAUUAAGAAAUAAUUUACUUGUCUACCAUAAUUCGUGAGCAUGAAAGUUGGGUAAAGAUGUGGGAAUAUUUGCACUGAUUUGAGACAUGAUUAACACGAGAGAGUACACAUCUUUGCACCUUCUGUUCAUAUUAUUCAAACCUAUCAAUUGCAUGAAUAUUUUCUUCGCUGCAAUUUCUUAAUUAUAUAUAAAUAAUCAAUUAAAGUACUUAAUAAGAAAUUAAGAAGAUUAAAUUAUUCUUUGUUUACAAACGAUAAGCUAGCAGAAUCUGUACGUCAGUUUGGAAUCAAUUAUACGUGUAGAUCGCUACCAUAAAACUAAGAGUAUAAAACUAUCUAAUCAAAGCUUUAAUUAGCACAUGCCCUUUCAAAAAAAUUUACAACAUCUUGAAUAAAUCUAGAACUUAGCAUGUUAUUACGUGUAAAUUUAUAACAACACAUGUUAUAAGGCGUAAAUCUAUAGCAUCACAUGUUAUGUAUACGAACAAAAGUUAUCUCUAAUUUGAUGUUAGCUACAACUAAGAGGCUGUUAGACAACCUAUCACAUUGUCUUCAACCAAGGCUUCAUAGUCUGUGAAGCAUUUGAUAUCGUAUUAAGGAAAGAAAACACUCUCGGAUCCUCUAGUUUCUCCACGAACCUGGCAUUGAACGUGGUCGUAUCGUAUACUUGACUCUUAUCUUACUCUAUAUAACUGCCUGCAGCUUUCAGAAAGAUAAGUGAGAAUAAUUGGAGAGAUGGACAGUCGUGAUCAUAUCACAUGCCCUAUUUUUUUUCCAUCCUGGCUUUUCCCCCACAAAACCGUACAACUCUACAAGCACCAGUGAUCCUUGCCCAUCACUAUAUAAAUUAUUAGCAUCUUACUCAGCCUCUUGAUAUGGCUCACAAUAAGAAAAUUUACAGAUCAUAAGUAACAUAUGUUGAUACAGUGUAUCAAAUUCAUUCAAAUUAUUAUAGGCUCAUUUGGAAGUGUUUUUAAAAUAACCGAGCAUUUGCACUGCUUUCUAUAAAAAGCACAUAAUUUGUGCUUUAUUCAGGAAGAACUUCAAGUGCUUCUGGAAUUUAAAAACACUUUCACCAAAAACAUUUUCAGUUAUUUUAAAAGCACUUCCAAAUGUGCCUAUAACCCGAUAGCAUUGAGCUCUCCAUUUUUAAAUUUGAGAGACUGCCCUAAAGAAAGAUAGGAAGAUAGUGUUGAAAUAUCUCACAUCGACCGUAUCUUUGAGAAAAUAAGAGUUUAAAUAUCUCAACCCUACUUCAACUAAUAUCAAGAUCCUUUUGUGAUAAAACCUCACGCCUAGUGAAUUGUGAUUCAACAGAGGAAGACCGUGACACCAUUUAUAUGUUUAGAAUUUGACCUUAUUAUCCAUAUGAUUCUUUGAAUUAACAAGUGCCAUAUGUCCUUUCCUUUUUUGUCUACAACUAAGAACAGGAUAAGGCCUACUAUACCCUCCCUAUCUAGCAGAUGAUUGUUAUCCUCUUUGUCAAGAUUUAUCUGCUACCAUUUUCUUGUUCAUCAUCCUUUCCUUUUUUCCCCUCCCGUUUCCCCGUUUAAUUUGAUUUUAGGCAUAUUUAUCUACCGAGUAAUUUUUGGUGUAUCUCAAAUUCAGCUAUGUAGUGUUAUUAUUAUACCGUGACACGGUGAUACCGUUCAUUUUAGUAUAACACAUGAAAUAAUGUACCGCUUAACUUAUGUUUCUAAACUUAUGUACAACCUAUAGAAAUUUAUGUGCCUAUAGGUAUCGUUUGGUAUGCAGACGGGACGGAACAGAGAGGGAGCAAAGAUGCUCAUGGAUGGAAACAAGGAGGAAGAAGAAGGAAACGGAGAGAUUAUAAUUUUGUGUUCCACGGAUGUGGAACGAGUUGAACAAGAGGGAUGAGACGGAACGAAAAUUCACCCAAAAUUCGUCUCGUGGAACAACGCGUUCCACCCGUUUUAGGCGUACCAAACAUGGGACGGAACGCCUCAUCCCACUCCGUUCCGUUCCGUCCCACGUAGCAAAUGGUACCACAAAGAACGAUUUUUACAUCUCGUCCAUAAGAUUCAGGUGAACUGGAUAUUAAAAGCCAUAUAUAUAUAUAUAUAUAUAUAUGCUGUGUCAACAGCAUGCUUGCAUGCAGUACAAUUGUCCAGCCGUGUAGUAUGAACUAGGACUAUAUAUUAAGACCCAUAUGGUGUUCUGUCAAUAUAUUCCUUCAGUUGCAUGCAAUACAAUUUCUGAAAAUAUGUUUGUUUUUUUGUUUUUUUUUUUGGAAACUAUAUGUUUGUUUGUUUGUUUUGCCAUCAUAACUGAUCAGUCUUUUACAUCAGCCAUUCUAAAGAUCCUCCAGCUAGUGCAAUUUAAUUGGGGUGUGAUUGCAAAAUAUGACAACAUAAUUAUGUAGAAGAAAACACAGAUAAAAGGGUAAAACAGCAAAUUCCUAAGAUCACCAACUUAAAGAAAAACCCAGCGACCUAGAUUUGGUGCGUUAUCGAUGUAGUCAUGGUGAUCGUGAGGCUUUGAUGUGGUACAUAUAUUAUUACAGAGCUUAGAUAUAUAAAGAUUAUGUUAAUGACGAUUGACGAUGAUGUUAAGUAUUUUUAACACCAAUAAUCGUCAUAACAACAACAAUACUGAAAGAAAACAACAACAUUACCAAUAUAAUAUCAACAAAGUUCAUGCAACAUAUUGUUUACACGUUUUAAAUUGUACAUGCAACAAACCAUAUGGUGCAAACAUAUAUUCUUUGAUUCGUCAAAGAGCAUUAUGCAUUAUCCCCAUGUGCAACCACCAUUUAUCAAACCUUAUCCCAACCCUUUUGUGAAUUAUUGGUUGAUGAAUGCACGAAAGGUAUGGAUAAUAUAUAUAUAUAUAUAUAUAUGACCAUAUUAUAGGGAGAAAAUUUAGGGUGUAUUUAGUUUACUUGUUAUUAUUUUACAUGUUAUAAUAUGAUCAUGAGAGGAUGACAUGGUUCAUAUGUUUAACUUUUAAAGUAUACUAAUGAAUAAAAGAUAAUAAUUGCAUCCACACAGGGAGAAUGCACAACGCCUCUUGCAAUAAUUACAUAUCUUUAUCGUCUAAAUUUAUAAUUGGAACGGUUCAUUUAUUUAUUUAUUAUUUUAUCUUCAUUUGAGUAUUACUUACAAAAAUUCAUUCAAAUCCGAGAUUGCUAUGCAUUCAAAUGUCAUAGUGUUAGUUCCAAGUAUCAUAUUUAUGAUAAAUCGUCUAUUUAUUUAACUUAUUUGGACGAUUAAACAAUUUAUGAUUUGAAUGAUUUAUUUAUUGACAGUUCUUGUGGAGACAUAAAUUAACUAUAUCUAACAGAAGGACACACGGACUAUAUGCUUAGUAUAACAGUUUUACUAUUGAUGUCGUGAUAAUAGUACCAUGUGACAGUAUUUCAGGUGCACUGAAAUCGGCAUAUAUUAGUCAUUUUCAACCAAAACGUAUAUACAUACAAGCAUGAAGGAGGUACAUGUGUUUCAAAAAGUUAGUGAGAGACGAGAUUCGAAGAAAUUAAAAACCGAAGCCGUUUAUAUAUGCAGAAGAGGUUAACUCUUUAGUACUCUCUAAAGGCAAGCAAACCAGAUGGUGAAAGCUGAGUAAGGCGCACCAAUACCAGUCGGACUUGAAAUGAGCCGGAGUAGAGAAGCAUGGCUUAUCCAUUAAUCCAAAAGCCACACAUCAUCUCUUGCGAAAAGCUAUGUACUUAACAUUUUUUAUCUUGUCACUUAGUACUACGGUCUGGUGAUAUUCGUUUUCACUUGGAAGUGAGAUGUCUUAGGUUUGAAUCUCAUGGAUGACAAAUUCGAUACAAAAUUAAGCUGCCCAUUGUGUAGCUUAGUCAAAUUCUCUCUUCCUUUAGUGUAAAAAUGUCGAUAUACUAAAAAAAACAGCUUAAAAGCCUUUCUUUUCUUCUACUCUAAAGUUAAAAAUAUUAUAUUUGAUGAUUAGGAUUCUUUUAAAAUUAAAAUAGAAGUUAAUUUUCAUUUUACUUCAAUACUUGUGGAACAUGAAAUUCUAUCUAGGGUUUUGUUCAAUUAGUAAAAGGGAACUGAUUUACACCAACAAGUUUGGUUGAGUUGGUAAAGAUUGUUCUCUUUACUAGAUCACUAUCUCGGUUCAAGUUCCAUUGUUAGCAAUUUCUCUUACUAGGCAAUCUGUUAAAAAAAAAGGGCUAAAACCAUAUCUAAAGAAGAUGCGAAAUCUUAGCUGAAAUGUCAACUAAUCACUUUUAACAGCAAAUAUUGCUCCAACUAAACAAUCUUUUAGCUGACCUGGAAUGACAGCCAGGCCUUAGGCGUCAAUUUUGACGCUGCGUUAAUUUCUACUUUAUAAUUUUUUUAAUUCAUGGGGCCCAUAAUAUAUUACAAGAUAAAGCUUUAAAAAUGAUUUUAUUGUUUAUUUUAUUUUAAAGUGGGCCUAAUAUGACAGUAAAAUAAUAAUUAAGUACCGGUUUGAAUAUAAAGAAAUUUGACAUCAUGCUUCAAAAUACUAAAUCAACCAUCAAUUAAGAAUUUGAUAAAAAAAAAUUGACAUACCCAUUGGAGAUGCUCUAGAACCCUUUUGUAAGUCCUUAAGAGCAAUUCCACCGGGAAAAAAAUGUCUCAGCCCUCAAUCCAAAAAACAAGCUGGCCCUCAGUCCAUUUGCUCCAGCCCGUGGAGUUGCAUGGCACCCAGCCCAUGCCAGGCAACAGCUCAGCACGUUUUGGACUGACCAAGAAGCUGGCCUGUUUCUCAAGCGCGUGCAACACAAGCGCGCAAGGCGCGAGUGGGUUUCAGGCUUUCCUGAAAAUGUGUCAGCCCACUUGGGCUAAGUGACGUGGCGUUAUGAUAGCCGUUGGAUUUCCAACGGCUAGUUUUUCUAGAUCGUUGGAUUUCCAAGGGUAAAAAAAUUUAAAUUUUACUUUUAAACUGGACCGUCCGAUCAAAGAUCAACGGUCCAGAUUAAUUAACUUAAUUAAAAUUUAUUAAAAAAUACAGAAAAAUUAUUAAAAAAUACAGAAAAUUUAAAAAAAAAUUAUUUUUUUCUUUCUAUAGUUUAUCUGAUGAGUUUAUGUAAUUUUAUUUUAGUGUGUUUUUUUUUAAGUUUAUUUGAUGAGUAUGUAAUUUUAUUUCAGUGUUUUUUUUAAGUUUAUUUGAAAUUUUAUCCAAAAUUGGUUAAAAAUCAUAUCCGAAAUAAACUUAAAAAAAAAAACACACCAAAUAAAUGCGUUGGGUGCCAGCGCAUUUUUUUAGGGAUGGAGAUGCUUUGGUCUGUUACUGUUCAUUGGGGUCUAUUACUGUUCACUUGAGUGGAUAAAUGCGCUGGGUGCUAGCGCAAAGUCCUUAGGGGUGGAAUUGCUCUAAAUAGGCCUAUGAUAUGCCCAGAUCCUAGGAUGGGCCCCUCCCGGUAAACUUUUUUUUUAAACAAAAAAGGAACUGAUUUACAUAGAUUUGUUUUUUUUGUUUUUUUUUGGACAAGUACACGAAGCUUUAAUAAAAACCGAGGGCAAAAGCCAACUGAACACAGAAAGCCCACAAAAGGGCAAACACAGCAAAACAGACAAAGGGCUAUGUGAGGGAGAACAACUGAACAAAGACACUACCACAAAUGUGAGACGUCAUCCCAACACACACCCACACCAAAAAACACUUACAUAGGGCAAGGAAGUCCAUCUUUGUUAAGAAUGAAUAAUUCUCAACCAUCCAUAUUUAUUGAUGACUAUUAGAAUGAAUAAAUCAAACAAAACAAGAACAUGAUUAAAUCAUCUUCAAAAGAGAUGUCAAAUCCUAAGUGGAAUGUCAUGUAAUCAAAUUUGAAGAUACAAUCAAGUUCCAACUGAUAUGUCAAUCUUACAUGGAUUGACAUAUGAGAAAAUGCGAUGUCAAAUAAUUUUUAAUUAUUUUAUUGUGUGGGUCUCAUUAAUGCAUCAAUUAUAGAUCUUAAAAUUUUAUUUUAAAUGAUUUAUUUUUAAAAUGGGUCCUACAAAUAUCAUUUAUAACAAAAAAAAAGGUUGGAAAAAAAGAAAAUAUGACAUUGCUACGUCAGCCAUCAAAUUAACAUUUGACAUUUAUUUUUUGAUAUCUCCAUUGGAAGAAGUUUUUUACUUUAAUUUUGACAUCUAAGCAUGAAUCUGUGUAUUUAUCAUUUCCUUUAAUAAAAUUAACCUCAGAACACUUAAUCUCUCCUUUAUUAGAAGAAGUUUUUUACUUUAAUAUUGUAACAACGUUGUUAAUUAAGAACUUGGAAAAUUAAAGGUUACUCAGUCUCCAACCUGUAAACAUUAUUUGUAAGAGCUUAAACUGAUAUAAAGGGGGACCAAUGUUUGAUUAAUUUAUGUUCAAACAAAAAUUCGAACCAAUUAAUUAAUACAAUCACUUGUUAGUGAAUGGCUUGGUUCAAGGGAUCAGGAUCCUCUCCUGAGCAGAUGGAGAGGAUCCUCCUGACCAGGCUCAUCGGGCCGUUCAUUUUUUAUCCAACGGCUACAAACAGGAGGGCCCUCUAAAAGUUAUAAUAAUUAUAACCGUUGGAUAAAAAAUGAACGGCCUGAUGGCCUUGGUCAGGAGGAUCCUCUCCAUCUGCUCAGGAGAGGAUCCUGAUCCUGGUUCAAGUAGUAACCUAGACAUGAGGUGCUAACAGGUACAGAAGGCCCCCACCCCACCUAAAGCAAUGAGGGCUUGAUUCAUGUCGUUGUACAUAUUUUUUGAACUUUAAGGAAUGCAUGUAGCCGUUUAUUCGGAUCAAAUAAACCCUCUUAGAAGUUUAUUUUAUUUUAUUUUGUUGGGAAAGAAAGAGAAAAUUGAAGUUUCAAAGAAACGGAUGUUCACUUAUGCAACAGGUAAUCACUUAUCAAUUAUGUGCCUUUGUUGAGAAUUAAUCUCACUCGAAUAGUAUCUUGCAUAUGCUUAUAAUCAAUUAGUAUCAAAGCAGGUUAUCUUACGCGUGAAGUGUUCAACGACCACACACCACGUCAUCUUAUUUGUUUUGUUCAUGUGAUAGGCUUGAAUAUUUGCUACACAUGAGAGGGCGUGUUGAGAAUGAGACACACAUCAAUGAAGGAUGGACCUUGGAUGAGCUUCUAAGCAAUGGCGAAGCCAGGAAUUGACGGGGAGAGGGACGAAGUUAAAAAAGUGCAAGGUUCAAAAGAAUAGCAACAACCAAAUUCUUUUAUAUAGUAAUGUCUUACAUAAUGUAUUAAUACAAACAAAUUACAAUUUUUGUCGACGAGGUUUUAUAUCAUGAAAGGCUCAUUAUCAAUAAAAGCAAAUACAUCUUUCUCAAUGUAAACAAGCAUGCUAUCACUCAACCAUUGAUCUCCCAUUUCGUUCCAUUACGUAACUGUAAAAUAGAAAGGAAAAAAAAAAUCUUAGACUCUUAAUCCUAGAGUAGACUAUAUUAAUAUGCAUAAUAACUAAUCCAACCAACAAUUCAAUUAAUCAAUACCAAUAGGCAUACAAAUUAUUCAAUAAAUAAAAAUUCAAUUCAACUAAUCAUAUAAAUAAUUGUACACAUUAUGUAAUAAUUCAAUUAGUUAAUCAAUAAUCAAGAAUUCCAAUUUUAAUUUUCACCCUAAAAAUUAAUUUCAUAAUUUCAUAUCAAUAAUCUUUGAAUCAUAUUAAUAAUCAACAACCAAUAACCAACUUAGUGUGUGACAGCCCGUCUCAAAUGUUCUUAUUAUUUUUACCCUUGAUAGCGUGGAAUGACCUAUAUUGCCCUUGAAUGUUAAGUUGUGGUGGUGUGUUUGAGCAUAGGUUUUGGACCCAAUUAGAACUUAAAAUUUUAUUUGUUUUUUAGGUUGCCCAAACCUGGACCACACACACCCACACAAACCCGUUGACCUCUCUCUCUCUCUCGGAUUUUUCUUCCAUUUCCGUACAACUGUACGGACAACCUCUCAACCAACUUCAUCACUCACGGAUCGAAGUUGUGGAAGUCGUAUUCAUGCUUCUUGCAAGCUUAGGAACCAAAACCAGGCCAUACCAUUAGUUUGGAGGUUGGACCUCGAAAACCCUAGAAACUCGCAAGCUCCGGUGAGGUGCAUUGUUCACUCGACGUGAUCGCGAAGGUUUCAGUUAGUUUUGAGACUUAGAAAGGUUUUAUUCUUGCUUUUCUAGUACUUUAGGUUGCUUUUGGAGUAAUUUUAACGUAGAAACACUCGGGUUUAGUGCAUUGCAGGUGGGCGGAUUAUCAUGACUUUUUCCAGCGAGAUUCCGGUGAAUUUAGGACCUAUAAGUGGUAAGGAUGUGUUCCUUUCGUCCUAAGCUUCAUUUUGGUAUAAAAUUCGUGAAUUUUGGUUAAGAAUUGAAGAAGAUAUGAUGAUUAUAAGUUUUUCCAGAAACUAGCAGUUGCAGAGGUCAUCGGCGCCGGACUCCGGCGAGCUAAGGUUGAAGGAAGGGAAUAUUCGGUCAAAGUUGACGGAAUAUGCUAACGGCGUUAGGUAUAUUUAACGGUAUAUUCUAUUAUUUAACGGAAUAUUCCCUAACGACGUUAGGGAAUCCGUUAGUGUGUCAGGCACGUGCCUGCGCGUCUGGCCGUGCCUUGGCCGACGCGUGAGUGGUCGGAAAAUUCUUCUAAAAAUAUGGGGUUGUUCCUGAGGUUGAGUAGGCCACGGUGGUAUAUUCAAUUACCCCAAUUGAGCAAUGUAUGAGAAGUUAUUACCUAGUUUUGUUUAUGUGCUUAAAAAUAACAUUUAAAUAGUUGUUUCACAUAUAGGUGAGACAUAUCCUAAGGACAAGCACAUUCAAGCAAGGCUCGGGGGUUACGACCCUUGCACAUAUCAGUGAGUGGACUUUUGGUUUCAGUAUAUAUAUAUAUAUAUAUAUAUAUAUAUAUAUAUAUAUAUAUAUAUAUAUAUAUAUAUAUAUAUAUAUAUAUAUAUACACAUACAUACUUGGUAUUUUUCCCAGAAAACUCAAUUAAAUGGUUUGCUACUUUGAAAUGCCAUGUCAAAUGCUCUCUAUGUUUAAUCGUGCAUUAAUAUGGUUAUAUAUAUAUUGUUGCUCGACGCUGUGGACGCUCAGGUAAGCUUCAGGUGAGUAUAUUGAUGGUAGUGAUGGUAAUGAGUAUAUUAGUGCUGAGAUGUAUUUCGAGCUAUUUAUCCUGCACCCCGGUGUUAGUGCUCCACCUGAGGACAGGGCCUAGCCUUCACGUGAUCGUUCACCUCCCGCACCACACGCUCACCUUGGAUCCAAGGCAGGUGUCAGCCUAUCGUACAGACCACUUUAGGUGGUUCCGACUCGUAGGUGACUUGCGAUACUUCGCACAGCCUUCACGUGACGGUAGCACUUAAGCGUAUUUGUUUACACCUAGCAUGUCGUACAGACCACAUUUAGUGGUUCCGACUCGUGUGCAGAAUUUGAUUGAUGAGUUGUGGACCCAGCCGUACAUGUCACUUUAGGUGACUCCGGCUAGCAUACUAGUUCAUAUUGAUUUAUUGCACCUGAGUUACUUAUUUCUUUCUGAGAUUUGACAUGGUAUAUUCGGUGGAUUUGCUAUUUUGAAUAUGAUUUUGGGAUAUAAUCGUAUAUGCUAUUUUCUGGGAAUUAUACAUGUUUUACGGUGAUGGGUUACUACUUUUAAUAAAUGAAAUGAUUUUAAAAAGCUUUUUUUUGCCCACUCACACUUUCUGUUUUGUGCCCCUCCAGGUUUUAGGUAAGAGUGCUCGUUGGUGGCUCACGAGGAAUCCAAAACAGUUAUGACAGAUUAUCACUAAUGUAGGACCAUCUUUGGUAUUGUAUAAUUAGUAUUCGUCCUACUGGAUUGCACUUAGACUAUCUACGCUAUGGUUAUGUGUAGUCACUUUUAAUAUCGCACUUUCACCUUAUCUCAUCUAGUGUUUUAGUCAGUUGGUUUUAUUUAUUCGCAUUUUUAUAUCAUUAUUGCUUCCACACUGUGCACAUGACUAUGUCACCCUCAUGUGACGGCCAACAUGCCUCGAUAUUAGGUCGGGGUGUGUCAGUUUGGUAUCAGAGCCUAUGUUUCGCAGUCCCGCAUAUCUUGUGAAUAUUCUAAUUAUUUUAGGUGUCUUCUGUCAGAACUAUGCCGCCUCGUAGAGAGCCACGUCCUUCAGCUGAGCCUAGUUUCCCUAAUAUUGUUUAGUUAGGGGAAGCUAUAGCUAAUGUUAUUCAGUAUUUGCUUCGUCCUCCCCAAAAGACACCUCUGGAGACUGUGUAUAAUUUGAAGUUGAAUCAUUCCAUGGGUAAUGAAGGACAUGAAGGAGCAGAGCAGGUGGCUCAAUCAUAUUGAAAAGACUUUAUGUGCGAUGCAGAGUCAGUAGAGUUUUCCUCCUGAUAGGUGGGUCGAGAUGACUACCUGGUUUUUAGGUCCGGAACCUGCAUCUUGGUGGAGACACGAGUCUUAUCAGUUAUCACCAGAGGAAGCUGCUAAUUAGGAAGUUUUUACGCAGUUAUUUCAGAAGAGAUUUAUUCCUCCAGAGUUUAUAGAUCGCAAGAAGCAAGAAUUCACGCACCUAAAGCAGGGAAAGAUGACAGCUAAUGAGUACUACAUGAGGUUUACUUAUUUGUCCCGAUAUGAUCCGGAGGUUGCUGCUAAUUCAGUUGAGAUGCUUCAUCGUUUCAGAUUGGGUACUCGGAAGAAAUUACGUUCUACGGCGACCACGACUUCUUGUGCUACUUACCAAGAGUUUUAUGAGAUUCUGCUGCGGAUUGAAGAUUUAGAGAAUAUGCCUAAUGAGAGUGAGGAGGAGGAAAAUAAUGGAAAUCAGAAGAAAGAUGAUAAAGGUGAGGGUCAAUCAUCUCAAAGACCUCGUAAGACCCAAAGUUUUAAGAGAAGUGGCGCUAGUUCUAGUUCUUCUAGCAGAGGUAUGAGUUCCACUGGUCAGAUAAGAGGUGGUAUAUUUUUUGGAGGUCCUCGUUUUCAGAGGUAGAGAGAUUUUGGUGGUUCUAGAAGUUCGUUUUGUCGUAGGUGUAAUAGUCGACAUUUUAGGGAGUGCAAGCAGGGUAGUAGAGGAUGUUUUAUCUGUGGUCAAUUGGGGCAUAGGGCUAUGCUUUGUCCUCAUAAUCAGUAGAGGCCCCAGCAGCCUUCCUUACCACCACUUGGGCCGACCCAGCAAGUUUCAGAACCUAGUGGUUAUGCCCAGACGGGUCAUGGAGGUGCUUAUCAUUAUCAGGGCAGUGUAACUCCUUAUUCUGCAGGGCAAUAUCCGUACCCACAUGACCCGUAUCAGCAGAGUGGUUACCCUCAGUAUUCUGGAGGUUAUAUGCCAUAUUUGCCAUAUUCAGCUGUUGGAUCACAAUGGUACCCUGGAGGACAAUCCCAACAUGUGGAGGUUGCUUCUAGUAAUGCAGGAUCAUCGAGGCAGUCUAAUCAGCCAGUUCAGGGGCGUAAUGUGCAAGGUCGUAGUGGUCAGACUAGCAGAGGUUGUGGAGGCCGACAACAGGCUCAGGGACGUAUUCACCACAUGACACUACAUGAUGCUCAGAAUAAUUCUGAUUUGAUCAUGGGUACGUUGAAUAUUCUUGGUCAUUUUGCUAGAGUAUUAAUUGAUUGUGGUGCUACGCAUUCUGUUAUAUACCCAUGCAUAUGCGUGCAAGCAUAACAUGACAUGUGAACGCAUUAUGUACCGUUAUCGUUUUGUUUUGUGUAUUUUUUUUAUAAAUUUGUACGUAAAGGAAGAAAGCACAGGAUUUGAAAUAAUUAUUUUUUCUUUUGAUGCUAUUUAUUAUACUUUAUUUAAAUGCAUUCGAGUAAAUUGGAAAAAUAAAAUUUGAGUGAAAAACGUGAUUAAUGAAUCACUUACAUUCCGCCUACCAUGUUCUUAAUUUUUUUUUUCAAGUUUGAUGGCUUACAAGUUUAGUGGUGAAUAGACGAAAACCUUAUUAAAACAACAUAGAUUAAGUUGCAUUAUAUCUUGUAAUUUUUUCCGUCGGUGGGCAAGUAUCACCAAGAAAACAAAUUAUAUCAUAUGUUACCCUUACAUAGAGAUGACGAGAUUGUUGAAUAUAUGAUUUAUCAAUCUCACGCCAAUUAAAAUUUAGGCCAUCAUAUUAUAUCUUAAUUUUCAUAGAUUUAUCUCGUUGCUUUUCAAAACAACAUAGAUUAAGUUGCAUUAUAUCUUGUAAUUUUUUCCGUCGGUGGGCAAGUAUCACCAAGAAAACAAAUUAUAUCAUAUGUUACCCUUACAUAGAGAUGACGAGAUUGUUGAAUAUAUGAUUUAUCAAUCUCACGCCAAUUAAAAUUUAGGCCAUCAUAUUAUAUCUUAAUUUUCAUAGAUUUAUCUCGUUGCUUUUCAAAAUCCUAGUUGGUAGCGAAGUCAUUAUAUUCUACAUUUUAAGGGCAAAGAAGAUUCAAAUAGGCAUUUCAACCUUCUAUUGACUGUGUGAUUUAGCCUCUCAUUGACCGUGUGUGAAAUACAAAUCUGAAAUACGUAACAAACAUUGGGACACCACGUGAUGGUUUUUGCUGAAUUCUUUGUUGAUUAGUCUAAUUAUCUAUAGGUUUCCCAAUAAAUAGUUUGCUCAUAUCUGGUUAAUUAUCUCUGAAUUAUUGGUUAGUAAUAGGUGUAAAAAUGGCUGUUUGCCAGACUUGUUGAAGUGGGGAUUAGUUCCAGUCCCAUCCAUUGUGUGUAUGUGUCGAUUGAAAGGAAUAAAGAAACCCUAGGUCCCCAUGCAUGAUGAAUUGGCAGGAACCACACUAAUUGCCCAUGAUAUCUUUUUUUUUUUUGGAAACAAUUGCUCAUGAUAUCUUUGCAAAUCAUGGAACUAGCUAAUCCAUACAAAUUUGCCACCGAUGAGUCUAUCCAAAAUUAACUCUGUUUCUUUCUUGUCACUCUCUUCUUCUCAUAUAGUACACUUGACUGUAAAACAUCUUUUCUGUUUAGCUUAAUUACGUUUAGCAGUAACUUUCUGUUUAGUCAAUUAUUAGUACCAAAAUUAAUUAUUGGUUUAUGUUAAUGUCAAAGUCGUGGUCCCGAAAAGAAAUAAUAUCUUGUUACUCUGAGAGUGGCUUAAAAGUGCCUUUAAAAUGUUUGAAAAUGUUUUUAGUAUAAAUGUUUUAGAAGAAGCACAUAAAACUUGGGACUUGUUUAAAAAUAUUUUUAAAAUAACUUAAAGUCAUUUUUGGAUAAAUUGAUUUUGAAUUCCAAAAACACUGUAAGUUCUUUUUGAAAGCAGCAUCUGAUAUGUGCUCUUUGCAAAAAAAGCAUUUAAAAUGAUUUUCCAAAAUCCACUUGAAUUUUCAUUAAAUAUUAAUUUUAAAAACAUCUUCACCAAAAAUGCUUUCAGUCAUUUUAACUUCUAACCAAAGCUACACUAGUGGCGGAGCCAGAAUUCUGAAUGAGAAGGGGUCUUUCACAAAUAUGUAUAUAUAUAUAUAUAUAUGAGCGUGUGUAAAAAGUUGAAUUCAUAACAUGUUGACAUAUGCAAUUUGUGUAAUCCUCACAAAACUGAAAAAAAAAAUCUCUUAAAUUCAAUACUAAGAAGAAAAAAAUGUAAAAACCCAGACAACCAAAUAAGAGGUAGGUUGUGGAAGGCUAAAGAAAAUACAAAGAAGUAGAAAAAGAAGGACAAGGGGGAGAGGUCUGCAAAUAAAGAAGGUGAGUUGCUUUAGAAAAUUAUAGGGUGUAUAUUACUGUUAGGUGAGAUAAUCGAACCAGAAGUGGUGUUGUUUUUUCCAUUUAAAAUUGCACAUCUCUUUUAAAACUCUCCUGCCAAACUUAUCGUUUCAUUAAACAGCCGAAAAGAUUUAAAAUCAAAACAGCUUAACGACGUCGUUUUCUUCAUCUUCUUCCAUGAGGUUCACACCUCAUAUGAAGUUAGGAUGGGCCGACGACUACCCUAAUUCCUUGGUGGCUCCGCCCCUGCACACUAUAGUUCAUAUUCAUGAAUCAUGCUCUCCCCACAGAGCCAAUUAUAAAACCAAAUAAAUAAAUAAUAAGUAAUGAUAUCCAUAUUAUGUUUUUAUAUCACAUUUUUAUAACAUCUUAGAUGACAUCUAGUGUGAACAGUCAUACCAUUUGAAAAUUUUGUAAAACCUAAGGAAAUGAAUGAGAAAGAUUCUUCGUAUACCACAUUCAUCAUUUAAUUAACUAGUUUUUUUUAAUUAUUAGUUUAUUAAAUAAUGAACUAGAUUUAAAAAUUUGAUUAAUUCAAAUGAUUUGGUUGUCCACAUUAAAUUUAUCUAACAAUGAUAAAUAGAAUUGUAAGCAUAUAUCGGUGAUGAGCAAAAUAUAUGAAUAGCAUUAUUCCUAAAUAAUUGGUGCUCCAAAACCAAAACUCAUCAGUCAAAGGCACAUCAGCAAAGGUAGAAGGGUCCAGUAUCCUAGUAAUUGACACGUGGACGGUUGAAAUGAGGCAGUUCAUUGAUGUUGACUAGUGGUAAAACAGAAAGGAUAGAAAGCUGACGUCAAAGAGAAAGGAAGUGGAUAAACCUCACCCUGAAAAUCGGAGACUAAAAAGGUGAAAAUCAAAAAAUAAAUAUAUAACGGACAAACAGCGAACCAAGUUCCACCACGUGGCCCUCAGAGAGAAGGUGUCGCCGGUGGGUCCGGGGGUGUACAAUACGAGCUAGUGGAGGACCGUAAGCACUUGAAGACAAACCCGAAAAAUGGAUAGAAACGUCGCCGCUUAGGUGUUCUGGUCGGGACCCACCAAAGCCGGGAGUUUCCCUAUAAAACGCAGCCCGAGACGCGGAAGAACUUACACCUCCAAACCAAACAACAUCCGAAAUAUCCUUAUUUUCUGUGACGUGUUUGGGAACACCGCAGGAAAAAUCUCGUACGUGUUGUUGCCUCCUGGUUCCCCUGCUACUGCCACCUUUUCUCUCGUUUCCAGUUUCAUCGGUUUCAUCUAAAGGCCAAACAUAUCCUUAGCUUUUGUUUCUCUCUCUCUUUUUUUUUUGGUCUGAAUUAAUCAGUCAAAAUGUGUGGAAUUCUUGCCGUUCUUGGUUGCUCCGAUGACUCUCAGGCCAAGAGGGUCCGAGUUCUUGAGCUUUCUCGCAGGCAAGUUCCUAACUUCUUUCAGUUUUUCAUUUUUUUUGUGUUUUUUAAGGUUAUAAUUCUUAAUUAUUUGGUUGAUCGAGAAGGGGAUUUGAACGCAAGACGUGAAAAAUUUAAAUAUAUCUGGAUGCAACGGUAAACAUAUCUUAAGAAAUUACACACUUAUACGUGUUUUAACUUUAAACUUUUUCAUAUAUUAGUGUGUAAUUAGCUUGAGAUACGGUUAUUUGUUCAUUAAUGUUCUAAUCAAGUUGUCGGUAAAUAUUGUUGAGCACCUGAGUUACAAACCCUUGCAUGCGUUUAUAUUUUUAACAAAUAGUUCUUAUGGAAGACACUGACAUGUUAUACUACAAAGUCAACAAGUUAAAACGGAGGGGAUUAGCGCCUCUAAAUUUUUGUAUUUAGCUAAUUAGCACUUGCAUGCAUCUAGAUUUUUUACAUAUGGUAAUUAUGACACAUGAUUUAACGGUUGCGCGAUUCAACCAGCUUUCAUUCGGAGCCAAGAUGUGUUGACCUUUAAUUGUAUUACAAAAACGAGAAGUAACACGGGAACCUUUUUGUUGCACGCUCUUUAAUUUUGAAAACUUUAACGAAAAACUUCUGGUGCUAUUUAUUUUAAUGAAAAAUCAUAUUUUUACACUAAAAAGUCAAUUUUGAUAUUAUUCAUUUUACCAUUCAUUUUGUUCUUAUUUUUAAAACUUAAAAUUUUGAAACCUAGAUUUGGUUUUAAUUUUUUAACAAGAAUCACAAUAAUUUGGUCAUAAAUAUUGUAAUUGGGUUUGGUCCUAUAAUUCUUGCUACCUUUCAUGUAUUGGGUUGUGGGGUCCAUGUUUAUUAGAAUACAAGACCCAAGAAAAUGAGCGGCAAUUGAAAGCACAUAGGCUUAUUUUGUGUAAUUAUUGAUUAAUUAAUUUUUAUUUUUUUUUGGUUUGAUAGAUUGAAGCACCGCGGACCUGAUUGGAGCGGUCUAUACCAGCAUGGAGAUUGUUUCUUGGCUCAUCAGAGGCUGGCCAUUAUUGACCCUGCUUCUGGUGAUCAACCUCUCUACAAUGAGGACAAAUCAAUUGUUGUCACGGUACGAUCACCUUAUAUAUUAUUUUUUUAUUAUGUGGGGUUUAAUUUAUUGAAUAUUUGAAAAAAAUGGAUGAAUUUUUCGAUUUUUGAUCGCUGAUACAAUGUUUGUUUUAAAAAUCAUUAGGUGAAUGGAGAGAUUUACAACCAUGAAGAACUGAGGAGCCGUCUGCCGAAUCAUAAGUUCCGAACCGGCAGUGACUGUGAUGUCAUUGCCCAUCUGGUAUGUCACCUGACCAUGUUUUUGUUAACUUUGGUUGCAGGACUUUUGAGCCUUAUGAUUGGUCUUUUCGAUGAGAUAUGAGUCGAUUUGAUGUGGUUUGAGUUACGAUUUCUUUGUUGUAAUCGGUUUGUUUGAGCAAUCGGAUGUUGAAAUGUGCUAAUGAUGGACAUGCAGUUCUUGGUUAGCAUUACCUGUGUUUUAAUUCUUUUGUUCUUGAUUUUUUUUGAGUAGUAUGAAGAGUAUGGGGAGAAUUUCGUGGAUAUGCUGGACGGCAUGUUUUCGUUUGUGCUGCUGGAUACCCGCGACAACAGCUUCAUCGUUGCUCGUGAUGCUAUCGGAAUCACUUCCCUCUAUAUCGGCUGGAGUCUUGACGGUACCAUAUUUUUUUAGCUUGCCCUGUUUUUCUUUGCAGUUAUUCCUUCGGUUUUGACAUCAACGUGUAUGUUUUUUUGUGUCCAGGCUCGGUUUGGAUAUCAUCGGAACUGAAAGGGUUGAAUGAUGACUGCGAACACUUUGAGAGCUUUCCGCCCGGUCAUCUGUACUCAAGCAAAGAAGGUGCACUGAAGAGGUGGUACAACCCUACUUGGUUCUCGGAGACCAUUCCAUCAGGGCCAUAUGAUCCGCUUGUUCUGAGGCGCGCUUUUGAAGCUGUAAAUAUUCAUCACUUUUUAUUUUCAGAUGGAUUUUAAUUAAUUUAUUUCCAUCGAUUUACUUGAGUUACUUUAAUUUUUGUUUACAUGUCGGAAUUUAUUUGGAACUAUAGCUUAUGUGCUGAGCGUAAUACCUGCAGGCUGUGAUCAAAAGGCUAAUGACCGAUGUGCCUUUCGGUGUUCUUCUCUCUGGGGGUCUGGAUUCAUCUUUGGUCGCCUCUAUCACUGCUCGUCACUUGGCAGGCACGAAGGCGGCCAAGCAAUGGGGAGCGCAACUCCAUUCCUUCUGUGUUGGACUCGAGGUGAGAGUUUCCAGAAUAUUUUAACAAAGAUUUACGAUAUAUAUCAUGAGAACUUAUAGAUUCCUAAACAAGUCUCUCCGUAUGUUGAGCAGGGCUCGCCCGAUCUGAAGGCUGGGAAAGAAGUUGCAGACUAUUUGGGGACCGUUCACCACGAGUUCCACUUUACUGUUCAGGUAUCAAUACGAAGAACAUGUAAAAACUAAAGAGUUUGAUCCUCUCUUUAUCGGAGCCAAAUUGUAACUAUUUGCCUUUCUGAUGUGAUAGGAUGGGAUCGAUGCUAUCGAGGAAGUUAUCUACCACAUUGAAACAUAUGAUGUUACCACUAUCCGAGCAAGUACCCCUAUGUUUCUCAUGUCACGUAAGAUCAAGUCGUUGGGGGUCAAGAUGGUGAUUUCUGGUGAGGGAUCCGAUGAGAUUUUCGGUGGAUACUUGUACUUCCACAAGGCACCCAACAAGGAAGAGUUUCACCGCGAAACUUGCAGAAAGGUACUGGAUUAUUUGUUUAUAAACAUCGAAGAUAGGUUUGGUAUCGUAGAAGUUGAAAUGGAAGGAGAUAACUGUGGAGCUGUUCUUUUUGUUGGAUGCAGAUUAAGGCACUGCACAUGUAUGAUUGCCUCAGGGCAAACAAAUCAACAUCUGCUUGGGGAUUAGAAGCUCGAGUCCCAUUCCUGGACAAAGAUUUCAUUAAUGUUGCAAUGGAUAUUGAUCCCGAGUUUAAAAUGGUACGACAUAAGAAUCUAAAGUAUUGGGAGUUCUUUCGAUUUACUGCAGAAUUCUACUUACAAAGUUUAAUACUUACCGCUUUCCCAUUUGCUAUAUUGACUUGCAGAUCAAAAAGGACCAAGGAAGAAUUGAGAAAUGGGUCCUCCGGAAGGCGUUUGAUGAUGAGGAGAAACCUUAUCUGCCAAAGGUAUAUAUGCCUCUUAUUUCGAUCUUUAGUAGCAAGUAUUGCCGAUAAGUUGACAUCCGUAUCACAUAAAAUCGUAAACUAACAAACCUUGUUCAAUGCCUGCAGCACAUUCUGUAUAGGCAGAAAGAGCAGUUCAGUGACGGGGUCGGCUACAGUUGGAUUGAUGGCCUGAAAGCUCAUGCUGAACUCCAUGUAAACUUCUAUUCAAUCCGUUUUUACAAUUCUCUUUUCAUUUGUUUUGGUAUAACCUAUAAAUCUUGAAAACGUUAUUGGAUUGACUCGGCUGGUGAUCGAUGUUCGACUUAUACUUUCAGGUCACUGAUAAGAUGAUGCUGAAUGCUGAACGCAUCUUCCCUCACAACACUCCUUAUACAAAGGAAGCCUACUACUAUCGAAUGAUUUUCGAGAGGUUCUUCCCACAGGUAAUCUACCGAAUAUGAUUUUAUUCUUUUCAUCAACUAAACCUAACAAACUGUCGUCCAUGAGACUUAAUACCACAAGACCAGGUGUUCAUCGGCGAUUUUAUUGUUUAUGUUGAUAACAUAUAGAUCUAACUCGCUAUACUUAUAAUCCGGUGUUGCAGAACUCGGCCAGGAACACGGUGCCUGGAGGACCGAGUGUGGCCUGCAGCACAGCCACAGCUGUGGCAUGGGAUGCUGAAUGGUCCAAAAAUCUUGACCCGUCUGGUAGGGCUAUACUUGAAGUGCACCAACAAGCUUAUGACAAGCAGGGUGCACCGGUGACUAGCGGCAUUCCAGAGAUCAUCGACAAUGUACCUCAGAUGAAAGCGAGCACCGUGGGGCUCGCAAUCCACAGCUAGUAACGAGGACCCGAACCCUGAAUUUUUAAGGAGGGUAUCGUAGUAAUCAAGAAUUAAGGCACUUCGUAAUGCCUUUCGAUGUAAAAAAACGUAACGGGGGAUCCGUAGUGUUGGUUUAAAACAUGUUUGUGUGGUCAUAUUAUGUAGUAUCCUAAAUGCAACAUGUUCUAGUGUGUUGUCUAAUGUUGUUGUGGAGAUGUUUUUAAGGUUAGAACCUCUCUGUAUUUUCCUUUUGCUUUCAGUCCUCUUUGAGUUUCACUUUGAAUAAUAAGACGAUGAUCCUGCAUAGGCCAUGGUGUUUUUUGUUCUUCCUUUCCGGUGGCUGUUGUCUUUCUUCAUCCAUCCACUAAACAUUUUUGGUGGAAUUGAAGAGGUUUAGUGAUCCAAAAACUGGUGAAUUCUAGGCCGAUAAUUUGUUUGCAUAAAGUAUUACAAAUUGGAAAAUAAUAUCUCCAAACUCUUUUUCUCCUUGCGUUUACACAUUUAUUUUUGUCACUUGAUUCAUUCAAUCUAAAGGUCGUAAAUAAAUAAGAACGCGUUAGAUAUACAUUCAGAGAGUAGUGCUCUCUUGCGCAUCAAAACACAAAAAGCAAGGACUGAGAUUUGAAUAAAUGUCAACGGCUCACUUGUGAAACACAAUGUGAAGAGAAUUUCGGAACAUCCUGAUUACUUGCAUUCGAUUCUUGGUUGUUCAGGGGCAUAUAGACAUUUAUUAUAAAGCCCAAUUAAGAGCAAAAGUAGAUUUUGACCAAUUGGACUGGAAUGGUGGGCUUUAGGCUUUAGCUGCUAAACUAGUCGGCUAUAAUUGGAAUUUGAAAGCCCAAUCUUGAAAAGUGAACAAUAAAAUGUCAAAAAUGAACAAAAAGAAAUGGCUGCUGGGAUUCGAUCUCCACGGCCAUAAUGUAGGGAGAUUUUUCAAUUUCCAACCAAUUGUAUUGACAUUUGAUGUAUCCUGCCGUACUUUUAGUAUGUUGAAAAAUUUCUUCACAUGUCGAAUUCGUAGCACUAAACUACAGCUACGUUGUUGUUUGAGCUUAGAAAUUUCAUAAGAACUCUGGUAAUAUAGGAUUAUCAGAAUACUUAAUUCACCUAUAUGCAAAAACAUCAACAUUGUCGUUCAACCAUAUUAUAACACGUGAUUAAUCCACCACAUAAUGGUGUGCGACCAUCACAAUAAAAAAUAAAAUAAAAAAAUCCCACAAGUGAAUGCGAAGUUUUGAACCGUGAUCGUUAAUUUUUGCCAAAUUGAACCGUGAUCUUAUAAGUGUGGGAAAUAUUGUCGACCUGCAAACUCCCUACCAAAUGUCUUCAUAAGGAGGUAUAGCUUAGUUUCCCGUAAAGUCAAUUUAGUAGGCGUACGAUGUUAAGUUACAUAUAGGAAAUAUAUAAUCACACACAUUUUUUUUAUACACUUUUGUUUAUUUAUGUUCUUCGUUUCCGUUUGAUUGAUAUGAAGGUGAAAGAUUUGAAUUCUGGUAGCUGGCUGCCCAUGCAGCAGCAGACAAACUUUGCAACUUCCUAUAUAAACAUUAUAAACAUUAAAACAUAUACUGGCCAUGCAUAAUCAUUCACAGCUAAGUUCACACAUGCAAUGCAAAUUUAUUUCUCAAAAAUAUAUAAAUAAAUAAUUUCUUUAUAAAUAGUGACUCAGAUCGGUCUAUAAAUGAAUAUUAUUACCAUUUAGUUAUCAGUUGUCUACAAAACCGAAUCAUGCUCUACGUAAAUGUAACAGAUUUCCUUUCCGCAUCCACUACAAGAAGGAAUUGCCUCACUUACCGCCCGCUUUUAUUCCCAUGGAUAUGCCAUCCACUACCCGAAGGAAUUGCCUCACUUACCGCGUGCUUUUUAUUCCCAUGGAUAUGCCUGGAAACAAGAAUAUUCUUUAGGAAUCGGAUCGUUGACGACAGUAGGCCGGGAAGGACAGAUGCUACUAAAAAGCCGAUUAUCGCAUGAUUUUACCCAUACUUGACCUAUCUAGCCCCUUAAACUCGUGACUUAGCAAAUAAAAUAGACUAUUCCGAACGAUUUCCUCAUGUCAUUACCAGCUACGGAUCAGAUAUGACCGCUGAAUCAAUGUAACACAACACAUCAUUGUUUACGGUUUAUUUUAUUUCAUGUUCAUAUAUUAAAAUGAAAGCAUACAAAAUCUAAGAAUAUUUUUGAAAAUUAAGAAUUCGAAAAAUAAUGGAGAGAUGAAAGGAACCAAUUCUUGCUUGUUGAGCUGUGGAAACUAAACUUGUGCUUGGACAAGAAAACGUCACUUCAAUAAAAGGCAAGAUUCCAAGGCCUCUUUUCUCGUUGGAAAACUAUGCCUCAAAAAAUCUGAGUAAACCUACAAAACAACCACCAGAAUAUUCGUUGGCGAGGGUGACAUUGAAAAGUAGUUACUAUUCAAAAAUAGUCGUCGAGCACUCCUAUGAUUGUAAUUUUUUUCUCAUGUUUUGAUUAUAUAUUGAGGGAGAGUCGAGUUGGACACUUGGGUCCAGAGAUAAAUAUGUUUAAUCAGUUGAAUUUCAAAUCUCUUCUGACAUUUUUUUAUAAGAAAGUAGUUCUAUACACGUAAUUUUUUUUCUCUUUAUACACAUCUCUCUUUACUUUUUCAUUGAUUAGUUCAAUACCAAAGGUAGAAAAUAAAAGAGAAAAAUGUGCAUAAAGAGAAAAAUAGAUGUGCAAAAUUCAUUUCAUUUCAUAACGCUAAUAAUAAUUCUCUUUACUUAAUUGUAUGAACUUUGAUUGAGGAAAAGCCGAAGAGGGUCUCAAUUUUACCUAAAAGUUUUUGUCAUAAUUGAUGAGCCCAAAUUCAUGAGCAUGAAGGUGAUAAUUUGGAUGAUGAUGUUGCACGAGGCUCCUACCUUUGCUUUCCAUAAAGCAAAGUAUAAAUUACAAGACUGAAGAAUGGUGUUCUAACUUCUAUGUAUGUGUUGUUAAGUAAAGCAAGGAACAUUUUGCUUUCCAAAUGGAAGCUUGCCCUCUUUCAUAAAAAGGUGCGCACCUAAUUUUUUUAUUUUUUUUUUCUCUCUGCCUCCUUUUUACAAUCCCUCUUCGAAUCUCUUUGUUUGAAGCUGUCUGAUAUCAAAAUCCAGACUACUCAGUUUAAUUAAUGUGGCUUUCAUUAACUCAUCCAACCGGUCCACCUUACACAAAAUCAAGUCCUCAAACGGCCUAAACUUCUCUCUCUUAAAUAGUCCGAAUUUUGGAAUCCAUCAACUCUUGAUACAAAAAUCCAGAAAGAAUCUCAAUUGCCUUUUUACAAUAGAUGGGAGAUAAAAAAAUCCAACCAAUUUUGAGGUGCCUAAUAGCACUCAAUUCCCAGCGUACAAUUGAUGGGAGAUAACAUAGUAGCACACCGAGAGGCCCCCAUAGGCACCAAGUUGAGAUUACAUCAUCCCACAUUGCCUGCCUCCCGCAGCACACAACCUUGGCCAGUAGGUCCCAACUUUAACUUCAUGAAAUCUCUACUAUUUGAGUGAUUAUUGUACGAAUUAUAAAUCGUUUGGUGCAUCGAAUUUAGAGUAAAUUGUAGCUAUGGUCCCUGAACUUUACUCAAAUUAGAGCAAUGGUCAUUCAACUAAAAAUCCAUUACCAUUGGUCCUUCAACUCAUUAAAACGUGCAGCUAUGGUCCCUCAACUAAAAAUCCAUUAUCUUUGGUCCCUCAAUUUUAAUUCAACUGGAGAAAUGGUCCCUUAACUUUAUCCCAAUUGUAGCUAUGGUCCUUCAAACAUAACUCGUUUUGACAAAAAAUUUUACGUAGUUGACAAAAAUGACCAUAAUUACAUACUUUGAUGAGUUGAGGGACCCUAAUUAAAUAAAUGGUUAUUCCAACAUAACAUAUUUUGACAAAAUUUUGAAGAAAUUAAUGAAAAUGACUAUAUUUACACAUUUUGAUAAGUUGAGGGACCAAUGGUAAUGAAUUUUUAGUUGAGGGACCAUUGCUCCAAUUUGAGUAAAGUUCAGGGACCAUUGCUACAAUUUACUCUCGAAUUUAUUAUUAACAGUGUCAGAUUCAUAUAUUCCUAUUUUACAUGGGCUAGAUGAAAGAGCUCACAACCCCUUUAAGACCAUUUUUAAUAAAGAUCAAUGACUUACGUGCAUUCAUUUUUUCAUUGUUCACAUUCAUGUUUAUUUUUAUACCUCGAUUCUCUUUAUUAUAGUCAAUCAAAAGCCUAGCUUUUAAACAAGAUCAAUGCUUGGUCACUAAAGGAUGAGUAAUAACUCUACUCAAAAUUCUUCGUGUUCGAAACACAUAAUUUUGUUCUUAUAAUCAAAACCGUUCAUGUUAUGAGGCAUUUUGUAAAGAUCAUCUCUAAAAAAAAUGAAUUAAAACUAAUGUCGUUUAGUCAAUCUAUUAUAACAAAUACAUAGACAAUUCGUAAUGCUUUUACCAAUUCCGUUCAUCUGUUUUUAUAAAGUUUGAUGACUAUACAACCUUAGUUUAAUUGAUUUUUGGCAGAGAUGAUCUUUAUAAAAUGAUUUAUAAUAUGAACGGUUAUGAUCAUAAACACAAAGUUUUAUGAAUUAACAAUGAAUAUUUUUUAGCAGAAACUAUACACAUCCUUUUAAGUAGCCAAAUAUUAGUCUUUAAAGAAUGAAUCAAACUGAAUACAUGUAGUACAGUUGGGAGGGAUGAAAUGCACAAUAUGACUGUUUUGAAGUGACACGAUCAACUCUGUAAUUCUACAUUAAAGAUUAGGAGCAACGUAUACGUAUAUACCAACUCAAACCAUACUCUUAGACAAAAUAUACAUUCACACACCCUUUUUUUUUUCUUUUUUUUCCUUUGAUUCACACAUGCAUGCAUUGCAUUUCUAUCGCACGUCAAUGUAUAUAGUGACUUUUAAGUGAAUUAAAUUCUACAAGAUACAUCUAUCCGUUAAUUUCAAUAAUGUAUGUCAAUACACUAGUAUAUGAGAUGCAUCGAUGUUUGAACGACUAGAUUGAAACUAGCAAAAUUUAGCCAUGCAAUCCAGCGAUUCAAUACAAUAAUGUAUUCCAUACACUUAUACAUUAUAGAAUUUCUCAUAAAAACACCAUAUUCAAUAAGACCCCAUGAUGAUUUGUGGACAAGUCACAAAACCACUUUUUUGGCAUUCCAAUAUGAAAGCAAGAAGUGUCGGUUCAGCUUCAAGGCUUGAAGGAGGGGGUCCAAAUCAUAAUCUCACACAUUCAACUUCACCAAUCCCCCUCUCAAAUUUAUAACUCACGUGUGAGUGUGAACCCAUCUCAGCCCUCACAAGUGAUUUUUUAAUGUGAUCGGAACACAGAAUGAUAGACCAUGUGUUCUUAUACAAGUGGUGAAAUUCUUGUAUUAAAAAAGUAAUAAUGUAAAAAAUAAUAUUUUUCACCACUUAUUUAACAGCACGUGGUGUACCACUUGUAUUAUGGGUAGAAAGAAAAAUUUUCCCACAUGCACACAACAAAUCCAAAAUCCCCCUCCAUUUUAAUAUAAAAGGCCCAAUUGCAUUUGCAGAAUCAAGAUUUCAACUUUUGUUCUCAAAUUUACAGUACUCCGGUACUCUCUUCUUUUCAGCUUUUGCUUUUUCAUCAUUACCCAAUAAUCUCUCCUCUGCAAGACUGCAAUGGCUCCUUUCUGCUCCCAAUCUAUUGGUUCAUGCUUAGCUCUUUUGUGCUUAGUUUUUGUUCAAUCCCACUCUGCCAUAAUAUACAGCAUGAAGAACCACCACCACCACCACAACUUCCACCAUCACAGAACAGCUCCGAUGUUCCAAACCAACCAAUCCAAUUGCGCAUUGUUUGAAGGCACUUGGGUCCAAGACGACUCCUACCCAAUGUACCAAUCUUCCCAGUGCCCCUUAAUCAUCGACCCUGAAUUCAACUGCCAAAUGUACGGCCGCCCGGACUCCGAUUACCUCAAGUACAGAUGGAGACCCCUCAACUGUGAGCUCCCAAGGUAACCAAAACUGCUUUCAAAAUGAGAUUUUGUGAUAUGGGUUUUUGUUGGGUUUUAGAUUCUGAGCUCCCAAGGUUAAGCAAAAGCACUACAAAAGUGAUUUUGUGAAAUGGUGUUUUGCUGGUCUCUGAUUUCUAGCUCCUAGGAUAAGCAAAAUCACUUUCAAAUGUGAUUUUGUGGAAUGGGGUUUUGUGGGGUUUAGGAUUUUUUUUACGUUUUGGUGACUUUUGGUGUAGCUUGUUGUUGUUGGUAGGUUCAAUGGGGCUGAGUUUCUGCUCAAAAUGAAGGGGAAAACAGUGAUGUUUGUAGGUGAUUCACUUGGGAGGAAUCAAUGGGAGUCUUUGGUUUGCCUGAUUUACUCUGCAAAUCCACAAACCCAGACUCAAAUGGUCAAAGGAGACCCACUCUCAACAUUCAGUUUCCUGGUGAGUCCCUUAAUUUUCUUUCCUUCUUUCUGGGUUUUCGUAUUUUUUUUUUCUUGAAGCAAUUGGAUGCAAAUUCAAUGCCAAAUAAUUGUUAACGAUGCAUAUUUUAAACUACUAUAAUUAUAGAAAAAUUAAAUCCAAAUUUGAGCGUAAAAGAUGAACACGCUGCCCUAAUCAACUUGCCAAACUCGCAUUUGAAUUAAAAUACAGAUUACCAUUAAUGGUUAUAGUUUUUGUAAGAACAGAGAUGGUGUGAGAUUUUUCCUUUCCAUGUCAUAUAAAUGUUCAUCAACACAUUUUCAUAUACUAUUAUUAUUGUGGGAACAAAAAAUUGCAAGACUCAUUUAUUAAAUGAACAAAUUCAUUUUGCAUUUUUUAACAAUGGUUGAAAAUGGUCGGUGAUAUCCACACAUCCGUUUAUACUUCUUACACACUCCUCUUAAUUUUUAACUAUCGAAUCCAAGGAAUUAUAUAAAAUCAGUGACGAAAAAUUAACAAAAAUGUAUGAUAGACAAAAAUGAGAGUGAAAAGCAAUUUCCUUCGAAAAUUUAGUCCAAACGAAUCACAUAGGGAAGAUGUUCUGAGGGACCCUUUGGGUCCAUUGGUGACGACAGCAGGAUAGCACCAGCAUGUACGUUGUCCCUAGGAAGUCAUAUGCUAGGAAAUGAGGGCAUCGUAUCAAUCCAAACAGGACCUUAUUGAGUUUUGCUCCUAUGAUGCAGGACUACGGCUUGACACUGCAAUUUUACAAAGCUCCGUACCUGGUCGACAUAGAAAUGUAUCAAGGGAAGAGAGUUCUGAGGCUGGAGGACAUUUCGGAGAACAGCAAGGUGUGGCGGAACGCCGACGUGCUGUCGUUUAACACCGGUCAUUGGUGGAGCCACAAAGGAGGUCUCCAAGGGUGAGCAAUCCGUGUGUGUUUGUUUAUCUUUUGGUACUUUUGUGCUGUGGUAACCUUAGGGUCAAAAUGAUAGUGUCUACAUUCUGAGUAAAGCAUUUGGUAAAGUUGGGUAGAAGUACUUUUAGAAGCAUAAGUGCUUUUUGGACCAAUUAAAGAACUUAGUGCUUUCUUACAUUUUUAUCUUGCUGUAAAACUGCAUCUCUAUACCAAAAAGUUACCAGAAGUUGUAAAACGUUUUAUGGGUUUGUCCAAAAUGUUUUUGACAUGCACCAAAAUGUGUAGUCACUUUAGCGUUCUAAACUUAUCACGCGUUGUUAUGUAUUUCAACUUUAUAGUAUAACAAGACAUAAUAAAUUUAGAUACCAAAAUCGCGUUGUUAUGUGUUUCAACUUUAUAGUAUAGCAAGACAUAAUAAAUUUAGAUAUCAAAAUAGUAGUGUACUUAUUUCAUAUAAGUCAUUCUCGACACGAAAAAUUAAGAUCAUUGUGUUUGAAAACGUGUAGGUGGGAUUACAUGGAAUCAGGAGGGUAUUAUUACCAAGAUAUGGACCGUUUAGCUGCUUUGGAGAAAGGGAUGAAAACAUGGGCGAAUUGGAUUGACUCGAACAUCGACACCACAAGGACCAGAGUUUUCUUCCUCUCUAUUUCUCCCACACACUAUGAGUCAGUCUCUCUCUCUCUCUCUCUCUCUCUCUCUCUCUCUCUCUCUCUCUCUCUCUCUCUCUCUCUCUCAUAGUUGUGUUUGGUGGAAAUUCCAAUUUUCAAUUUUCCAUGGUUCAUAAUUUAUGUAUUGGAAUUAGCUAUAGGCAUUGCUACCUCCAAGCACCAAAUAAUUGCGAGAAAUGCUCUUAAAGUCGAAUAUUUUAUGAAUUUUUUGUCACGUCACAGUUUGACGUCAAUUUUCGUAUCAAUAUUAUAAAAUAUUAUGCAAAAAAUCGUAUCAAUAUUAUAAAAUAUUAUGCAAAAAACAUAAGGUGACAGAAAGUUCUACUUUAAGAGUCGUCUUAGCAUUUCUCUUGAUAGCAUUUUUAGGUAUUUUUUUGGGUUGCUAAACGUUGACUUGAUUUCUACCCUGUAUUUAGGUCGGUCCACUAGAAUGGUCGGGUAUAAGAACCCGAGGAAGAUAUUUUAUUAUGAAAAUUGUAUUAUCACGUAGUGUUAUUAAUUUACAUAAUAUGCAUAGACAGAUUUUAAGGUUCAUUUGUCCUGAACGAUGAGUGGUCGGGUAUGAUAUUUAUAAGUCGAUAUAUGUAUUAUAAUAUGAGUGAAUGAAACUACAACAUGGAGGAAUGACCAUCACAAGUAAAAACUUGUGUAAAUAGACCUAUUUUGUUUAGAAAAUGCAAAUGUUUCAGAGCACUGGCUAUGUCGGUGGAAAACAGUACACACAUACCAUUUUUGAAGAAGACAAAAAUUGCUAAUGUACGGCUCACCGGAGAAAAUGGACCACUUCUCUCAAAUCUUUUCCCCCACAAAAUUCAAUUUCUCUAAAUUUUAAAGAAAGAUUAUACUCUCUAAAGGGUUGGAAGAAUAAAUUAAUAUCGGACUUGCGUUUCAUGCACAUAACACAUAAAAAAAUUUAAGGGCACAUUUGGGGGAAUAAAUUGUAGAUGAGUAAAUUUUAGUUAUUGUCCGUCAGUUAUUAUCUGAUUCCUCAUCUUGGUCCCGGAAUUAAGUUUUUGAGUUCUAUUGUCCUUAAAAGUUCAAUUGUGUCACUUUGGUCAAUUUGUCAAAUGUCAUAUGGUUUGAACCAUGCUUCGGUGCUGAAAGAAUAGCAAAAAGUGCUGUUGAAAACCAAUCACAAAUGAACAUGUGUCUAAAUAAUUGAGUUCAAAAAUAUAUGAUUGGACACUUGUCUGUUUGUGAUUGGGUUUCAGCAGCACUUGUUGAUCUUCUUUCAGCAGAGAAGCAUGAUUCAUUUGCCUAUCAAAGUUUAGAGGCGCAAAUAAUAGACUUUCGAUGGAAUGACCAAAGUGAGAAUCUGAGUAAUUUGAUAACAUGCUAAAUUGACAGCCCAAAUGAAUGGAAUGGGGGUGCAACUCCUACAACCACCAAGAACUGCUAUGGAGAAACAGCACCAAUGAAAGUGAGCGGAGUAACUUAUCCCGGGAGUACUUAUCCAGACCAAAUGAGAGUGAUGGACAGUGUGAUCCGGGGCAUGAGAAAUCCUCCGUCUUUGCUGGACAUCACAAUGCUUUCAGAGCUGAGAAAAGAUGGGCACCCAUCAAUCUACAGUGGUGAUUUGAGCCCUCAGCAGAGAGCCAAUCCUGACCGUUCAGCAGAUUGCAGCCAUUGGUGCCUUCCUGGACUGCCAGACACUUGGAACCAACUCUUUUACACAACUUUGUUCUUCUAAUUUUUAUAUUUUAUUUGCACUCUAAUUAAUUAACAAGUUAUAUAGGUUUUAUUUUAUUUUGUGACACAUUUAUGAUGAGAGAGUGCAAAAUUUGCAGCUCAUUCUUUAUCUUUAUAUUGUAAUUUGUAAAGUGAUGUGCAUAUAUAUUGUUAGUGUUAGAGAGGAGAAAUGAGGUUCUUAUUUCCUCAUUAUUUUUCCAAUUAAUAAUUUCUUUAACAUUUCUCUUUACUCUUUGGCAUCUUCAUCCCAUUUUCAUUAGUUAUAAUUUAGGUUCAAAGCAAUUUCAUUUAAGACCUCUUUAACGAUAUUAUAAGGGAAUUGUUAUUAGCACUCCAAAAGUCUCAUUUGGCACUCCAAACUUUCUAUAAUUAGAAAGAAAAAGACAUUUGUGAGGAGUGUAGAAUGAGAUUUUUGAAGUGCUAAUUACAUUUCCCCAUUAUAAUCUCUAGAUAUAUUUUGCGUAAGUAUGUCGAUCCCAGAACUUAGCCAAAUUGAUUAAAACGGUGUGUUCUCCACAAAAGAUCCACCACUGAUCAUUGUUGGUUCAACUGCCAAUUGGGCCUAUUAUGUCGAUUUUCGAAUCAAACCUAGCCCAAGUUUGGAGAACAGGUAAAACUUUCCACCCUUCUAUUAACCUUAUUCUCUCAAGUUUAGCCUCUAGCUAGGGUUAUCACCUAAAACUCGAAUCCUUAAAUUUGUGAAGGUGGGUAUAACUACGUUGGUUUGAUCCUUGUGCAACACACAAGUUAGGUAGACAGUGGAAGCCACAUAGGAGCAAGGAGGUGCAGUCGCACCUCUGGUCGUAGGAAAUCGACCCUAAGAGCAAGAAUCUGCUCUUCUGAUUCCUCUGAACAUGCACGGAAUGGUUUCUUUUUCUACUUUUUCUACCCCCACGACACCAUCAUCUUCUUCUCUCCCUUCUCAUGGAUUCCUGUGACUAUGACCCCAUUUGCUGAGAUCUCUCCUGGUCUUCAAGAACACCGUAACCACAUUGAGUUUAUCAAAACCCAUCAUCCUAUUUUCCAAUCUUUCUCUUUUCUCUCAAAAUAUUGAAUCUUUCUACUUUUCUGUUUGUUGAGUUUUGUUUUGUUUUGUUUUGUUUUUUUUGUUGGGCGCAUCAAAAGCUUGCAUGUGUACGGAUUGGAUAAGGGGAAGAUAAAUGAGGUGGAUUUGUUAAAGAGAAAAUGGGUAGUACAUGGAGCUUCCAACUGAGGCGCUUCUGAAAUGAAAUUUCCAGUUUCCCGAGUGCUCCAAGGACAGGUCAAUGGCAUAAAAAUUCAGCUCCGGCUUUCACAUGCAUUCCCUCUAUUCUUUGGUGGACGAAAGGAUCACAGUGUCUAUUAGUUUUAAGGACUUUUAAAAAGAAAAAAAAUGGAGAACAUUCAAUCAUAUGAAGUUUUAUUCUCACAACUUUUCAUUUUUUUCUUGUUCGCUAUCUCGUUAUGCUGAUGAUGAAGAAAAAAAACGAAAGGAAGAGAAACGUCAAAAAGCACACCUCCACAUCUUCUGCUAUAAGAUCUAAUUACGUGCAGCUUUCCAUUGUUGCUGCAAAUUUAUAGCCAGAUCUACAAGAGCAUAUAACAUAUCUACGCAAGCUUUAAGAUGGUCCUGGGAUCAAGAAAAUGAGACAACCUGCCAACGCGGAAGGAGGGAAGUACAGAUGCGAGUUUGUGCCACCCAUGUUAGGCUUCUGUAGUUCAAAAUAAGCAAUACGGUAAGAAAAAACUGCAGUUGUAACUGGAAAAAUAAACAUUUAGAGUCCUCCAGAAAUUAGAGGCAGGGGAAAAGGAUACAAAGAGGUUUACCCCCAUCUGUUUUCUCACACUCCUACUACAUAUGAAAUUUUGAAAUGCCUGCUUCUUGUGAUAGCUAUUCAACAUGAAUGCCAUCUCGGAUGCUUUUGCUUUACUUACAUAUCAGCUCAACAAACUCCCCUAAAUGCAGAGAUGAAAGUAAAAUUCAAUGGACAGAUUGAUCAUUGAUGAUAAAGAAUGAACAAAACUAACUAUUACAGUUUUAAAUAGAUCCGAUUAUUGUUGCUUCGUAAAUUAAUUCUCUCUAAGAAGUAUAAGAUUUGUAAAUUACAUUAACAUGAAUUUAUUUUUUUAAUUUUUAAAUGAUAUGCAAUCUAUAUAAAACAGAGAUAUUGUGAGGGACAAAACUGAAACAUAUAUUCAGUUAACAUUUGUUAAAACGAAGCAUCAUAUCCUCUGCAUAAGAUGUUACAUGGUAAGAGAGAACGUAAAUUAAAGCUCAUCUGCAGUAUUCAAUUAAAGAUCUAUUACCAGUUUACAUUUGUAAGGAAAAGCGUAGAUACACCAACUUGAAGAUGAUAAUGGCAUUGAAAGAAGAUGAGAUAUCAGGCCACCGUAUUCAAACCACGCCCAUAUGACAAAGAAAUAUAUCAUCCUGGGGUUCCAUCAUCUUCCUUUAGAGGUGCAUCAUCUUCAAGCCAAAAAUGCUUAGGAAAUUGAUGUGAGCUAACAUCCGUUGCCUCAGACAAUCGCCUCUUAAGUUCCACAAUAAGGACUCUGCAGCAAUUACGAAUUUGUGUUUGUAAAGAAACUCAUCCGCACCAACAUAAAAGCCACCAUAUAAAAACGAAAUCAGAAUGAUUAAAAAAAAGAAAUCGUCCAAAGGUUACCUACAUGAUAUAUCUCUUGCACCAGCGUGAAGAUUACUAGGACAUCGGAAGAAAACUAUAAAAGCAUGCCACGGCUGUUUACUCUUGCCAGACAGGCCCAGUAAUUGAUGCAAGCUAGCAUCUGUUCCCUUGGGUAAUUCUAGUUUACAGUUCCACACCACAGUUAGCUCGCUGCCGCAUCCACAAAGGCCAUAAAUGAGUCUGUCCUGUCACAUUGUAUUAACAGAUACUUAGGAUUGAUUUUACAAGAGUCUUGAUAACUAAUGCUGAUUCACGCAACUGAGAAACGGUAAAAAGAAUACAGAACAGUUGAAUAAUGCAUUACACAUGAGCUACUGAGAAACUUAUCUGCAGCUUUGAUUCUCAAAACUUUCAAAAACAUUUCCUAUUCUCUGCCCCUCCCUCCCCACUCACUCUCUCUCUCUCUCUCUCUCUCUCUCUCUCUCUCUGUGUCUCUCAUCAAGAAGUUUAUGUUGGAGAUAAAUAAAAAGAACGAAACGAAAAGAAACAUCAGAAAACACACCUCGAAAGAUUUAUCUGCACACAUGUUUUCCAUUUGUCAGCUACGAUUAUAUGAUUGGAACCACAAGAGCAUAAAGUAUCUACGCAAGCAUCAAUCUGGUACCUGAAUAAGGAAAACGAGACAGCCUGCCAAUGGAGGAGGAGGAAAGUGUGGAUGCAAGUUUGUGUAGGCUUCUGCAGACCAAAAUAAGCAGAAUUGAUGGUUUUUAUUAUGUUGAUCAAUAUGUGUCUUCUUUGCUGCAAAGAAAAAAUUGAUCAAUAUGCUAUGAUUCUUAUUUCUAUUAUGUCUUUUAUUUUUCAAACUAUUGAAGUUAAUUAGAUGCAAACUACCUGAGAGUCAAAUGCCGAAAAGAACAACUUUGUAUGAGAGAGACAGAGCUCAUACAGAUAUGAUGACUUGUUUGCCUAUCUUUAUUAAAGGAAUGUGAGAUAUCUUGGCCCAAUCUUCUCCCAUCUUAUCCUCAUACCUUUUCUCCAGGGCGGAACAAGAGUAGAUCUUCAGGGAAGAAAGAGAUGGCGGCAAACCGUUUUCUGGCAGGAAUUGGAGUUUUGGACAAUCUUCAAUAGUUAGAUAUUGAAGAGAAGUGAGGUGUAGAAGUCCCUCUGCUGGAAGGAAUUCCAGACUUGGGCAACGAUAAAUAUUUAGAUAUUGAAGAGAAGUGAGGUGUUGAAGUCCCUCUCGUGGCAGGAAUUCCAGACUUGGGCAAUCGUCAAUAGUUAGCUCUUGAAGAGAAGUAGGGAGCAGCUGUUCCUUGAGCAACGGUGCCCAGAUCUCGCCAGCAAUUGUAAAUCGUUUAAGGGAGACAAGUACUUGUAAUCCCCACUCCACUGAAGGCUUCACUUUGUCGCAACGUGUAACCCUAAAAUAUUGCAGGUUGGGAGGCAAACCCCCUUGGGCAAAUGAUACAAGAUUUGGAAGAUCGUCUAAUCCCAAUCCUUCAAGGGCGGUGAGGGUGCGAAUUCGUACGGGGAACGACUUCAAAUUCUUGCAUCCCCAGACUGACAAUUGUCUCAAGUUGGGAGUGGGCAAUCCUCCGUCCGGGAAAGACGCCAGAUUUGGACAGUUGCGGAUUUCUAGCCGAUUGAGAUGGCUUAGGUUCUGAUCAACUCCUUCAAUAGAAAAGGAUUCCAGAUUCUCACAACCACUGAUUGAAAGAGAUGAAAGUUUGGGGAAAACGCCCAACGGGAAGGACCUCACUGAAUGAAAACUCGUGAUUAUCGCCAAAUUCUCAAGUGACGACAAUUCGGCCAUCAUCUCAUGAGAUAAGAACUCUAAUGACGACACGGUUGGGCAAUUCCAGAGAUCCAAACUUCGAAGACAUUUCAUUUUGGGCAGGCACUGUAUUGCAUCAAAAUUAGAAAUUCCAAGUGUGGACAAGAACUUCUUCUCUACUCUCUCUAUUAAUGGUAACAGACCUGGGCAUCCUCCAAUAUCUAUUUCCAAUGAAUUCUGUAAGUAGUCCAUGUUAAUACUGGCCCAUUCAUCAUGCAGAUGUAGAUAUUCACACCUAUACACCCUAAGUGUUUUCAAGCAUGCAAGACGAUUGGGCAAGUAUCCUCUCAGCUUCGGACAUUUCCUUAUUAUCAGCUCUUGGAGACAAGGAAAGUCUGAACAUUGACCUCCACUUGGACUCGGUAGCCAAUCCUCCCACUCUGGCAUCUCCUCAAACUCUAGCGUCUUCAGAGACCGAAAUGGCUGAAUUACAGAAGCUCCAUUAAGAUCAACAUAGAAUUCAUCACCAACUUUCGUAACAAAAUUCAUCCUUUCGAUGCGUAGCUCUUUAAGAGUGGGCAGCUGCCCAAAACUUGGCAAGGACAAACAAUACUUACAAUCACUGAUACACAUGAACUGUAUGUUCGAGAAGGAAUUAGAGUUUCCUAACCAAUUUGGGAAGCUGAACCCUCCAUAGAAUCUGAUAGUCAGUUUCUCCAAAUUUGCAGAAGGUUGGAGCUUGUCAAGCACAUCUCUCUCCUUUUGGGAAUCAUCGGCUUCCUCCACAUCCCAUGCCAACUCUAAGUCCUUGAUUUCUUUCUUAUCCUUCAAAUUGGCUUCCAAUGCAUCCACAACAUGAACUCCAUUGUGCAACUUUGAAAUACGAAGUCUUCCUUGAAGAUGCUGCAACUCCCUUAAUUCUCCAAUGCUAGACCCGGUAGAUUUCCCCACAACGAAAUCAGUUAAUGUUCUCAAACUUUUUAGUCUUCCAAUUUCCACUGGCAUCCCUUGUAUUUUUGUUCCACUGACAUCGAGGUAAUGCAAACUACUCAAUUCCCUCAUAUCUGCUGGUAAUUUAGUAAGGGACCAGCAACCUGCCAACGUUAAUGUCCGUAAAUUUAUCAAUUUUGUCAUGUCUGCUGGCAGUUCAAUGAGAGCACGACAAUAUGACAACAGCAACGUCUGCAAAUUGUAGAGAGUGCAAACUGCACCAGGUAAGCUUACAAUUGCCGUCCGGGAGAGAUCCAGGUAGCGCAGGUGAAUGAGAUUGCCCACAGAAUCAGGUACUUCAGCAACAUUUUGAUAACGCGACAAUGAUAAAACCCGUAAACGUUUCAGGGAUGGCAACAAAUCUUGUAGGAACUUUUUACUUAUGUGGAAGAACGAGUCAUAUAAUAAGAUAGGUAGGAAGGUCCGCAGACACUUUGCCCCAUUUAAUGGCUCAAAUUUUUUAGCAGCAUCAAUUUCUCCCCUAGCAUAUGACAAAUGACGAAGUCUUUUAACUUCUUGUGAUUCCCUCUCUUCCAACCUGAGAAAAAAUCCCCUAGACAUG